rnacentral:lncRNA from 1 species
AAAGAAAAGAAAAAAGAAUUAAACAGCAAAAGGUAAGAAAUGUAACUUCUGUUUACUUAGUUCAAUGAUAAUUAACAGAUAGAGGCUCGAUAAGGCUCUAUGUGGAUAGGAUUAUGCGAUUCACUAUAUGUGGUUUAAGGUUUAAACAGGUAUUCAAAUUGUUCUUAUUGUUGCCUAUUAUGGAUAAUAAGGAUCAUCAAUCUUCAUCCUGUGGAGUACGCCCAAAGACCAAGACCAAGAUCAGACCAAUCAUACAAUGAUUGUAAUAAUAUACUUGUUCAUCUAAUUUAUUAAUAAAUAUAUUGUCAUUAUUGUUUUCUAUACUUGUAUUAAAAUAAAUUGGAUAAAAAUAAAGACUUAAGAAUGAUAUGAUCAUUCUCAUUCUUAGGUGUCCUUUGUAAGUAUUAUUGCAGAGUUAGACAACAAUAAUCAAUUGAGAUUAAUAUGUGUUUGAUUAAUGGCAAGCAUUGUUAUAAAUAUGUUAUAUCAAAUCAAUGCAUGAAUAUAUGUUAGAGAAUAAUAUAUCAAACUAACCCACCAUGAGAAUGCUUUUUGGAUUAUUAUGUAAUAGUCAUUACAUUUCUCAAAUUGGUAAUUCUAUGUAUGAUCCUUACACUUGAUAUCUUUAUUGUCUCAACAUCGUAAGUCGUAUGUUUUGACACAAGAUGGUUGUACUACAAAUAUUGAUGUUAAGUAUACUACAAUCUGUGUAGUGGAAUGUAAGUGAUCAAAUGAAUGAUCAUGCUCAAAUGAGUUGAUAUGAGAUAUCACUUACUUUUUUGAGGUUUGUUUUUUGCCCCCUCUGGGAAUGAUCCUUAUUUAUUUAUAAGAUUGAUGUGACAUACUAGGGAGGUAAUUAGGUGACUAUGGAAAAUUUGUUAACUGUAAGGAAUGUUUUUUGAUAUUGUCCUUUGGGACAGAGCCCUAAUUGAUAUUGGGCAAUCGAUAUUAGAAACAGGGUGAACCCAGAUAAUGUGUUACCCUUGGAGCUCGCAUGACCUCAUGGUGCUAUUUAUGAUUUGGGGUUGAUUCUAUUAGGAGAAAAGUAGGAGUAUAAAUUUUUUUUUGUAUUCUUAUUGUAAGUUGCGGCCUCGCAAAUGGUAUUUCCUAUCUCUCAGUGAUCAGGAAGGUUCUGCGAGCUCUAAUGUGAUUACUAAUGAUGUUGAUAGUAACCUUGUUACUGAUACAGGCAUUGCUUCUACGAGCUCAUCGGAAGAGUUUUAGUUACGAACUUAGGCACAUCAUGGACAUUGACUCUCUUAUGCAAGAUCUGCGAGGAAGAAAUGAUUCUGCUACUCCUCGCGAGGAUGGUGAUGCAGCUAAAAAGAAGCAGAUGGUGGUUGAAAGUCUCGAGUGUAGAAGAUAGAAGUGAUGAUGAAAUGAGACUAAGGGAAGCUCGCUGCUAAAAGGGAAGGAUAAUGCGACACAAGGACAAAAAGAAAUCGGGCAUCCUCUUGUUCCUUCUGUCCCUGUUCCAAGUUCCUUGCAGGGGCAACUAGUUGCUAGGUCCACCUUAAGUUCAGUUCGCAGUGUGUAACGUAUUGCUCAUGGUUGUUCGUCAAAAUUUAAGUCCUCUGAUGGCGAAGUGAAUACCUUUUUUGUUUGGCGUGAUCAGCUUAAUGUGGAAUGUUACCCUUUUUCUCCCAAUGAAGUAAUGUGGAAGUGGGAAGAACGUAUUCCUCGAUAGAUAGGGAAAAUCUUUUGUAAUCACGUUAGAGCUCACAGAAACUUCCUGAUCACUGAUAGAUAGAGAAGACUAUUUGCGAGGUCGCAACCUAUAAUAAGAAUAUAAAAAAAAAAAUUGACUCCAUUUCUCCUAACGGAAUCAACCCCAAAUCAUUAAUAGCACCAUGGGACCAUGUGAGCUUCAAGGGUAACACAUUAUCUGGGUUCGCCUCGUUUCUAACAUCGAUUGCCUGAUAUCCAUUAGGGCUCUGUCCCGAAGACAAUAUCGGAAAACAUUCCUUGCGGUUAACAAAAUUUCCAACAUCAAGACGUGACCCCUACACAGCCUGUCGUAUUGAGUAACCGCAAGACUACGGUCAAAAGGUUGAUGUUGUACACAAAUAUCAAUACUUAGAGGAGACCAUUUUAUGGGGAAAUCAAAGUUAUCCCUCAGACUUCUUUUUUACCCUUAUAUACUUACAAUGGUUAAUCCUAAGGUUUGACGAUCCUGAGAGCAAAAAUGCAACCUUCCCAUUGAAUUUUCUUUUUUUUUUUUGACGAAUAAACACAAACCAACUAUAUUAAGCUAUCAUAAUCGAAAAUUUUGUUGUUUUAUCAACCCCAAGAGCAGCUACGAGCUCCUCUGGGAUGUCGUCAAUCACCUGCAAAAACACAUAAUAGGGGAGGCUCAUCCUGUAGACCACAAUCAUGAAAAUAAGCAACCAAUGUCCACUAAGAGAAGCCAACGAGCUGUCUCAGUGUGAUUCCAUACUCUUGAAGAACUGUGCAAAAGAAAGGAUGAAGAUGAAAACCCGCCUCUAACAGAUGUAAAGGCAAUAGGAAACCCUCUUCAAUAUCAAUUAACAUUUUGUCCCCUUCAACAACCCGCCUCUAACAGAGGAAGGAUCGUUGUUCAGAUCACUUUUUGCCAUCAAUGUUUUCUGUUCAGACCGAUUAAGGCCUACUUUUGUACCCUUUUUUCAACCCGGUUUCUUUCUUCGCACAUAAAUCCAUGGGUUGGGAUCAUUAAAAUAUUCUUUUAACUACGCUACAGGGUGUAUCGAUGUUUCAACACACCCAUUACAAUUUACAAGCUCAAAAAUUCAAUUCAAGGGAUACACUUUUUUAUAUUUGAAUGGAGGGUUACUUAUGAAGGCUUAACCUUUUUACUUGCACUUGAGUAUAGAGCUAAUGUUAUGCAAAUGCAUUGUGUAUGAGGAGAAAUUUUUAGAACUUUUAAUAAACCAAUAAAAUGGGAAAAAAAAACUUCUUUUAUUAAUCCUUUUUAAAAAAAAUGCUGAAAUAAAAGAAAAUAAAAAAAAUGAUUGGUUAGAAAAUACAAAUGAAUACAUGAGAAAAGAAAGAAAUUAAAAGAAAUUAAAAAUUUUAUUUAUAUUUAAAAAUGAAGGGAUUAUAAACAAAUAUCGAUCAAAUAAAUAGUUCAAAAUUUUUUACAUGCAUUCAACAUAAGGUUCGAGAUUUUUGCCAAGGUUUUUUCAGCCUUCUCAAUUAUUUAAUCUUACAAGUUAAAUUCAUUUUCUCAAAAAUGAGUUGAGUUUCGAGAUUUCUGUGAGGUUGUUUCAGCAUUUUCAAUUAUUUAAUUUUAAAACUUGAAUCUCUUUUUUGAAAAAAAUACAAGAGAGCUUCGAGAUUUCUGUCAAGGUCGUUUUAGCAUUUUUAAUUAUUUAAUUUUAGAACUCAAAUCUCUUUUUUGAAAAAAUAUAAGAAAGUUUCCUAUCAAUCAUGUUUCUAGUUUUCCCAUCAAACAAAUCGCAUUUGAAAUGUGAACUAAAUCUUGUUUGGAAUGCGCAAUGUUAAUAAUUCAAAAUGAUUUGAAUAAGUAAUCUAAAAUGCCACGAACUCGAGAUGACCUGACUUGAAAAACGUAAAUUCAAGAUGAUCAAAACCCAAACUUGAAAUUGAUUUGAUUUAAUCUAAUCGAACCAUGUAAAUAACUAGUCUAUAUUUACAUCAGAUUUUUGUGCCACGCAGGGGCUGUUUUUGAUGUCAUGUCCGUUGCAUGUUUCAAUAUCAGCACCGAAGAGUGGGUAAGUUCCUUGCUUAGACGAGGGAUAAAAUUAAAGAAAAAAAAGGAUAUAUUUUCAAGUACACAUUGUUAGAAAUACUUUAUUUAAUCUGCAAUAUACGUAAUAAGAGGAAAAAUGCGAAAUGUUGCUGUUCCAACUUAAUGCUUCAUCUUUACCAGGUGAUACAUUUUAUAGAACAAUUAGUAUUUCUGGAUAUUUAUAUUUGCUAAUGUUCUAUUCCUUGUAAUUUUUGUUCUGUUGGCUGCAUUUAGGAGAGAAUCGUCAUGAGAUACAGUUUAAAAAACCGUAUCACAAAGGAAUCCUGCACGGUGUCAAAGUGUUCGUAACGUUGAAAUGAUGGCCCGUCUUGCUCCUAGUGCAUUCCCUAGUUGUUUUGUCUCGUGCUUAGCUGCAGUUUUCGUUAGGGAAAGUCCUCAAGGUUCGAUUUUCGGUUUUGCAGGACGUGCCUUUAGAAGGUUAUGAUUAUAGAAUGCGAUAUUUGGUGCAGUACAGGUACGCGACCCGUAUAUUGCGGUUAGAUAUUGUCUCUAAUCUUGGCAAUUGAUAGGGAAAAAGCUGAACUGGCAAUGCUAUAGUUAAUUAUCAUGAGACACUAUAGUCAUUAAAGAGGAAACAAGGAUUUUAUUGUCGUAACCAUUUUUUUGGAAAGGAUUUUGAAAAUGGAAACGAAGAACUGGAGUCGCCAUCGAUCCUUUUUGAUGAGGUGUGAUCGGGUCACCUUAAAUUAAUCAUUUUAAUAAAAGUUAAGAUUUACUAAAAUAAUAAUUUUUGGUCUACGAAAAUCAGAAAAUGAGUUCGGGAGUUGAUUACGCACGAGGAAGGAUUAGCACCCUCGUAACGCCCAAAAUUGAUACCUAAUUGAUUAAUUAGUGUCUUUGUUGUUGAAAUUUUGAAAACUUAAAAACUUGAAAGACUUUGAAAUACGAUCCAUUUUUUGCAAAAAAAUGCUCAUAUGUUAAAGACCUUCUUGUCUCGAAGUAAUAAAACACCUUGUCCAGUAAGUUAGGACACGGCAUCUCGAACUUUGAGAACAAGCUUGCCUUUUAUUUAAAAUUAACGUGUUUUAAGGGAUAUUCGGUUAGUUAGGGUGAACGAGGAAAAUCGAAACCCAGUGAGUUAGGGUAUGUUUCCUCGAAUAUCCGAACACCAAAUUUAUUUGCGAAAAAUCUUAUUUCGAAGUAACAAAAUGUCAUACCCGGUAAGUUAGGGCACCACACCUCGCAUCCCCGAAAAUAAGCAUUUUUAAAAUUCGUAUUGUGAUUUAAAAGAAUAUUCCGUGAUUUAGGUUAAAAGAAAAAAAUCGAAGCCCAGUAAGUUAGGGCACGAUUGUCUCGAUUUACCAAAUACGGAGUAUUUACUUUUAUGAAAGAAUUAUUUUGGGUUAAGGCAUCGGGAAAAACAUAAUGUGAUUUAUAGUAAAUCAUUAAAGUAAAUUAUGGUGCUAAUACGUAAUAAUAAGCGCGAUAGUGUUUAACAUAAUAAUACGAGCAAUUAUGAAAGGUGAAAUAAUAGCAAGGUUAGUAAACAAACGCAUGAGCAAAAUGAGAUCAUCGAAUACAUAGGCAAAUAAAUAAACAAAAUAAAUAAAUAAAACAUGGCAAAAUAAGAUGACAGUGACGAUAAUAAUAGGAAUAACAUAAGUAAUAAUAGUAAGAAUGUAAACAUGAAACGGUAAGGAACAUACAUAUAUGUAUAAUACAAGAUUAAAAGGAUAUAUAAGAUAUUUGUUGAAAACAGUAAUAAUAUAUAUAAAAAUGAUGACGAUAUAUAAAUUUAUACUUGUAUGUAUUAAAAUAUACGUAAUAAUAGAAAGAAAAAUAUAUAUAUAGUAUUAAAAAUAUAUAUACAUAAUAUAUAUAUAUGAAGGUAUAAUUUUAAAAUGUAUAUACAUGAUAUAUAUGAAAAUAUAUACAUAAUAUAGUAUUAAAAAAUAUAUAUAUACAACAUGUAUGGUAUUAAUAAUAGUAUUAAAACAUAAUACAUACAUAUAAGAUCGCCUAGAAAAAGAAAAAAAAAAUGCUAAUGCUAAUAACAGUAAUAAUAAAAUAAAUAAUAGAGAUAGUAUAAUGAUGGAAAUAUAAAUAGGUAAGAAAUAUAAUAGAUGAAUAAUAAGGAAAUGAAAACAAUAAUAAUCAAAAUACAAUGGUAAUAGUAAUUACAAAGAUGAUGAUGAUAAUAAUAACAUUAAAGUAUAGUAAACAAUAAUACUAUAUAUAAAUAUAUGUAUAUACGCAUGUAGUAAAAAUACACAUUACUAUAUAAUAAUAAUAAUAAUAAAGAAAUGCAAAAAGCAAAUGUAAUAAAAAUAUUAAAUUAAAGUAAUAAAAAAGCAAUACCAUAUGUAGGUGUAUAUAUAUAUAUAUAUGUGAAGAUAUACACUAAUAUAUAAUAAUAGUAAUAAUAAUAAAGUAGUAAAAAAUGUAACUAUAAUAGUAAAAUAUAACAAGUAGUAGUAAAAGAAAAUAAUAAAAUUAUCUAACUUAAUAAUAGAGGAGCUAAAUAACUAAACUAGGGACUAAAUUGAGUGUAGAACGAAAGUUCAAGGCCAAUUUGAAAUAAAAAUAAAAAGAGAAGGCUGAAUAAAACACGCGAGAUAAAUGGAGGGACCAAUUUCGCUAUUAUACCCUAUCCAUAAAACGAUGCCGUUCCAUCAACUAUCCCUCAAAUGGUUAGAGGAUCAAAUUAAAAAAAGAUUAAAAUUACAAGGCAGAAUUAAGAAAUAAAAAAACUGGAUUAAAACAUGACAGAAAUGCGGAAGGAUCACGCAAGCAAUUAUCCCAGUAGCAGCAAAACACGCGGAUCCUCAGGCGUCGGGUCGGGUCGCGCACGGGUCACGUGAAACGGCGUCGUUUUGGCGCUGUGAGUUAAGGCCCAAAACGGCGCCGUAUUAUGCCAUUAUAUAAACCCAAAAUUUUUUAAAGACAUGCAUUUUUUGCUGUUUCAGAAAAAAAAAAAGGGGAAGAGUUCUUCCCUUCUCUCUGGGAAAACCCCAGAUUCCGGCCAGGAGGGCCACCAUGCGCUCCCGCCGUCACCGAUCCGCCACCGUCGCCGGCCACCGCAAAGGUAUAUAUAUUUUUUCCUUUUUGUUUUCUAUUAUUAUUUUUGUUUACAAUAUAUGUAUAUAUGCAAAUAAAAGGGCGUGAAAAUAGAAAAGAAAGAAAAAAGAAAUAAAUCGAAAGAAAAUGAAAUCACCUUUGUUUUUCUGAUUUUUGAUUCUAUGUUUUCGUUUCUUCUUUUAAUGUUUUUCUCUUGAUUGGAUACUUUAUGCCUUUGACUCACUGAUUUUGUGUUUUAAAAUCAAAUGCUUCUUUUUAUUUCUCACCAAAAAACCGAAUGCUUUUUACAAUUUCGUUUUGAUUUAUAUAUUUGUGCACACUGCUCCUUUUUGCUUUCUGUCUUCUCUUGUUUAAUGCUUGCAGGUGAAUGGCGGUGGACUUGACCUGUCGGUGGGAGCAGAGGCGGUGGUGGAUGGGACAGGGAGCAAGUGGCUGAAGCAGCUUAGGGUUUUCUUAGCUUUUUUCUUUUGUUUUGUGUUUGGGUGGGGCUAGGGUUUUGAUUUGUUUGGGUAAGGAUUUUGGUUUAAGCUGGGUAUUGGGUUAUUUUAGUUUUGGGCCCAAAAUUGGGCUGUACAUUUAUAAUUAGUAGGAUGGAAACCCGGGUUGCUAUAUAUUACCUGCUUGAGUCAUUUCUAUUUUUCCUUUUUCGUGAGAGUGACAUGGGUGAAUACAAGUUGCCUGCUAUAGCUAGGCUAUUACCAGUUAUCGUCAAUAGCCAUGAUAACCUUUUAAGAUCGAAUCUGGCAAAGAUAUGGUUAUAGGGUUCAUUGGUUACGUGAGUAUUCAUGGUCCAUUUCCUCACUCUUUUAACACACGACUGGUCUACAUUCUCGGUUUGUGCCAACACCCUCCUCUAAAUUAGUCAGGUUCUUCCUUUCCUCCAUUAACAGCUAAGAUUAGCGUCUCAAUAUCUAAUGACCGUAAAUGAGUCACGUAUAUGAAUAUAUGGACCACUAAUAUACGUACAUGGGGUAUGCUUGGUCAAUGUUCAUGGCUGCCAUUUUAUACGCAUAAAUCAAUACAGAAACUGAAGCAUUCUCCUUGAGGUACCAUGUUGGGGCUCACAUAGAUUGACCAAUCUAUUAUCUGUACAUUUUGUAUUCACGGAACUCUUCAUUGAAACAAAUAUUUGUUCAAUGAAAACUUGUCUUAAUGUUAUUAGCAGAAUUUCUUAGACAAUUUUUUCCCUUUUUCCUGCCCAAAAUUUCCAUAUUGACUAUGAAAAGAAGCAUCAAUGGUGGUUGCUAAUAUCUUGUUCAGCUUUAAGCUUCAUCUUUGUGUAAUUUUGUGUAUAUACAGAAGCUGAAAUUAACAUGCAUUUGGGACCUUCCCCAAGACAAAACAAAAGACAGUGCUUUUCCAUGCCAACAACCUCUUGAUCUUAGAGGCAUGAAAAAACAAUUAUUUUGGUUGCUGUCUCUUCAAAGUAAAGCUAUUUGGGGGGCAAGAAAAAUGCCAACAACAGCCACCUAUGUUGGAAAACUUUGCAAAAAAAUAUGUCGGAAGUGGAAAACCAAACAUUAAUGUUUACACCAAUCAAGUGAGUCAGAUUAGUUUUGGAUGGAGAUAAGUAAGAGGUUAAUCCAGAUGAUUAUGGUUUGGGUCCAAUUUUUAUUUAUUUAUUUUAGAUUGCGGUUGGUUUUAUUUUACCCUGAGUACUAUUGGCUGUUCAAGGUUGGAGUUUUUCCAGUUAGAUCAUUGUAUAUUCGAAUUAUUUUGGGUUCUGGUCGUAUGAGUAGAUUUGAUUAAUUGAUAUAGGGGUCAGUUUGGGUUUAAAACAAAUUUUUUGGUCACUGCGGUUUUGGUUACUUCUAUUUUUGAGUCAAUUUUAGGUUUAGAUUAUUUCGAGUUUGAGCAAUUCUAAGUUAAUGUUAUUUGUGUUUUUUGAGUUGGGUCAAAAUGGGUUCGUAUCAUUUUAAGUUUAGAUCAUUUUAAGUAUAGAUGUUAACUUUUUAUGAUCAAAUUGAGUAGAGUUGAAUUUGAAUUUGUAUUGAUAGAGUUGAAUUUUUUUAUUCUGAGUCAUAUGGGGUACUAACAUUAAUGUAAAACAAAUGAAAAUUAGUAAAAAUAUGAUAACCAAAGAUGCUUAAUCGUGUACGAAACAAACUUCUUAUUCAUAUGAUUCAGCAGACAACACAACAAAAACAAACUAUGUCACUCUUUAUAGUCUCCUCUUUAUCCUUCAAGCUUGGAAUCCAAUUGAUGGCUACUUUUAAGAUCCCCAUUCGUACUGGAACAGAAGGUCAAAAUUUGAUUUUAGUCUUUCUAUUAUGUUCAAAAUUUAAAUUUAAUCCCUAUAUUUUAGUUUAGCAUAGUUUUCCUAUUAUCAUUAGUUAAUCCAAAUACAUAACACAUUUUGGUAAAAACACUGACUCUAAUUUUUCUUAAAAACAGUAUUUUCAACUCAAUUACGCAGACAUAUAUAUUUUUUGGUUUAUUGGAAGGGUGUUUUUAAGAAAACUUUAUAUUAGUACUAAUAACUAACAUUAUAAAAUUAAAAGGUUAAACAAUAAAUAAUUAAAGUAUAAGGAUUAAUUUUUUAAAUUCAAAUAUAAUUGAGAGACCAAAAUCAUAAUUUGGCUGAGAAUAGAAAUGCUGGCCCCAUCCAGUUCCGUCCAAGCCAUACCAGCUGCUUCAAAAAUUCAUGCAUGGUUUCCAACUAAAAACUUCAACUUGACACCCUAAUCAUCUUUCUUAUUGAUUAAAUAUAUAGAAAUUAAAAGCUGAGUAUAUUCUCAACCAAUGAAAUUCAAAAGAGUUAACCAUUAACAUACAGGAACGUGGAAUCUUAGCCUAAAGAUCCCCAACAAUAUCUGCAACUUGCUCCAUAAGCGUACAAGUCGCACCAACAUAUCAACACUUGUAUAUAUUAGAACGAAACUCUUCUGUAGCUGAUAGUUAUGUUGAGGGUUGAUUAAACUUAACCACGAGGUUAGGUCGUAUUCGAUUAUAUGGGUAAAGUUUUUCUAACGUUAUUUUCUUCAUUUGCAAGACUCGAAUCUAAAAAUUUAUUUAAAAAAGUAUUAAACUUCUUACAAUUAGACCAACGAAUAAUAUUAAAAUCUAUAAAUGAUACUCUCAAUUUUGUCAAAGGUGAUAAUCACAAAGCUUAAAAGAAUUCCUCUUACUCACUGUUGCUUGAAUAAACCGUUCACUUGUAAUGGGACCCCACGAUGAUACUCCUUGGUUUUCAGGUGGAAAACAAUUUUUUGUUGCCAUGGAUUCCAUAAAGUCCAUGGAUCAAAUUAUAAUUUUUUUGUUGAAUUAAAAUACAAUUUUGUUAUUAUAUUAUAUUAAUUUACAGAGCUUUAUAAAUUUUUUUGGAAGGACUUGGGUCCAAAACGUCUUGUCAUGAUUAAACCAUAUUCAUCAUUUAAGGAUUUUAGAGUUUAGGGUCAACUCAUAAACUUUUAAGGAUAAAUAAGAUAUUUAUAAAAUUCUAAAUUUACAAUUUAAUCCGUGAAUUUGAUUAAUUUUUAAAAAAAAAAUCAAUUUAAUAGACUUUAUUCUUGAUUGGUUUAGGUCUUAAUUUAUCUAAUCGAACCAACUUUUAGUCAGUUGGUUCAACGGAAUAAGUUAAUUAAAUCUUUUUUUUUCUCUGAUUUGGUUUUAAAUACGAGACAUAAAACACUAAUAGAGGUCAAUUGACAUUCUAGUUAAAAUUUUAUAUAUUACAUAUGUUUAUUAUAAAUUACAAAUAUAAUUUAUUUUUAAAAAUAAAAAUAAGAUAUAUUAGAGGUGGGUCAAUUCUAUCAGUUUAGUUAUGAAAAUUCAUAACCUAUAACCGAUCAACUUAGCCUAAUUUAACCAGCUACAAGAAAUAACCAUUAUAAAAUAUGGUUAAAUCCUACUAUUAGACCCUAUUUAAGUUAUGGAUUUAAUUUUUUUUUAUUUUAAUUUGGUCACUUUUAAUUCUUGUAUUUUUUUUAAUUUUAAAAUUUUAAUUUUAAUUAACUAUUAAAUUCAUUAAGUUCUACUAUUUUCAAAAUCUAAUGUGGUAAAUAUAUGAUCACAUGUGUAAUGUCAUGUCAUCUUGUUAUUUCCACAUAUUGCUCACAAAAAAUUCAGUUAUAGAUUUAAUGACAAUCGUUUAUGUCAAGAUUGAAAUCUCAUAGUUCGAAAAAUGUAGAGCUAAGAAUGAUCUAAUUGAAUAACAUAGACUAAAUAUAUAACUUUAGACAUAGCAUAUUAAAAAUAUAAAAACUACAAUUAACCGGAUUAAAGUAUAAGAACUAAUGCAAAGUACAUAAACUAAUAACAUAAUUUGAUAUUGUUGAUUUUAUCGGACCGACUAAACCGAAAACUACCGGUUAAACCAUUAACUGGUGACGUGGAAUCUAGCCUAAAGAUCCCGACAAGCUUUGCAACUUGCAUAAGCAUAUCAAACGUUAUUUAAAUUCAAACCAAUCAAGAAUAAAAACCUUAAAAUUUUGUAAGGUGGAUAAUCCCUCUCACUCACAGUUGCUUGAAGCAGCCAUUGAUUUAAAUGGGACCCCAUGAUGACUCCCUUGGUUUUAAGAUGGAAACAGUCCAUUAAAAAUGGGAGUCAAUGCAAUUUUAAGGAUUUAUUUCAAUUUCAUUCUAUGAGCAAUAGUGUUAGUGUUGCUUUCAUUGCAUAAUCUUGAAGAAAAAUAAAACAAGAUAUUUAUGAAACCUGGACAGAUAACCAUUAAAAUAACUGGUUUGAGUUAUCAAAUGUAAUUGGGGUUAAUUGCAUUAGAUCUCUGCAAGUUAUAGUCUAAAUUUUAAAUUGGUUAAAAUAUGUCAUAAGUUCCAGUACUCUUCUUAAAUUUGGAAUUUAGUCCUUAUAAUUUUUAGGAAUUUAAGAAUUUGGACCUAAAUUUUGAAAUAUGAAAAGUAAAGGGACUAAAUUUUUGGAUAUAAAAGUAAAUGGGCUAGAUUCUAAACUUAUGAAGAGUACUAGGACUUAUGACAUAUUUUAACUUUUUAAAUUGGUCCUAAAUUUUAAAACGUUCUAAUUGAAUUCUUAAAGCAGAUCUUCUGGCGGCGGAUUUGAAUUAUAAAUUUUUAGAGAGCUAAAAUGUAAUUUUAGGGAUUAAACUAUAAACAUUCCAUUUUGUAGGGACAAAACUAAAUUUUAAAUUUGAAGGAGUCAAAAUAGAAUUUUACCAUUGAAUUAACUUAAAAUUUUAUAAAUUUUUAGAUAAAUCAAAGGAACAAUUUUCUAUUUUGAGAGUCCAAGACCCUUGCCCGCCUCUUUAGUGCCACCCAUAUCUGAAAGUAUUAAUAUGAUAUUAAUUAAGUCUUUUUGUCAACUUAUUUAUUAGCUUAAGUGUUAAAUUGUAAAAUAUAUAUAUAUUUACCACAUGAAGAGAAAUAACCCUUUUUAAUUACAUUAUCUUAUUCUUUUAAUACAUUAAAUUCAAACUAUACCUACAAUAUCUAUAAAUAUGAAUGCUUCACCUUUGAUCUAUACCGGCAUUUAAAGCUUAAAAUGAUGAGUGGGGCUAAUAGGAAGUACCUAAUUUAUUCUGAUAUGUUGAGAAUUCAUUGAAGCUUAAGGACCGAUUUAGAAUCUCCAAGAUAGGUAAGGGACGUCUGGGCGAAAUUAACCCAUAUAAAUUUUUCAUAUCAUGGUACUGUAUUUGUGAAGUAGACAGCGUCAAGUUGGUUUAUCAAAUUUUGUGCAUCAAUGAGUUCACACCAUCUCUAGAAUUUCACUUUUUUAAAGUAAAAAAUAUCUGAAAUACUUUUUUAUUUUGAAUAAGUCAGAAAUUCAUCUGUUGAAUUGGAUUUUAUCAACUUUUCAAAUCUCAAAAAAAGGCCAAUUUACUACGACAGCUUGGGAGACCAAACUUACAUCACCAGUUUAAAAAUAAUUAAAUAAAGAGACAAUUUGAUAGCUGCCAUUGGCAGUUUAAUUUCUGGAAUUUAUUUUAACUACUAAAAUUAAAUUAUUAAAUUUUAUAAGGGUUAAAUUAUAAUUUUAUCAUUUUCGAUCAAUGUCUUUAUCAACCUUUUAACACCGAAUAUAUAUUUAUUCUAUUAUUUAAGUAUGUAAUUAAAUUUAUGAUACAAAUCAACUCGGCACUAAUUUAAUUAGUAAAAAUAUUAAAAGUAAAUUUUAAACAAUUAGUAAAUAUUAUUUUAGGGUGUUUUUGUCUUUUGAUUCAUUUAUAUAAAAUUUAUAAAAUAAACAAAUUAAACAUACGAAAAAUAUACAACGAUGGAUUUAAACCUAAGACAUCAAGAUUCUUAAAUUCAUAAUUUUACUAUUUUAAUCUUUUUAUUUAUAAUUCAAUUAUUAAAUAAAUAUUUUACAAUUAUACUUUUAAUAUUAGAUUUUUCUUUUAUUCAUAUUGUGGGUGGGACAUAUCUAGGAUAUACUAGUGAAAGUACUUAGUAUCUCUCUAUCACGAGGAUUGGAUCAAAUUAAUUUUUCUACUAUUAAAUUAAUCAAUUUAGUUAAUGUAUUAUUACAAUGAUAAUAAAAGCCCACCAAAACAGUGUAUUUAUGUUUUGACGAAUGUUGUUAAUGUUUUCCUUGGAAGAGGAUGGGUUGAAAGUUGAUUUUAUGCUUGAGAGACUGAAAGGACUUGUAAGGAAAAAGAAAAAAAAAGAAAAAAAGAAAAAUUAAGGGACAUUGGAGUUUAUGUUUCAAAACAUUCUUUGAUUCUUAGUUAGAGGAGGAAGAGAUGUUGAGGGAGAAUUUUAUCAAAGUAACAAUAAAGCUUAGAGAUUAUGAAUUAAAGAGAAAUGUAUUUCAUUUUUAGACAUUUGGAUUUGAGAUUGUUGGUUGCAUGAUCAUAUAUGUAGGCCAAGUUGCAUUUUUGUCACAGGUUGUAGGUCAAAGUCCAUAACGAAUGCACACAAAUUGUCUUGUAGAGGUUAACUGAUUAAAUAUAGUUUAUUUAACUAACUUGAAUUGGCUCGAUUCGUAAAAUAUAUGGAGAUGUCCAUCUAAUUGAAGUCUUGGUAGCCCAAUGGAACGCUCCAGUAAAACUAGAGUUACGAUGGUUAAUUAUUCGUAAUCUUAAGGGAUAAGAUUGUAGAGUUUAAAUCUUUUAGGACUCUCAUCUUAAACUCUUAGGACUCCCAUCUUAAUCUUGACCAUCAAUGUAAUUUAAUUUAAUUUGUGCUGCUGGAUUUGGAGGAGCUCAACUAUAAAGAAAGUUAUUUCUCUUCAUUUGUAAUCAUCCCUUUAAUAGUAAUUGAAUACUAUUGAGAGCAUUUAUUCAAACACUUGGUGUGCUAUUAUUUUCUUAUGACUUUUUAAUUCGAUUCGAGCUCUUUUGUCUUUUCGAGUUGCUUCCGCUUUAUUUCAAUGCCUUAAAAGAAAUUCUUCUUGUGAAUACUAAUCCCAUUACACUUGCACAUGAUUGAAAAAUGUCAACCUUUAGUAGAUCAUACCUCUUGACCUAUGGCAAUUACUAUUGUCCAAGCCGAUAACGACUUGUUGCCCAAAUACUAUGUGUUAGCUAAAUGUUCCUAGCAUUUGGUAUUCUUGGGCUAUAUUUCUUUGCUCUUGAAAUCUAUUUUCUUGAAGUGGUAUAGCAAAUAUAAUAAAACAAAUUUGAGGUAAUUUGUAAGGGAAACUUGUAGAUAGAGUUAAAUAGGUAGAAAAGUACUAAUUCCUAACUACAUACCUUUUUUCAACUUUUGUUCACUUAAGCUUUAAUAAAGGGUGGAAAUUGAUACUAUUUGUUAAUGUGUAGGCUUCAAUGACAAUUAUCUUUGAGCAAAUAUUACUUCUUUUUAUCAUUCCUUUAUAAAAAGAUUGGUUUUGAAUCAAAAUCACCAUUAUAUAUAUAUAUAAGGAAAGUGAUUGACAUUUCACUAGCCAUGAUCUGCCAUAUAAUUUCUGUCAUGGUUUUUGGUUUACUUUGGGGCUACCUUUUGUGAUUGUUUUCAGCAUGAUAUAAUGGUUGAAAUUUUGGUUUUGAAAUUUAGUCAUUAUACUUUAAUUUUACAUAAUUUGAACCCUUUAUUUUAGGCAUGUUCAAGGUUAGGUUAUUUAUCCAAAAAUUAAGAGGGUUUGAACAAGAAUAUUAAACCUAAAACUUGGGUUUGGGCAAAAAAUAGGCAUGUUUAAAUUUGGGUCAGGCUUGGAUUCUAAUAUUCAAAGCUCGAGUUAGAUAUAACCAGAUCAAUUUUCAACGUUAUAAUAUGUUUUUUUUUUCUUUUCUAUAUUAUAUAAUUUAUAUAGCAUAAAAUUAAAAUAUACUACAUUCUAAUUAAUUAUUGAUAAAAAUGUUAGAAAAAAUAUAUUGUAAAAGGUAUAUAAUUACUAAAUAAUAAAUAAAAUAAUUAUAUUUUUAAAAAAUAAUAUGUGUGGGCCUAAAUAGGUUUGUGUUGGCAAAUUAUAAAUACAAUCAAGUUUGGGCAACUAUGUAUAGUAUUAAUACCGUGUAUACCUGGCCUGGCAUGGCCCAAUAACACUUCUCCUGUCUAUUUUUAUAAUGUUUUUUGUCACAUUUAAAUAAUUAAUAUCGUUAAUUGUUCUGAUUAAAAUAUGUAUAUAAAUUUUUUUCUUAAAACAAACCCUUUCAUUUCUAUGCAUUUUAAUCAAAGUAGUUCACGACAUUAAAUAAAUAGAUUAAAUCUCAAAUUUGAGCAUAAUAGAGAGUUCAAAACCAUAAUUUGAUGAAUUUAAAUGCAUAAAAAUUAUGUAUAAAUAUGGUAUUGAGAAACUUAAUAAAAUUUAAAAUUCGAAACUUAAUAAAAACAGUGCUAAAAACUUUAUUUAAAAAUUCUUAUUUUCAUUCAAUAUCGAAUUUAGGUAGUAUUUGAAAAGUCACCCAGUAAAUAGAUUUAGGUGUAAUUUUUUGUAAUUACACAAUAAUGAAAUGUUUGAGUAAUCAUUGUAAUUGGUAGAUCCCACCAAAUCGAGUGUAAUUGGAGCACCCUAAUUACAUUUUUCAAUUCUUAGGGGAUGGUGAGAAUAAAGUAAUUACACUCAAAUCUAAUUUUUAAAAAAUACUUUAUACAAGUUAUAAAAAUUAUAAUAUAAGUAUAAAUAUGUGUAGGUAUUUGGGAUGGUUAUGACCAAAAGUUUCUUAUAUUAUUAAUCCUAAAAAAUUAUAUUAUAAAAAUAAUUUGUGCAUUUUAUAAAGUUAUAACAAAAAAUAUAUUAAUUAAAUCCUAAAAAAAUCUUAAGUUAUGGUUAAAAAAUUUAUUAUAAAAGAAUAAUUUACAUGUUAUAAAAGCAUUAUAAAAUACUUAUUUAUAAAAAUUAAUGUGCAAGAAAUAUGGGCAUAACUUAUUUAUAUGUCCAUGUUAUAUAUUAUAAAAAUAAUAUAUUUAUUCAUAAAUUUUUUUUAUCCUAAUUAAUAUAACUUUCUAAUUGUGAAAAUCAUAUUAUUUAUAAAAAGUAUUAUGAAAGUUAUUGGACAAUUUAUAAAAGUUAUAUAUAUUAUAUUAUUUUCGCUUAAUUUACAUAUCAUAAAAAGAUAUAUAAUUUAGUAUAAGUUUUUUUUACUCAAAUAUACUAUUUGGACCGUGAACUCAAAUAUUAUAAGGUUGAUACUAAUUAUAUAAAUACAAAAUAUUUUUUUACUCCAUACCGUGGGGUAUGGUAUCAUUUAAAAGAAUAGUGCUAGACACAAGCACCAUAGAUAGUUCGCAAACUAUUUAAUUUGAGACAUUCAAGUCUUCGAAAUGUGGUUGAGAAGACAUUUGUUAUUCUAAACAAAAAUUAUUUGUCAUCUUAACAACAUCACCUUAGUAUAAUAUAAGAAGAAGAAGAAGGUAGGAUUGUAAUAGCAUGUUACAUAUCUUACAACUUCAUUCAUAGAUGGAAUUAAGAUAAUUCAUACUUUCAAGAGUACAUGUAAGAAGGAGAUCUUAAUAAUGUUAAUGAUGCCCUUUAAAAUUUAGAUGAUGAUGAACUUAAUCAAUGAUCAAUAGAUUAUGAUAAUGAACAUAUGUUAAAUAUUAAAGACUAAACAAUUAGAUAGAUAAAAUUGCAUAUGAGGUUUAUUUUUCUUCUUAUUUUUAUCAGUAAUCGUAUUAUUAACUACGUUUUUAGACUAACUUAAUACAUAUGAGAUUUGAUUUUAAUUUUUUUAUUUAUUUAGAAAUUAUUUUUAUCAUAAUAAUAUUUUUUACAAUAAUUAAUAUAAUUUAAAAAUAUAAAUUAUAUAAUAAUAUAAAUACAAUUUAUACGAUACGAUGUAAUUACAUCCUGUGAAUAAAAUACGUCCCAGAAAUUAUAAUUAUUUAUAAUUACGCUUUCGUUGAAUUAGAUUAUGUUUAUGUUAGAAAUGGUAAAGCUUCAAUGAUGGAUGAAUGCUUUGGUUAAUUUAAUAUUUCGUUUCCUCCUGGCCUAGCAUGUGCCUUUGUUGCCCAAUCUCAUUAUAAUGGCUAAACCCAUUUCCAAUGCAAUAUUUAAUUUAUUAGUAUUUUUCUUGUAACAUAAUUUAUUUGUAUUAAGUAGUAAUAAAAUGCUCUAUAAUUGGUAGCACCGACAUUUUGUUUCCUUUUUAUAAUCUCUGCUUAUUUGUUUAUAUUAAUUAAUACAUGUAUACUUCCCCCCUAACCCAAUCCUACUUUCCGGGAAAGUUUGAGUAGAAACACAAUCAUUUUUUUCCUUAGGAACAUAAUACCUGACACGUUAGAUAAGAUGAAUCAAAUAGUCGAUUGCAUAGUUAAGAUAAUUUCUGAUAAGAUAAAUGGGGUACGAGUAUUUGAAGAUAUACCUAAACAACUAGAUAAGCAUGAUUAUGUGCAAAUAAAAUUAAUGGCCUUUUAAUUUAUGAUGAGUUAGCUUAAUAUAUUUGGGUUGUUUUCUUUUUUCAGGAAAAGAAAAUUAAAAGAGGGCUAUAGUGUAAUAUCUAGAUCUGAUCGCCACUUCCUUGUGAAAUAAAUGACCAUGUUUAGGACUUAAUUGGAGUAAAUACCGUAAAUAUAGGGUCAGAAGUAAAUUAGUUUAUUUUAAAAUAAAUGGGGUAAUUUAAUCAUUGAGAAUGAAUGAAGCAGACAAUCCAAGGCGACUUUAGUUCUCUUUGUUAAUAAACUAUAAGGUAAUCAUCAAUUUGAGUGCUCACAAGUUAAAAGGAAACCACUUUACUCCUUUGUGCUGUUCAAAAUUAAGCAAAUAAGAAUAAUUAAAGGGGAUGGUAAUUAUUUUCAUUAAAAGAAAAGUAAUAUGAAUAUCUGUAAAUCCACAAUUGGUUGAAUCUAAAAAGUUAAUUUUUUAACAAAAAUAAUUAAAAUUGUUUUAUAUUGUUCUUAUUUAUUUACUUUCGAAUAAUAUAUAAAUAAAUAACAAGCGCUAACCAAAAUAUAUAUUUUUUAAUAGUAAGGAUAGGUGAAGGGGGUGUACUUGGGAUACAGCACAAGUUUUCAUGCCAACAACACAAACAUUUUACUAUUAAGCUAAAAAGUUUAAUUUUUUUAAGGUACUAUAUUUCCGAUAGAAAUAAAUCAUUAAAAGCAUAGAACUAAACAACUAACUCUAACCCUAACUAACUAUACUAAGUUACUAACUAAAUCUGGAAAAGAUGGGACUUGAACUCGAGAUUUCAAAUUUUCCAAAGACUUAACUUUUCCAUUGAGCCAAGACCUCAUUGGCUAAGCUAAAAAAGUUGUUGGUUGAGAAAGAGAUUGAAUACUUUCAACUUGUUUCUUUAUAAUUUUAUAAACUUGUCAAUUUUUGUUAGAACAUGAAAAUCGGACUCUAUCAAUUUGAAUUUGAACUUGAUUCAACUUGAUUUGAUUAUAAAAAUUCAACAACUUGAAUCAGCGCAACCUGAAUUAAAAAAUGAUCGAAAUUCAAAAUAAAAUUUAGACCCAAGUAUCAAAUUUAAAAUGAUACAAACCCUAAAUAACUUAAACUUGAAAGAACUCAAAUCUAGACUUAUAAUCCAAAAAAUUUAAUAUUAGAAUUGGGUGGCAUCUAUUCAAAGACCUCAUUCAGUACAUUCCCAUGAGAUCCUUUUACAUCAACGAUUGAAAUAAAAAAGGAAAAAAGAAACACAAAUCCAUCAUUGAUCAUGCUAGGUAAGAUUUACAUUGAAAACUGUGAGUUUAUCUUUAAACUAAUUCAAUCGGUUUCAACAAUAAAAAAGAGAGAAAGAAAACGAUUUUCAAAUAAAAGCAUGCAAUCAGUAACCGAUUUAAUAUAUUUUAAAUUACCGACACAAUUUCUUAAUUUCUAACAUAACAUAAUCAAACAGUUAUAAUCUCCUCAUUUUUAUCAUUAAAAAGAAUAUUACGAAAUCUCACUAUAAUAAACCUUCACUCUAAAUUUAAGGAUUCUAUAUCAAAAUUGACCUGAAUCACCCAAUUUACAAAAAUAACCCUUUCCGAGUGAUUACGAGAAAGUUGACAGCUUUUCAACUUUGUCUUUGAAUAAACACCAUCGUUUUAUGGGGGUCUUAGGGAAUUAAACUUUUUCUUUUCUUUUGCCUCAAUUAUUACCUGCUUUUCCACUUGCUUUCACCUUGUAAUUUGCAACCCUAUUUUUCCAUUUUUUUCCUGAUCGUUUUUUAGUCGUGAAGACAUGUGCAGCUGAUGCAUAUACUCCAUCAUGUUCCAAUUUCCAUGCAUGCAGACUCUAAACCCACACACAAACUUUUUUGAAAAACUAGGACUAUUGCUACACAUUCCUACAUCAAGACCCCUUUUUCUUAUGUAAAACUGUUCAUUAGCAUCAAUUUGGGCUGAAACAAUUUUUUUUCUUUUUACGAAUAUAUGCAGGUGGGAAGUUUAAAAUAAAUUGUUUUGGAGCUAGAAAUUAAUUAUUAAAUUUUUAGGGAGUUAAAAAGUAUGGUUUUAUGAUCAUUUUAACUUGUAAUUUUACAACAUUUGAAGGAUAUGAAUUUUACCAUUUUCGAGGAUUAAGGUCCCUGUUUUUUUUUUUUCUGAAUAAAUGUGAUUAUGUUUGAAGAGCAUAUAGAUAAUACUGCCAACACAAGAUAGAUUGAUCUGAACCCCUAGCUUUUAGUUUAGCAGCAUUUAGUGUUCAUUUAAAAUAAAAUUUAAAUUAUGAGUUCGAAUCACAACAAAAAUUAUAUUUGUGGUGUGUGAGUUAGUAGUAUUUUAUUCUGAGUCCAUUGACUAUUGUAAAUGUCAAAAAAAUCAAUAGAUUUUUAUUAUUUAUUAUAUUAUUAAAUUUACAUAAUAAAAAUAAUUUAUCGAUAUAUUAGAAAUUAUUAUUUGAUGAUUAAUAUUAUAUUAAUAAUAAAUAUGAUAUUAAUUAUUGAUGUAAUAUUAAUCGAGUUUACCUCCACUCCAUUAUUUUCUCAUCCAUUAAUAUCUAAUGCAUGUUUAAUCAUCGUACACAAGUUGAUUUUAACAUUUAAUAGAUAAAUCAUACAUGGGUCCUACACAUUUGAAUGUUGGUGAUCAAUGUAUUAGAUAUUAAUGAAUGAAAAAGUAAUGGAGUAUAUCUUAACUUAUAUGGUAUGUACCAAAAAACCUGUAUAUAGAGAAAUUAUUUUAUGAAUUCUUCCCACCACAUCAUCUAUAAUCCAUUUCUAAUUAUUUAAUGACAUUUUAGCAAUUUUUUCCAUCUCAUUGACACAUAAUUUUGGUAAUUUUUUUUACUUUGGACCAUGAACCUUGAACCCUUAAUCUUGAAACUUGAACUCUAAACCUAAACUUGAACCUUAAACCUUAAACCCCUAAACUUAGGUUAAGAAUUCCAGGUUCAUGGUUCAAGGUAAAAAUUAUCAAAAUUAUGUGUCAAUGACAUGGAAAAUAUUGUUAAAAUAUUAAUAAAUAAUUAAAAAUGGGCCAUGAAUAAUGUAGUGGGAAGGGCCCAUAAAAUAAAUUUUCUUAUAUAUAAAAUAAAUAUAACUAGAUAAAUUAAAAAUAAUAAAAAUUUAAACUCUAUCACUAAAUAAAUAUAAAAUAAUAAAAAUCUAAUUUCUAUCAACUCUUUGAUUUUCACUUCUUUAAAUCCCAUUACGAUAAAUAAGACAUAAAAUUAUAUACAUGAUUCAAACUCAAAUUAUUUUUAAAAUAAAUAAAUACUCUAUUAAUAAGUCACAACUUGAUAUAAAUUACUAAGUGGUAACUAUUUUUUAUGUUAGCUACCAUCAUGUUUUCAUUAUCACAUACAAGAAAAGAAACGAUAAGGAGAUAAAGUUUUUCAUAUAACUAAUUUUUAAUGUCAUGUGCGUUACAUUUUAUUUUAUAUAUUUUAAUUUAUUAAAUAUAUAUAUGUGCUAAUUAAAUGGGGAUUAAUUCAAUAAAAAAUAAUUGAGAGAUAAAAUAAUGUUUUAAAAAUCAUGAAAAUAAAAAAAUGAAUUAAUCCAUAUUAAUAUAAUAUACAAAUUUAGAACUAUAUAAGAAAGUAGAUAUAAAAGAUAUUUACAUCAAUUUAAGUAUCAUAUUUAAUAAUAACAAUUUAAAAUAAUCAUUGAAAUUUGAAUUUCUUUUACGAAAAAAUCCACAAAACGUUUUUCACCUGCACUAAACAAAUAUUGGAUAAAUAAAAAAACAGAUUUAAGAUUGCUUGCUUCGUAUAGUAUAAACAACUUGCAAAAGAAUAAAAAUAAAAAAGAUAUCAUAAUAUUAUAUUGCCUCAUCAUCAAUUAAAUAAUAUUUUAUCUCUCUUCGGUGUCAUUGUUGUUCGAAUAUGAUUCAUAUUGCCUCUUCAAAGAACUAUUGCAUUAAUACUUCAUGCUUUUUUAUAGGCUUAAUGAUAAAUUUGGCCACUAACUUUUGCAUGAUUUGUCAAAAUGGCCCUAAUUGUAUUUUUGAGUCUUUUUUCUUUUUUUUUUCAAUUUGUUUUUUCUAAUAACUUUAAUGAAUAAAUUCAACAUUUUAAUCUUUCUUUUCUUUCAAAAGGUUUCAAUCUUUCAUACGUUUGUUUACUGAGAAGUUUUUCAACUAAGUUAAUUUUUUUAGAUAAUUACGUUUAUUUUCUUUAAAUUAAGAUUUUUUUAAUUUAAUGUAUUAUUUAUUUUAUUUUAUUAUUUUCCGCAUGUAAUUAUCUUAUUGAGUUAUCUAAGUAAUAAAUUAUAUCUCAUUAAAAAUAUUCCACAUAUGAAAUUUCACAUCAUUCCCGUUAACUUUUUUAACGAUACUUUCAUUAAGUCUGUUUGAAAAAGCAAAUUGAAAAAAAAAUAAAGGUUGAUGGCAAAAAAAGGUUCAAAAAUAGAACUAGGGUCAUUUUGACAAAACAUGCAAACUUUAAUUGCCAAAUUUGUCAUUAAGCCUUUUUUUUUAUAUAAUUCUAACUUAUUAUUGCUAACAAUCUCCAUUUUUUUACAAACAUUUUUUUAAAAGUUAUUUGAUUGAAUAUACCUAACUAGGGCUGAGCAAGAAAAACCAAAAACGCGAAAGCCGACCCGAACCAAGGUGUUUGGAUGGUUUAUAGAAUGCAAGUUUAAAAAUCGUACGUGAUUACCCAAAACUGAACCAAAUUCUAUUUUUAUUUAAUAUAUAAUUAAUUUUAAUUUUUAUGAUAUAAAAAUAAGUAUUUUAUACUUAAAAUAGUGAAAAUAGUUUAAAAUUUUUUGAAUUUGUUUUUGUUUUUAAGUAAUAUUUAUGAAAAAGACUUUGAUAUUUUGUCAAAUAAUAUUCAUAAUCUAUAAAACAAAACUCAUUUUGUCAAAAUAAGAUUAAAUCCAAAACAAAAAAUUAAUAUAAAAAAGGGACAACCGAACCAAUCAUGAUAAACAAUUCCAAAAAUCCAAAAAAUCUGACCAAACUGAACUGACAUCACCCCGACACCUAACUACCGAAUGCUAUUUAUAAAGCUAAAUUUAAAUUUGAAUUAAUAUAUGCUUAGAGCUCUAUUCAAUUAUUAACUCUAUUUUACAUAAAUAAAAUUAGCACAAUUUUUAAAAAAAUAUUUUUAUAAAAAUAUCAAAAUUAAAUUAGCACAAAUUUUCUUAUAUUUUAUGCUAAGAAUUCUAUUCAAGUAAUAAUUUUAUUUUAAAAUUAGCAAAGCAUUGCUUAAAUUAUUUUUAAAAAAAAUAAUUAUUAAUUAUAAUUAUAAUUAUUUUUAAAAUUAUAAUUAUUUUUCAAUAUGUAAUUAUAAUUAUUUUUAAUGUAUAAUUAUCACAACUUUUAUUUUAACUAAUAAUUAUAAAUUAAAUAUUAUAAAUAUUUUUAAAUUUCAAAUUAGUAAUAUGAUAGAAAAUAAAUGGUAUUUUUGUUGGUUUAUUCUACAAGCAGGAUUGAAAUUUUGUUACAUGUGUUAUUUAUUUUUUAAAUAUAACUUAAGGACACAUGAUAAAAUCCUAACCCCGUUGUGGAACAAAAACUUCCCACAUUAGUGUAUCAAAUAAUUAUCCUUUAUUGAAGGUUAGUAUUUAGUGUAUUGGUGGUGAAUUUUUUAAACUCCCACAAGCAGCAUUAAAAAAAAUUAUCAUGUGUCUCAUUUUUAUAUGUAUUUAAAACUUUUUUUUUUUAUGUUUUAUCAUUCCCAACAAUCACAUGUCACCCUCUCAACCCUACUCGUACAAUUUUAAAACAUCAUUACUAGAAUAUCAAGUAAUUGCAAUUAUAAUUAUCAAAUAUAAAAUUUAUAAAAUCAAUCCUUAUUAAAUUUAAUUAUCACUUAAUUAAAAUUACAAUUAUAAAUUAAAACUAAGAUUUAGAAAUAUAAAUUAAAUCAUCGACAUAAUGUUCAGAAAUUCUCAUUCAUGUACCAUUCGAAGAAAAUCAUUUAAAAAAAUUUAAUAUAUUUUUUUGGACGAUUUUUUUUUUAACUAUAUAGUAUCGUUGAAUUUGUUUUUUCGAUAUACCUACCAAAUCCACUAGGCUAUUUUUAAAUAUUAAUGGAAAUUAAAUUUAAAAAAAAAAGAAGUAAAAGCGAUCAAAAUCUGAAUACUGAAUGUAUCAAGAAAAUCUGAAUUCUGUAUGAUAUUAUGAUCGUCACAUUACAGUAUUAAAGUGCACAAUUAAUUAACAACUAUGAUUGAGAUUCUAAUACUUUCCUUAAGCUUUGGCAUCACCCCCAGGGCUCCAAAUGUUGGUCAAAAGUGAAUUAUUUGUUUAUUUAACUAAUGGGUUGGGUUGUAAAUUUAAAAUUUGUUGAGGGUGAAUUGAUUUUGUUAGGAUAAAUUUGUAAAGUGUUUUCCGUCCAGAGUUGAUGGACCUCUCAAUUGGCUAAUAUUAUCUUUAGUGGAGGAUUUUGUUUCUCAACUUUGUCAAGGGUUGAAUGCCUAAAGAGGUAAUGAGUUUAUAGAAUAAGAGCCUCUUAUCGAGUGCCUUAUAAGGCAAAUCAUAUGUGUUAGCAUGAUUAGACUCUCAUUCAUGUCCUAUAGCAUACAUCGUAAGUGGAGUGGUAGCAUUGUGGCCUAUGCUAUAGACGUGUUUAAACUGCAACAAACACAAAUAUGAUAUUUCCUUCUUUUAGUGGGUGGUCGUCUUCAUAAGUACCGGAAGAAGCACUCUCACUCUGUGAAUCUAUUGUCUUUUCGGACACUUUGGUUUUCAGUAGAGUUGAGAGAUAAAACCUCCACCGAGGGCAAUAUAAACCCAUUGAGGGAUCCACCAACUCUCAAUGGACAACAGUUCAAUGAAUUCUUUUGAUAAAGUUAACUUCCACUCAAUAAAGUUCUAGGUCCUUAAUUACUUAGAUUUGAAUUUUGCCAUACAUAAUUACCAUUUAAGUCUAGCAUGCAUGAGUUGGAUCGGGGCCAGCCCUAGGGCUUGUUUAGAGGUGCAACCGCCCAGGGCCCAAGGCUAAAAGGGGCCAAAAAAAUUUUUUAUUCAGCUUUCAAUGUGGGAAAAAAAAUUCCAAACUAAAAUAAAAUAAUUAAAUGCUUAGGGUUUUCAAUUCUUAGCCAUAAAUAUUUCAUCUUCAACUCCUUAGCUUCUUCAAACCUCCUCUUAUUCCCAAAUUCCAUAACCAUAACCAUAGCAAUGGGAAAAAUUUUCUACAAAUUAAAUAAGACAAAAUUUGAUUUGAGUAAUACAUCAUUCAUCCGUCAUUAGCAUCAUUCAAUUGAAGUUAUUAAUUUUUACUUUAUAUUUGAGAGAUUAAGAGCCUCACAUCCAUGAUCUGCUGGAUCUACCAUUGUUGCAGGUGUAAUUCUCCUGCCUUUCUCUUCUUUCAUUCUUAAUUUGAUGAUAUUUUUUGGUUUUAACUAAUAAAAUCAUUAAGUCAUCCUUAUAUUUAGCUUCUCCCCUAAUUCCUUUUUUGAUGACAUAGGAAUAGGUUAAAUGAAACAUAUAUAUAUAUAUAUAUAUAUUUAAUUUUGUUAGAAAAUAUCUUCAAUUAAGAAUGACUUAAUGAUAUUUUGUUAGAAAAAAUUCCCCUAAUUCCAAACGUAAUGAAAUUACUAAUAUAUGAUUUUAUUUUAUUAUAUUACAUUUAUAAUUUUUAAAAAAGAGUCUGAUUUAUUGUUUUGUCUAGGGUUCCAAAAAUUUCAAGAACAUACCUAAACUAAAUUAUGUUUUAAUUAUUUGAAUAUAUAUAAUUCGUAAAAUUGUAUUAGUAAAAGCUACCUUAAAAGAAUUACAAUUGUGUCUCAUAAAACCCACGUCAAUUAUGUUACUUCCCACAUUUUUCAUAUGAAAAGUUGAAAAAAGUGGUUCCAGUGAGAAAAAAAUUUGAUCCGAAGAGGAAAAGAAAUAAAUAAAUCCUUCAUUGGAAUGUUUGUUUAGGCUACUUUUUCACUUUAAUUUUGGGCGGAAAACAAUGCUUAAAAUAUGCAAAAUGGACAUGUAUGAACAUCAUUGUCCUUUUACCUUUUAAAGAAAUUUGAGUUUACACAAAAUUAUACAACAAUUAGCUUUUUAGAAGGUGUAGGAUUUGGGUUCUACAUUUAAAAUUUAAACAUAAAUAUUUUAUUACCUUCACUUUAAAACUUUAAUUAAGAACGAUGGGUUUUAUUGGUUCCGAAUUUGGUUUAUUUUAAGGAUUAUUUUUGGGUUUGAAUAAUUUUUUAUUCAAGAUUAUUUUGAAUUCAAAUUGUUUUUCUAUUCGAGUUGUUUCAGGUUUAGGACAUUUGAAGCUUAGAUUAUGUUGAGAACCAACUUUUCAAGUUUAGUGAUUUUAGAUUAUUUUUAGUUCGGAAUCAUUUUUGGGUUGAAAUUAGAUAAGUUCAAAUUGCUAUUUUUUAUAGUGACAACUCUAAUAAGAACUUUUAAAAUGAUAAUCAUAAUAAUCAAAAUAAUUUUAACCAUUAAAUCAAAAUAAAUGGUUUUAAGUAUUAAAUUUUAUAUUUAUCCUACAUUGUUGAAAUAAAACUGACAACACCUAAUUUUUCUCUUUUUUUUUCUUUUCACUGUGUAAUUAAUGUAUCAAUGUGAACAAAAUUUUGUAUAAUUUAGACUUAUUUAAUUUUUUUUAAAAAUAAAAUAAAAAGCAAAAUAUUAAAAUUAUUAAGAUUAAUCAAAUUUUUAAUAAAAUACCUAAUACGAAAGAAACACACAAAUUUAACACUUUUCUUUCUAUUUUAUUAGUAAAUACACACAAAAAAAAAAGGUGGGUUUCCUUGCAUAAAAUAAAAAAAUAAUAAAGCAAUUUGAUUUUUUAAAUAAAAUAAAUUAGUCAAUUAGAGGGGAAAAGGAGGAAAAAGAAAAGUAAAAGCAAAACUAAGAUGAUUUCCGUGACUAAAACGACGCCGGCUCUGGCUCAAAAGUACCCAAACUCCAAUUACCACGCUGUUAUUUUGAUUGGCAACCAAAUUAGCACCUUUAAUUUUACACUUGCCGAUCGUACGGUUAAUUUUCAAUGAACGAAGUAAUCAACGGCUAAGAUCUUCCCUUUUGGAUCUUCUUUACUCAGCAAUAUGAUUUGCCCCCCGAAAAACAAAUAUCUGACAACUGCCCGAAGCUUUGUUCCUGUAACUGACACGGGCAGCACCCACUUCUCUUCGGGCAGCUACAAACUCCGACACAUUAAAUAGGUUCAAUUCUGUUUUUGGUCCUUCUACUGUGCUUAAAGUUUGAAUUUAGUCCUUAUGCUUUAACUUGAUGUAGUUUGAGCUUUUACUUUUAUGUUAAUUUCUCCUUUAUUAGUUUGGUUGCUAUUAACUGACAAUUAACUAGAAUGAGUGUGUUUAAGAAAAAAAAUAGAUUAUUAUUUUAACUGGCUUAAUUUAAUGAUACUAAAUAUUUGGACUAAAUAAUUAUACUAUAAAAAUAGAUAGAUAAAAUUAUGAUAAAUUGAAAUAUAUGGAUUAAAUUUUGAAUUUGGUCAUAGUAUAGGGAUCAAAACCAAAUUUGACCCUUAAAAAUGAAAACUAAAUAUUAAAUUAAAAAGGUUAAAAAAUACUCUUAAGCCUUCUACUUCAUGCAUUUGAAAUUUAGUCCAUUUACUUUUAUUUUAAGAGAUUUAAUUUCUCUACUUGUUGAAUUUGAAAAUGGAACUGUAAUUGUUAACCUUGUUAAAUUUUUUUUAUUAAAUCCAAGUUCAUUGCAACAUCAUUUUUUUAUUACAUGGUUAUAACGAGAGUAAUUUUUUAUUAUUUCAAAACGUUAUUAGAGAAUUUAACAUAAGAAUUUAGCAAAGCUGGACUUCAACUUUGAAAUUUGAAAAAUAAAAGGGUUAAAUUUCUAAAAAUAAAAAUAUAAAGACUAAAUUUCAAAUAUAAAAAUAGUACAGGGACAUGGGGCAGAUUUUAAUCAUUAAAACAUUAAUUAUUUUUUUUUCUUUUACUCGCUUUUGAAGAGCAACUACUUAAAUGUGAACUUUUGCCGAAAUUAAGAGAGAGGCCAAGCCACCACGCACCACCAACUGCCACCACCGGAGGGCCUCGCUGACGACCGGUGGUGAAAGGUAGAAGCAAAUCAAGAAAGCCUUUUGUUUCUCUUGAAAAAGAUGGGUCAGGGGCUGAGUUGUGGGGCGAGUCAAGAGAAUGGAUUGUUUAGUGCAGUUAAAGUUGGAGACUUUGAAACCGUGGAAGCUUUGUUACAGAGAGAACCCAGUCUUUUACAUCAUACAACUGUUUAUGAUCGCCAUUCUGCUCUUCAUAUAGCUGCUGCUAAUGGCCAGAUCGAGGUGGGUACUGCCUACUACUCCCUUUGGAGGUUUCUCAAGAUUUCUUCUUUUUUUGGAUUAAGUUUUGUUCUUAUUUGGUUUCAAUCCAUUGAUGUGAAAAUGUGUUUUUUUAUUGGUUCAUAGAUUUUGGCUAUGCUUUUGGAUAAAUCCAUGAACGCAGAUGCGGUGAAUCGUAACAAGCAGGUAAUUUUCAUUUUUUGGAAGUUUUUAAAGUUCUUUUUGGUUAUAUAUGUUACCUGUACUUAGUUUCUUUUUUUGUUUCUUUUUCAAUGGUUUUAGACUCCACUUAUGUUGGCUGCAAUGCAUGGGAAGAUCUCCUGUGUGAAGAAGCUCAUUGAAGCGGGGGCCAAUGUGAGCCGUUUUUCUUUGUCUUUUAAAUUCCUGGGUUUUUCUCACUUUUUCUUAAAAGCUACAAUUUAACCCAUUUUUGUGUGAUUUGCAUGAUCUGAUUUAUGCCUUUUCUCUUUCCAGAUCUUAAUGUUUGAUUCCCUCCAUGAAAGAACUUGCUUGCACUAUGCAGCCUAUUAUGGCCACUUUGACUGCCUUCAAGCCAUCCUCUCUGCUGCUCAAUCUAGCCCUGUUGCUGUUUCAUGGUGGGUGGGGGAUCAUUCAAGAUUGCUUGAUUUGCUUUGCUCAUAAUCUAUUUUUGAUUGAUUUCAAUUUUUUAAUUGAUCUCAUAUAUAUAUAUUGGAUAUGAUGAUAUCAGGGGAUAUGCACGGUUUGUGAAUAUAAGAGACGCUAGGGGAGCCACUCCUUUGCACUUAGCAGCUCGUCAAAGACGGCCCGAAUGCGUUCAUAUCCUGUUAGACAACGGUGCUCUUGUUUGUGCUUCAACCGGUGGAUACGGGUAAUAAUUCCUAUUUGAAGUUGUUCGAUGAUAAUUUUUUUUUUUUUUUUUUUGGUAUUAGUCUUCUGCAAAUGACUAUAAUGAUUGAAAUCUUGUUCUUUUCAGUUGUCCAGGAAGCACCCCUCUUCAUUUGGCUGCUAGAGGUGGAUCUCUCGAUUGUAUACGUAAGUUGUUGGCAUGGGGUGCGGAUCGUCUUCAAAGAGAUGCAACAGGGUAUGGUUUAAUUUCACUAUUUAUUUAUAUGGAUUUCCAAAUUAUUAUCUUAUUACAGAUCUUUUAUUCUUCAUGUGUUUUUUAAUUGUUUCGAGAGAUUCCUGAGUGAGUUUCAUUAUAUUCCAGUCAAUCUAUUUGUCCUACAUGGUUUGAUGUAAACUGGUGGGAAUCUAUUCCCUAGCCUUGACGCCUUUUUCUCUCUUCUUUUCUUGCCAUAUGUGAUUCAUUUCAUUUGGCUUAUGGUUUGUUUGUGUUAACACUUGCUAUGGUUAUGUUUGUGUCUUUGCAGGAGAAUACCGUAUAUAGUUGCUCUCAAGUACAAACAUGGAGCAUGUGCCGCUCUGUUAAAUCCAUCAUCUGCCGAACCUCUUGUCUGGCCAGCACCUUUAAAGUUCAUUAGUGAGCUCAAUGACGAGGCAAAGUCACUAUUAGAACAGGCCUUAAUGGAUGCAAACAGGGAAAGGGAAAAGAACAUCUUGAAAGGAACAGCUUACUCACUUCUAUCACCGUCACCUUCCCGCUCUGAUUCUGGGUUAGACGACAGUAUUUCUGAGGUAAAAAAAAUCCCUAACCAAAGCCAUGCGUUUGCCCUUGACCCUAGGUUCCAAUUGUGGUCCAUGAUGAAAUUAUUGAGUUUCAUGAUCUAGCAAUAUACAGCAUAAAUUUUUACUUUUUAACAUACUAUAAAACCUAUAUGUAGGUCACCGUAAUCCCCAUUUUUGCAUUGACCCUACUACUUAGAACCUGGCUGAUAGGUUUCAGUUAUGUGAAUAAGUUGUGGACCAUCUUGGCAAUAAUGGAACUGAUGUAUUCCCCGGGGAAUUAUUUCGAUGUAGGUUAGUGAUGCUGAACUAUGCUGCAUAUGCUUCGAGCAGAUCUGCACGAUCGAAGUCCAAGACUGUGGUCACCGGAUGUGCGCACAAUGCACAUUGGCCCUUUGCUGCCAUAACAAGCCGAACCCUACAACUGCAAGCAUAACACCCCCGGUCUGCCCCUUUUGCCGCAGCACCAUCGUCCGAUUGGCAGUAGCCAAGAUAAAAGAUUGCGACGACGAUGUUGGGGAGGAUGGUAGUUCCCCGAAGGUGAGAAGACGGAGGAAGUCGAGGAAUUUCAGCGAGGGGAGCAGCAGUUUCAAGAGCUUAUCUGCAGUUGGAUCCUUUAACAAGAUGGGGAGGAUUGCAGCAGAAAAUGAAUGGAUUGAUAAGCCUUGAAAAAAUGGGGGGGCAUUUUUGGCAGCUCAGUUUGAAACAUUCAAGUUGUUGAAUGUAGGAUAUAAUUAAAUCCCUUAUCCCAAUGGAAAAAUGCAAUGAAGAAAUUAUGAGUGAGGAGUGGACCCAUAUGGUAUAUAAGAUAGAAAAGUUGGGUCCAUUUGGUAAUUGUAGAUAGGUGAAAAUAAGCAAAAGAAAUUGCAGGUUUGGGGUUGGUGAGUGGGGUCAAUAUUGUUGUAAUAUUUGUUUUACUUGAGAUUGAAGUUGUAGCAUUGGGUCUUUAGAUUAAAUAUUUCAAACAUUUCUAAACAUUUCUUCAAUGGCUGCUUCAUGAAAAUUUGUUGAAGCAUCCCACCUCUGAAAGAGUCUUUGAUUUGGGUCAAAUCAAGAUUCUUGACCCUACUUAAGUCCCACCUAUAUAUAUAUAUAUACACAUAUAUUUUAAGGUAAUGGUAGUGAAGACUUCAAUAUAAUAUCUUUUUCAUUUCAACUAAUAUCAUUUGACUGAGAUGUAAUUAUAUAUUGUUUGAUUAUUUAUUUACAAAUGUAUGAACCAAAAUUUAAAAAGAAAGUGUUAAGGUUUCUCAUGUGAUCAUGUUCCCAUUUCUUUGUUUUUUUCAUAAGAAAAUAAGAAGAGAUGUAAACAACACCAUACACCACAGGGAUACAUAGUACAUGUUAAAAUGAGUCCAAUACUGAUAAUAUCUGCAAAAUUAACUAGAGAUACAUCAUCAUCUUUAUAGUAUUUUGACCCUCCUAACUUGAUCAUAAUUUCCGCUCAAUCAAUUAAUCAUUGUCAAAGGCUCCCAAAAGACAUUACCGCAUCGAUGAUACACAAAAACUAGUCUCAAAAUGGUUUCUCUCCUCUGAUCAUCAUAAUUUCAGAGCAUCUGACUGUGUAAAAAUGAAAGUCUAAUUAGAACCAUCACUGUUAAAAACAAAGAGUUGAUGAAAUCAGAAACACCAUAAUUUUAAGAGAAAACCAAGUGGAUUCAAUAACUGCUUUUAUAUAUAUAUAUAUAUAUUAUUUAUAAAAAAAAUAUUCGGUACAUUGUCAACGCAUUUUUUAAAUUUUACAAGCAAGGUUAAGGAUUGAUAAGUUCCUUAUAAAAGUAUAAUAAAUUAUUAAAAAAAUAUAUAUUUAAAAAAAAGGGCAAAUAUCAAUUUUUUAAAAUUGAUUAUAAAAUAAAAAAAAUGCAGUUUAUCUAAUACUCGCCUAUUGUUUACUUAUAAACUUUCAUACACUAAAGCAGUUGAAAAUGAGACUAGAAAUGUGAGAGAUAAUUUUUUUGGGGUAAAUUAUAUCCAUCGUCAUUUUUGUUUACCUCAUAUUACAUUUUAGAUAUUUAUAUUUGAAAGGUUACGUUUUAAUCAUUUAUGUUAUUAUGUUGUAAUAUUUUAAUAACUGAAUUGUUAACGGUGAAACAGUAAACUGACGUGGCACGUUAAAUCAUCAUUUCAAACAAAAAUUUUAGGUUAAAUUAUAUAAUUGGUCUCCAAAUUUUUUUGUUUUGAGCAAUCUAAUUUUUUAUUUUAUGAUCUUUUAACUCUUUUUUUUCCAUUCUCAUCUAUUUUUCCCUCUGUUUUCUUACCUUCUCCAUUUCUUUUAAUUUAUUUGGAAGUCGAAUUGGCAGUGAAGAAACAAGGAGGAAGUCGAAAUCCAUCAUUUUCUAUAACCAAAACCCACAAACCCAUACCAUCUGCUAACUAUCAAAACCCUCCACCACCACCCGUCAUCUUCGUUUCAUCUACUAACACCUUCAUUACUACCAUGCCCUCAUUUCGAAAACAUCUCAAAAAAUCUCUUGGACUACCCAAGAUCGAAUCCAUCAUUAGCUAUUAGAUCGACUCGAUUUUCUAAUAUGUGUUUCUCCUCAUCAAUACCUUCUUCUUGACUUUUAGGAUCGACAAGAAAGUUGUCGGAGUACCUUCAACUUGCUUGACAUGAAUCUAAUCCCUCUCUUUUCUCAAUUUCUCUCUCUUUUUACACUCUUUUUCUUUGUUGUAAGUCUAAUCUUUGGCUCUCUAUGAUUUUUUGGGCGUAUUAAUUGUUGUUCACUUGGAUUCUUAAUUGAUUUGAACAUGGGUUUAUUUGGUGAGGAGAUGAUAUUGUUGGGUUUGUCAUGAAUGAGGUCAUACUAGUGGUGAAGGUAUUAGUAGAUGAAAUGAAGAUAAUAGGUGAUGGUGGAGGGUUUUGAUAGUUAGCAAAUGGUAUGGAUUUAUGAGUUUUAGUUAUAGGCAAUAAUGACUUUCGACUUCCUCCUUGUUUCUUCAUUGCCAAUUCGACUUUCUGAUAAAUUAAAAGAAAUGGAGAAUGUAGGAAAACAGAGGGAGAAAUAGAAGAGAAUGAAAAAAAAAAGGAAAGUUAAAAGAUCAUAAAAGAAAAAAAUUAGAUUGCUCAAAACGAAAAAAUAUGUGGAACAAUUUUAUAAUUUAACCUAAAUUUUUUGUUUGAAAUGAUGAUUUAACGUGCCACGUCAGCUUACCGUUACACCGUUAACGACAAUUAAGGCUGAGUGACUAAAAUGUUACAACAUAAUAAUAUAAGUGACUAAAACGUAACAUUUCAAACAUAAAUGACUAAAAUAUAACAUGAAAUAAAUAAACGUGACCAUGAGUAUAGUUUACCCUUUUUUUUUAGGAAAAAUGUGAGAGAAUUAUUUUUAAAGUUUUUCAUGUAUUUCUUAUUUCUAUUAAAUAGACAAAAUUUUCAAAUGUAAUUAUUUAAUAUAUAUGCACUGAAAUUUUUUUAUUUCACAAUAAGAUUGAGAUUUUGUUUAUUUAUUUUAAAAUUUUAAAUAAACUUAAAAGGCACAUGAAAAAAUUUUAAUUUUAAUUUUAUUUACGAAAUAAAAACUUUUUACCCUUAGAAUGGCAAAUAAAUAUCUUAUUUCAAAUAUUAAUUUUUUUAAAAAAAUUUUUUUUUUUGAAAGGAUUAGUUUUCUUUUCUUUUUUCAAAAUUUUAAAAUUUAGUCCAUCUACUUAUGGUUCCAUUAAUGUGUAGUAAUUUUAUUUGUUAGGUUUAAUAAUUAAAGUGUAAACUAAUUCAUUACUUUGUUAUUAAAUUUCUUUAAAUUUAUGUAUGUGACAUUUUAAUAUUUAAAAUUUUGAUUUAAAAAAUCAAAGUUUAAUUUUAUUAUAUAUAUUCAAAUAUCACUUAGACUUUAAAUUCUUCUAGUUAAAAGUGAUUGGAUUAAUUUUGUUUUAGAGUGUUUGGUUUGUCAAAUCUUAGAUUACAUUCCGUACUAAGUAAUCAUAUUACGAGUGGAAUGUAAAAUCACUUUAUUUUGGUCAUCUGACUGGAAUGUAAGAUUGAUGUGUUUGCUUGAGGGCACAUAAGAUUACCUAGAAGUACAUUUUACUCAAUUAUCCUUGUCAUAAAUUUUGUUUUUUUUAACAAAUUUAGUUAUUUUAAUUUUUCUAGUCUUAAUUUCCAUAUUAUAAAUUAUAUAUUAAUAAGGAAAUAUAUGAUGUUGAAAUAAAUUUAUAAAUCAUAAUUAUAAUAAUUCAUGAAAAGUGAUUGCAACAUCAACCAUAAUUAUAAUUAUAACAACAAUUAAUAUAUUAGUAAACAAAUUAUUAAAUAAAAUAUAAAAAUUAUAAUUGUAAUGUAUGCCAUCUAUGGGUUCACUGUUACAGAAUUUUUUUUUUGUUUUUAAUUAGCCUUAAACUUUAUUUAAAGAAAAAAAACCUAAUUAAUUAAAAUUGGUCUAAAAUUUAAGAUUAUGCCCAUAAUAUAAGAAAACCUAUGGAAUGAACCGUAAUGAGAUUAUACCCUAUAUUACGACAUCUUGACAUUAUUCCGUAAUGUAAAAUUAUGGGAUGAUCGGAAUGUUGAUGAUCCAAACACUAUAAUCUCAUUCCGAAAUGUAACAUAACAGGUUGUAAUGUUACAUUCGGCAAACCAAACGUCCCCCUUAAAGUUUGAAGAUUAUAGAGUAUAAUUAGGAUUUUAAAAAUACGUAUUUUUAUAUUACCCUAAUAAUUGCCAAAGAUAUUUGGUGUGUACGAAUUGAUGUAGAAAUGGAAGUAAUAUUGGAGGUGUUGGAUCUAGUGCCCUAAGUGUAGUAUUUCAUCAAUAUACACUUGUAAUUUUUUCGAACAGAUUGUCUAAUAAAACAAAUUCAUUGAUUACAUUAAUAUAUUUUGUAUAAUCGUCCUCACAUAGUUUUUGCAUGCAAAGCAGGAUGGAAGCAAAUGUUGCUUAUUGUUGUCUAAAUGUUUAACUAUUACUAAGCAGUAUUACGUGGUCGGAUCAUAGUACAGACUGACAACUUGUAUUAGUAGACAAACCUAAACAUAUCCUUAGUCUAAUUGAAAAUGAGCAAACUGAUUCAAAGACUAAUAUAUUGUCUAUCAAGCCCAAUUGGGGAGAUGCCUUGCCUAAAGGUGUAUAGAGGUAUAUGUAAACGAUAUGCUGGUAAAAAACAUCACGAUGGAACAACACUUGAAUGAUUUGCAAGAGGUAUUUACAUUUUUGAGAAGGUACAACAUGAAACUCAACACUGCUAAAUGUGUAUUUAGAGUUUGAGCUAAGAAAUCAUUGGGGUUUAUGAUUUCCAACAUGGGGAUUGAGGCCAAAUUUGAAAAAAUCAAGGCCAUUUUGCAAAUGCUCAAUCCAAAAAAUGACAAGGAAGUCCAACGAGUAACGGGUAGGGUUGUUGCGCUUAAUUGAUUUGUCUUUAAAGUUGACAGACAAGUGCACACUUCUCUUUAAAACCUUAACCUUUCAAUGGUCAAAGAAGUGCCAACAAUCGUUUGAGCAACUGAAGUAGUGCCUUAGUACCUCUCUAUUGCUAGUAUCGCCACUUCCGGGUGACACCGUGUAUAUCUACUUGGUUGCUUCAGAUGAGACAGGAGGAACAGUUUAAUAAAAAGGAUGGAAGGGCAAUAACAUCCAAUGUAUUAUGUGAGUAGGAUCAUGUAGGAAUGUGAAUUAAGGUACCUUAAGGUGAAAAAAAUGUUUUUGCUUUUGUGAUAGUAGCUCAGAAGCUCUGUUCGUAUUUCCAAGCCCAUUUGAUCAUUGUUCUGUCAGACCUAUCGUUGUGAGAAAUUUUAGGAAAGAUUGAUCCUCUGGUAGAAUGGUAAAAUAGAGUGUCGAACUCAAUGAAUUUGGGCUAAACUUUUUAUUGCAUAAGGCAAUAAAAGCACAAGUUUUAACAAAGUUCAUUGUUGAGUGUUCUUCAGACAUCAACUAGAGCCAAACAUUAUAGCAAACCCUUCGAAAAGCCAAGAAAUUAAUGUAGAGCCAUCCAUAGAGAAGCCUAUCAAAAAUAGUGCCAUAUGGGUUUGACAUGUGGAUGGUUUCUGAAACAAAAUGGGUUUUGGAACAGGUAUCUCAUUAGUUGAUUCAGAUGGUAAUGAAUGGGAGUAUGGUCUUUCUUUUGUAUUUUUCUGUCCAAUAAUGCUAUUAAAUAUGAGGCGAUGGUAGAAAAAUUGGAACUGACACAGAAAUUAAGAGUUCGAAAGCUUCACGUUGAUCUAUCGUAAUUUGAUACGUCAAAUUAGGUUCUCCAUUACACUUGACGAGCUUAUUCUCGAGCAAUUUGAAGGUAUUUUUCAUGUUUUUACUUAGUUUUAGUUCUUUGCUUUAAUAAGUGAAUUAGUGUGUUUUAUACUAUUUUUGAAACUCAAGCUGGUCAAGUGUGCCAAAGGAAACCUAAUGGGUUGAUUGAGUGUUGUAGGGAGUCGAUGGCGGCCUAAACGUGAAGAAAACAUCACUUAGAAUAGGGGUAUCGUGAUAUUGAAGCAUAGAAGUCGUGAUACCCCUAACAGACUGAAACGAUGAGGAUUAAGGCCAUCUGCAGUGGUAUCGCGAUACUAGCCAUGGGUAUUGCAAUACCCAACCUCCCAAGGCUCCCCCAUUUCAAGAUUGUUGUGGGUAUCUCGGUACCAGACCAUGGUUAUCACAAUACCCCUAAUGAGAGGAGACCAAAAAAAAAACUGAUUGCAGGGGUAAUCCUUGUACAACUUUAACAUCAAUCAAAUUUAGACGUUGAGAGGCAUUUUGGUUACAAAAAUUAGGUUGUAAUCAAAUUAAACAGCCACUUGUGUCUGAGAAUUGGAGGAAAAGCUUUUAUUUAGGUUUUUUUUUUCAUAUUUUUCAUGAAGGUAUUUUUCAUGUUUUUACUUAGUUUUAGUUCUUUGCUUUAAUAAGUGAAUUAGUGUGUUUUACACUAUUUUUGAGACCCAAGUUGGUCAAGUGCGCCAAAGGAAACCUAAUGGGUUGAUUGAGUGUUGUAGGGAGUCGAUGGUGGCCUAAACGUGAAGAAAACAUCACUUAGAAUAGGGGUAUCGUGAUAUCGAAGCAAAGAAGUCGUGAUAACCCUGACAGUGCUGAAGCGAUGAGGAUUAAGGCCAUCUGUAGUGGUAUGGCGAUACUAGCCAUGGGUAUUGCAAUACCCAACCUCCCAAGGCUCCCCCAUUUCAAGAUUAUUGUGGGUAUCUCGGUACCAGACCAUGGUUAUCACAAUACCCCUAAUGAGAGGAGACAAAAAAAAACUGAUUGCAGGGGUAAUCCUUGUACAACUUUAACAUCAAUCAAAUUUAGACGUUGAGGGGCAUUUUGGUCACAAAAAUUAGGUUGUAAUCAAAUUAAAAAGCUACUUGUGUCUGAGAAUUGAAGGAAAAGCUUUUAUUUAGGUUUUUUUUUUCAUAUUUUUAGCUUAGGUUUAAAGUAGUUUUCUUUUCCAUAGUUCUAGGGUUUUAGUUAAAGCUUUUCCUGGUUUUUCUUAGUGUUAAUGGUAGUUAGUUAAGUUAGUUAUCAUUUUAACUAAGAUUUAUUUGCUUGUUUAGUACCUCAAAAUCCUUAUAUUUUCAAUUUAAUGCUUAGUAUUAAUAUAACUCAAUUUCCUUCUAGUUUUAUCAUUAAAAAUUUGAUUUUUAGGUGUUUUUUUACAUUUCCUUUUUUAUUGAGUUUGUCAUUUAUGCACAUUUUGUGUGAUUAUUGUGUUCUUGUUUGUUUAAGUAUGGUUAUGGAUAACUAAAUUUGAAGCUGGAGGUUGAUGAAAAUGUUAGCUAGUUAAUUUUUGGGUUAGGGAUUAAAUUACAAAAAUUGGACUAAAUCAAAUAAAAUUCAAAACUAAGAAUUAACACCCCUAAAGGAAAAUCGGGAUAGGUGAGACCGAGAUGAGAUCUUAUUGGACACCAAUUUGGUUGUCCUGGGUUAGUUUGGUGAGGUCGAGAGAUAAACCAGACUACUUUGUCUAACUUGGUAAAAUUGAGGCCAAGAGAAAAAGACCUACCUCCACCUCUUUUUGUUAUGAAGACUAAUUUGUCUAACAUGAUAAAUUUAGGCCAUGAGAACUUGCCCCUUUUUGUCCUCAAUCAUUGAAAUUCUUCCAAGAUUGUUCGUCGUCGUCUUAUUAGUUGUCACCGCCUUACUAUCGACAUCAAAAGAGCUACCUCCACCCCUUUACGACGAAGCCUGAUCAAUUCAUCCACUUCUCCUCGUGAGGCUAACUAUUUUUCCAAUAAACCACAAAAAAGAAGAAGAAGAAGGAAAACCCCUUUAACUAUAACCAUAGAUGAAGAAUAAAUUAAUCUUUUAGUACCCUAAAAUCAUUCUGAGCAAUUAUCUUUUUAAUUAACUUGUCUUUUGUCCUUGUUCUGGCUAUCAACCUCUUUGGGUGAACUGACUUCCUUUGUACCACCGUGAUCUCCUUUUGAAUCCUCCUUAUCCUCCUCCAUUGUUGAACCCUGUAUCAGCAUUACUAAAAAAUGAUAUCAACUAAUAAGAACAAAGCAUGUGGCACGUUCUCAUUGGACAUUAUACAUUUAAAUAAAGUAGGUCAAAAUUGAUAACGUAAGGAUCACUUGUGAUCGAAAAAAGUAUUAAGUAUCAAUUUCAAAAUUGAAGUAUAAUUUAUGAUCAAUUUACUAAUAAACCCUGUAUAUAACAUGAUCUAGAACAUUUCCACAUACGAACUAGCUUUUAUUAUUAGUUAUGGUAAUUUCUAAUUCGGUUGCAUGUAAGCUGUUGAAUGUAAAAUUGUGAAAUUUGAAAAUAGGUAGAAAUUAAGGUAAGAUAUUUUAGUAAAUUAUUUUGAGAAUAAAUAUGUAAAAUGUUUGAAAAUUUUAUUUUUAUUGCUCAAUAAAUAUUUGACAUGUGCUCUAAUAAAAAAUGUAUAGCGAUAAAGGUUAGCAUUUAAUGUUUACUUUUUUUCUUUUGUCAUUUUGAACCUUUUUUUUUUAUCACUUAGGUUCUCAACCUUUAAAUUAAUUAAAUUAUUUUUUAAAGAUGAAAAACAUUAACUAGAUUGUUAAAAUUUUAACUACACUGAUGUGGCAACUCCUGUGGUAGUCUAAGUAUACUUAAUAAAAAUUCAAAAAAUAAAAUAUUUCUAAAAAAAAUAUAAAAUGUUUUAAAAAAAAUUACCUAUGUCAACAGUGAAGUACACGUAGACUACCAUGCGAGCUAUCACACCAAUGCUAUUAAAAAUUUUAACAAUUCAAACAACUUUUUAUUAAAAACAAAGCAAUUUGACUAAAUUUGAAGUAUGAGGGCCAAGUGAUAAGAAAAGAAUUAGGUAAAAAAAUUGAAAAAGAAGUAUUAAAUUGAAAAAGAACUCAGAGUGUGUUUGAUAAAAAAAAAAUUAAGUAUUGAAUUUUUAGUACUAGAUUUUAUAUUACAAAAUUGUUUAAUAUAUUAGUAAAAAUUAAGCACUUAAUAUAAAUAUUUUGUUUGAUAAUAAUAAAUCUUGAUUUUUGAAAAUUCAUCAUUUCAUAAUUUUAAUCUUAUUAAUAUGAUUUUAUUUAUUUCAUUUUAAAUAGCUUUGGCUAAAAAUUAAAGAUAAAAUUUUGAUUAUUUUAUUUUUAAUAAAAUGAGAAAUAAUUUAUCUCAAAAAUAAAAUUUUAAAAAAUAUAGUUAACUUAAUAUCUUGCACAUUAAGUGAUAAGUGUCUAUUAAGUUAAGAUAAAAUUUGAUUAUUUUUUACUGAAAACUUUAUAUUAAUUAAAAAAUUAAUAUGAUUAUUAUACACAAUUUUUAAGAAAAAAUCAAAGAUUUUCAUUUAUAAUGCUUUAUUAAACACACCAUCAUAUACUAAAAUGAAUAUUAAAGUUAAACUUAAUUACUAAAUUCGAACAAAAAAAACUUAAAUACUAAACUGAACACUAAAAUCAAGUCGAUAUAAUAAUUAUUAUAAAAAAAUAAAAUAUAUAAACACAAUAUAUAUAAUAUUAAAUUAACUAUGAAUCUUGUAUGAUGAUGCAUGGAUGGUGAUAGGAUUGAUGGGCCCAUGGCAACAUCCCAUACACCCAAUCCUUCAAUUUUUUGUAUUAUUAUUUUUCUUUUACAUCUUGAUUUAUACGCGUUAUUUGACUAAUGAGUGUUUAUAUAUAUAUAUAUAUAUAUUUAAAACAUCCUCUCUGGGUUCUCAUUUACAAUUUUAGACCACUUCUGGAUUACGUUAUUUUAUAUGUAAGGUGAAUUUGGAUGAAUAAUAUAUUUAUUUAUAGUUAGUAUAAAAAAAUAAUAAUAAUAAAAUUUGAUAUUAUAAUAAUAUUAUAAUAUAAAAUAAAAAAUAAAUUAAACAUGUCGCAUCCUUCUUUUAAACUCACCUUUAUGUUUUAAAUAUUAUGUUAAUGAAAACUAAAUAUUACUUUAUAAAUUUUUUAAAAAGAGAUUAUUUCAUUAUAAAAAAGUUAAACUCAAAAUUUUAUUGCACAUAUGAAUCACGCCCUUACUUUUUAUCUUUAUUUGUGUGCGUGUACGCGAUGUGCAUUAGCACCUUGUUUUAUAAAUUUUUUUUGAUUUAAAGAUUUGAUAUUUUUUCAUAAAUUAAAUAUUUUUUUAAAGGAAAAAUAUUUCACAUAUUAUCAGUAAGGUUUAAAAUUUUCAUGAGUUAAGUGAAAUAAUAAUGGUUUCUCUUAACUUAACAAGUGGUUGAGGAUUUGAUUUUCACCCUAGAUAUGAAGAAACUUUAAAAUUUUUAGGUUAGUUUUUAAACUUAAUGGUGUUUUUAGGUUAGUUUUUCAAAAAAUGAAAAGAUUUCAUUGGACAAUGAAACAUGUCAAACUUAUUAAUAUUUUAAAAUCAUAAUAUUAAAUUAUAUGCAACAUGAUAUUAAAAAUUAACUUCUUCUUUUUUUGUAAAAUAUCAAACAUUAGAGAAAAUAUCUACCUGAUAUUAAUUAAAUUAUUAUUUUUCAUAAUAAAAAAAUCAUUUAAUAAGAAGAAUAAACAAGUGGCAUACAGUUACGUCCAGAACAAGAGUCGAGGUUGGAAAACAUGAGAUCACGCGUAAAAAUAUCUAUAUAAAACUAUCUGAACCCAAAAAUAAAUGUCAAAUUUUGUUACUAGUCCCUAUACUAUGUUAAUCUGUAGACUUUUAAAAUUUUAUAAUUUAAGUAUUAUGUGAAAAAUAAAUCUAACGACUGUGAUUAAAAUUGAAAUUUAAAUUUUUUAAAAAGAUAAUAAAACUAAAAUUGAUUAAAUUAAAGUAAAGGGACUAAAUAUAUAAAUUGUGUAUAGUAGAAAGACUUGUAAGAAAAUUCGAUCAAAAAUAAAAGAGAUAAAUUAGAGUUUGAUGGGUAAACGAAGUUGACUUCGCCUCGAUUGCAGUACUUUGUAAUUAAGAGAUUACACCGACAAUAAAUUUUUUUAUUAUUUUUUAAACAUUGGAACGUCAAUGUUGAAAUAUUUUACAUUCUCAAAUACAAAAAUGUUUUGAAGACAUUAAAAUUUAAAAACAAAAAUGUUGUGAAGUAGUGUAUAUAUUAGGUUGCGUAUUUAAGUGUUAUUCCAGUUAGUAAAUGAUGUGUGCAUAUACAUUACAUUUUUAAGGGAAUAAUUCGAAUUAUAAUUUUAAAAAUAUUAUUAUUAGAAAAAAUAAUCAUAAAUUUUAAAAAUUUAAUUUUUAUAAUCCAUAAAAUUUACAUAAAAAGUAUUAUUAUAGGUUAGAGUUCAAAUUUUGUGCAAUGAUUUGACCUAAUUUUUAAGGUGUGAUAAUAUGGUUUUUUUUUUCAGUGCAGUAUUAUUGUUUGAAAAUUCGGAAAAUCUCAAAAUAAAUGUGGCGAAAAGCGGAAAUCAAAAUGGAUAAACCUUUGUAUGGAUUGAUAGUUUGGUACAAGCAGAGAGGGUUGCUUAAACCACCCAUUAUCAAAACAACUCAAUGCUAGGAUUCAAGAUGUAAGGGCAUGCUUAGGACUUUAGGAGGGUUGUCCACACAGGCAUCAACAUCUGCACCAAGAAACCUACUAGUUCGAGGAGAAAUGACGCAAGUUCAUAAGGUCCAUAGGUUCCAUUAGGACUGUGUGGCUCCUGCUCGCAGCUCCUCCUCCCACCACAAGGAAGUGACCGAGCAACGGAACACCGAUCAUGUUAUCACUCUGCAUCAACAUUAUCCCUUGAGCAUAAAGGAAAGAACCAAACUUUUUGACCUCUUGUCGUCGUAGUUCUUUUAGACAGUUCCGACGGCUUCCAAGUGUAAUGCUAUUGUCACAACAUUCAUGCAACUAUUUGUACCAUUUUGUUCACAUAGAUGGUAUGUAUGACAUCAAGUUUAGACAAUAAGACAUGAAUAUUAGUUCUAUGCUCUAAGGGCACUCUUUUUUUUGAAAAUUAAGUUAAUAAUAACAAGUGAAACCACUAGCUAAAUGUCAUUCAAAAAUGGAAUCUAUGACAUUUUUAAUCAAAUAUGUCCUCCAUAUGAUAUCUGAUCCAUGAGCAGUAAUGGUCAGUGUGGUGCUGACACUAGCAGGACAUGCACAAAAAGCCAUGCAGGCACCAAUUGUUUUUUGCUGCAAUUAUUGAGUGCUGCUGGUGUUUUCUUAACGGUUGAAGACCUCAAUGUGAAGCAAGAAAACACCUACCACCUCACUCCACCCUCCAUUAUUAUUACAAACCAUGAUGGGAAAAGCACCCAAGCAGGCUCAACAUAACAAUUCCUCAAUCCCCACAAACUGAAGCUGUAAAAAUAGUCUUUACUUUUAACUGUUUUUUUUUUUUGUCCGAGAUACUCGUAUAUCCGGUAGUUACAUUGGGUCCAAUGUCGUUUUUUAUAUCCAGAAAGACUCAAAUUCAAGACCUUACUCAACAUGGGUUUAACUUACUAUAGCAAGCAACCAAAAACCAUUGUACUCUUAUGGUGUAGCAGAGACAGGGGAUUCAAAUGCUGCAUUUAAAGACUAAUUAGCCAGCAAAAACAAAGAACUGUUUUAAUAUGGCACCAUUCAAUGUUCAUUAAGCCAUUUACCACAAUCUACAAGAAAAGAAAAGAAAGAAAAUCUGUAACAAAGUUUUAUGUAGGAGAAAACAAGUAAAAGAGAAAAAACCAAAAAGGCUACUGAGGAAAAAUACAAUCAUGGGUCAUGAGUGAUGACUUUGGAUAUGAAAACUGGAAAGAGAAAGAUGAAAUGUAGCAAUCUAAGCAAAAUCUUUUAACCAAAAUUUAUAUAUAAGCUUCCAUUGAGUCAGUCACUGACCUCAAAGAUGAAGAGGCAGUGAGUAUUGACCCUGAGUGAUCAUAGUCGCCCAAGUCUCACAUUCAGGGGCUGCAAUUCCCCGGGAGGGGGGGGGGCUAACCUUUCUUCCUACAAUCAAAUCACAAUCACAAAUAUGAUUUCAGUACCCUCCAAACAAUCACCAUCAAUUGAACUAAUAAUAUAAAAAAGAGAGGAAAGCUUAUCAUAACAGUACUGCCAUUAGAAACAAAAACAAUAUGACAAACAGGAAGUAGACACAUUACGUGAUAGAAAUUAUAAGAAAACAAUAAAAGAGAAAAAGGAAUCUGAGAAACAACCCACAAGAGAAUAAUCCAAAUGAAGUAGAGAGAAGACAAGCAUUACCAGUUGAGCCAUGUAGUAUGAUGAUGUAUCUGACUAUGUGCUUUUAAUGUUGGAUAUUCGUAUCUGAUUCAUCUUCAGUGAAAACAACUAACAUGCUGUAAACUUGCCAGUAAACUUGAAAUUAUUAGGACCCAGAAAAAUACCAUUGUUAGCCCAAGGUUUUUACUUCUUAGGACCUACAAGAACUGAUGCUUUCACUGUAUCUUCAGUGUGAUGACUCGAAAGGAAAAAAAAAAAAAACCAAAUCUUCAAUGUUUAAUUCUCAUAAUCUGGUGAACUAAUUAGAUUAUAAAAACCCAGAAAUUUUGGUCUGCAAGCCACCUUGAACUAUACAGCAGAAUUUUUUUUUUUUUUUCAUUUUCGAAAAGAGAUUUGGCAUUUGAGUAGGAUGAUGAUUCAGUUACUGCGCAGUUGUAAGAUUUAGUAACUGGAUCAAAAUAACUUUUUGGUGCAUCAUAAAGUUAGUUGGGUAUAAUUGUGGUAGAUUCGCUUUGCAGAAUUGAUAGAAUAUUUCUUCUUCUUACUAAGAACAACAAAAGGCCUGUUAAGAUGAGAUGUAAGAAAAGAACAUGUAUUUGCAGUAAAUGACAGAUCCACUGCCAAGCAGUAACUUUGAUCAGACCUCGGAAAUAUUAACCCAAUCCAUUCGAAUAUUUAUGGUUUUGAAAAUAUUUUUUAUUUUUUUAUGAUUUUAUAUAAAAUUUUUAAAAAAUUUAAAAUUUUCAAGGUCGAAAUUCAAUUGGUUAUUGCUCUGUUACAGUUUAUUUUCUCCAUGCACAAGUUUAAAUAAAUAAAUCCUAAAGUCUUGAAGUAUGAACUAGUAUCCAGCAAGAGAGCCUCAACUCAGCAAAAUUUAUAUAGUCUUAUUUUUGUUAAACUAUGACAUGUAGUUAGGUUAAAUCGAUUUUUACCUGUGAUCAGUUUCAUAAUUGAAGCUAAAAUUGGUAAUUUAGAAUUGAUCAAAUGAUUAGAUCAUGAAAUAAGAUUUGAAUCACUUGAAAAUGUUAUGUUAAGGUUUAUUUGAGUAUUUACAUAUGCUAAAUGUUGUGAAUGGUAGUGCCAUGAAAUGAGCCUAUAUAUUGAAUGGUAAUGAUGUAUGAAUAUAGUAGUUUUGUUUAGAAUUGAAUUUGUUAAGAACGUAUAUUUGGUCAGAAAUGUGGUAUAAAAAUGUGAAUUGGCUGAUUAUGUAUUUGUAGGUUGGGAUCGAAUUAGGCUUUUUAGAAUUAGAGACUUACGUUGUGAUGUCAAUUUGAGAUUUUGAAUUUUUUUUUAGUUUGGUCCUAAUUUGACAACGAAUGUGACAUGUUGUAGGUCAAAUUUGAUGAUCGGAUUAGAUAUAAAAUGUUACAUUUUUAUAAAAUGAUAAAUAUUAUUUUUGAAAGUAUUUUUAUUUUUUAUUUUUAUAUAAAAUGAAAAAGAAAACAUGAGACUCAAAUCUAAAACAUCAUAAAUUCUAGUUUUUUCAAUUUUACCAUCCUAAUUAAAUACUUAUUUAGUAUUUAUAUAAAAUUAUUAUAGAAUGAUUUUAACUUCAAAUUAAUAUUAAUGAUUUUUCCUAGAUAAUAAGUUAAGGCGAUGGGCUAAUAAUGUCCUUGUACUUGACUUUAGGCUGAUAUGCCUUUUUCAAAGGCUUAAUGCAGGCUAAGUUAUGGGCUACUUUCAUAGUCAAUAAAAAGCCUAUUUCUAAGUUUUUCAUUAAACCUUAAACCUCACAUUUUCUAAGAUAUAGUAUUGCAUGUGUCACUAAAUAUAAUUAGGAUUAACAUAAAUUAUCAUAUGGUCAGAAUUUUUUUUUGAAAAAUAUAUAUUGUGCUUUUUAAGUAUCCGGCUCAGUGAGUCUUUUCUUCCGUGAUUAAUUGUUGGCAUCAAUUUUAGUCCUACAUUACAUUUUGUCUCUAUGGACUGAGGAGAAAUGGAGCUCAACGGGAAGAGGAUUGUACCAUGAGAGAAGUAAGAAAGUCAACCUCUUUCAAAUAUGCAACAUGGAUUCUGACAAUAGAAUGGAGUUAGACUUUUAUGCGAUUCUGAAUGAAUCAUCUUUUCCACGGAGGUAAAUCUUUACCCCAUAGGCAACAGGAUAGCAAGUUACAAAUUUUGUUUCAAAAGGACAUGUAUUUCUAUUACUAUAAAAUUCAUAAAUGAAGUAUUUAAUCAUGGCGUUAGCAUUUAGGUACAUUCUUGACAUUUUUGGGCCUUAGGCAAAACAACAAAAUGAGAGUUUAGAUUCCUUAAAAAUUGGUAAAAAAAUUUGACUUUUAAAAGUUAAAAAAAAAUUUGGGCCCCUUAAAAACUAGAAAAUAAUAUUUUGGACCCUUUUUAGCCUUGGUCAUUGGGCAGUCUCACCUCCAGACUACCCCCAAGGCCGGGCCUAUUAGCAUUAUCCUGUUUGUAGUUACGAGUAUGUGUUCCUAAGAAAAGAAAAGAAAAUUAUCAAAAUUUCGAGGUCUUAACAGAUCGUGAAAACACAUAAGAACUCUUGAAUGAAACUAAAAAAGUGAUGUAACUCCAAUUCUUUAAAUCACUAAAUUUCAAACAUGAAAAAUAUGAAAUUUGGUAUAAAGAGUCUUAAUAAAAUUGGGUGCAUAAAUGGGAUAAUUUAGAUAUUCUUAUUAUUUGAACUAAAUAAUAAUAUUAAUAAUAGUAAUAAGGCUAAGUCAUAAUAAAUCAUAUGAAUAAAUUUUAAAAUUAUACAUGAACUUUAAUUUAAUGUGCAAUUUGAUAUAUGGACUUUGAUUUGGUGUAAUUGUAUACAUGAAAUUUUGAUUAUGGUUCAAAUGUAUACACAGAACUUUAAUUUUAUUCAAUCAUAUACAUUUAAAGAAAUAAAUAUAUCAAUUUAUUUUUAUAUUGGAUAAAUAUAAUUAUUUGCGUAUGCAAUAUAAAAACAUAAUAUAAUGUUAUAUUAAUAAUUAUGUUAAUAAUUUAUUAGAAUUGAAUCAAAUCAAAAUUUUAUGUAUAGAAUUACAUAAAAUCAAAAUUCAUGUAUAAAAUUAUAUAUUAAACCAAAAUUUAUAUAUAAUUUUAAGAUUUAUCACUGAAUUAUAUGUAGAGACCAAAACCAUAAUUUUUCUUAAAAAAAGAAAAACAGAACAUAUGGCAUGGAUGCUAAAUAGAAUCUACUAUGUAUAAACUAUAAGUAUGGUUGUUAGAACCAACAUGAAUUGAUUGAAUUAAAAAUUAAAUAACUGGUAACAUUAACAUAUAAUUUGAAUUACUUAUAAUUGUUUUGAACUGAUAAAAAAUAAAAAUGAGAGGAAAUUUUGGUUAAAAUAAAGGAAAAAUUGAAGUUUUAAAAAAAAAUUGAACAUUUUUCAUUAUGAUUUGGUUGAUUUUUAUUUGAAUAUUUGUACAUAUAAUCGCUUUUUUUUUUAAUUUUUAAAAUUUUAAAUUAUUUAUGUAUUUUGAAUAAUUUUUUAUUAUGUUUUACGAUUUAAUUUUUAAAUUUAAUUAUUCAAUUGAAAAUUUAAUCGAUUUGAUUUUUGAUUCCACCCUUAUAACAGUUAUCUCAAAUCAUAAAUAAAUUAAAAUAAAAAAAAUAUUUUAAUAUUUAAUUUGAGUUUUAAGAUUGAUUUGAUGAAAAUUAAUUGGUAAUAUUAUUAUAUUUGAAUUUUCUAUGAUUCUAUUAAUAGAAUAAAUUUAGUAUUUAUGGUAAAUUUGUUUGAUUUUGCAUUUAAUUUGUUAAAUUCAGUCUCAUAAAUGUGAUUUAAUUCAAAUCUUAAGGUUGAUUUAAUAAAAAUUAGUUACUAAUAUUAUUAGUUAAUUAUGAAUUUUCAUCAAAUCAAUUUUAAAACUCAAAUUAUAUAUUAAAAAAUUAACAUUAUUACUUUAGAUAUUAAAAUAUAUAACUUUUAUAUUAGAAAAAAUUGUCAAAACUCUGUUGCAGAUCGAAACUCUGUACUAAUUGGAGUAAAAAAUUCUUAUUUUCAUUCAUGGUAACCCCUUAAAAAUCUGACUAUUCCUACCUAGCCAAAGACAUGUUUCUGACACGGUUAAGACACUAGUGUCGAAAAAUAGACACAGACGAACACGGACGACUGGAGAGCAUAUGGAGAAGAAGCCGUCACGUCUUUUGAAGAUGAAAAGAGAAGUUGUUGUUGCAACUGCUGAAAGAAUUAGACAGUUUACUAAAAAAGAAAAUGAUUAAGAUGUUAAUGUUAUUAAACACCCCGAUUCAUUAAAAGAUGAGAGGUUUUUUUUUUUAGUUGAUUGAAUUUGGGUCAUUGGAACUCCAUAUGAUAGCUUGAUGGUUAAGGGUGUUCACCGUUCUAAAUGUAGUCUGGGUUCGAAUCAUAUUAGUCACAUUUGUUGUUUGAGCUUUACCUUGUUAUUGUAAUUCAUCAAAAAAAUUAAUUUCCUUCUUUAUUAAUUGAACUAUUUCAAGUCAUAACAAAUGUUAUCCUACUACAUCAAUUGGAUUAAUUCAACCAAGAGUAAAUGCACUACAUUAAUUGGAUUUAUUUAACCAAUACCAAAUGUUACAUCACAAUAUCAAUUGGAUUAUAAUAAAAUGAUUGUGAAUAAAUUAAAUUAAAUUAUUACCGCACUAUAUUAAAUGGAAUCUUAUAUUUCACUAUAGCAAUUGGAUUUACAGUAUAUUGAACGAGACUCUAGUAGAAUAAAUUCUAAAUUCGUUUAUAAAUUUAUUCAUUUGUGAUGUUUAUAGUGUGGCUUAGCUCAAUCUUAAUUAAAUACGAAUAAUGCGUGUGUGACUCGUAUAAUUUGAUGUAUUGAUAGCUUAAGUUCAAUUGGUAGUAGAGCCGAAAAUUGAUACGUUGGGUAUACGAAUUCUGCAUGAUGUAGCUUCACUUACAAUAGUGUAAUUCAUAGCCCAAUAAAGGGUAAAUGAUAUCCUCUCAUUGACAUUACAUAAUAGAUGAAAAGUAACGUAGCCAUAGGUCAUUUGUCCUAAAAUGGAUAAUUUAAUUACUAUUUGUUAGUAAUUAACUUUUCAUAAAGGAAGAUAUAAUGGUUAUCUUGAGAUAAAAUAGGAUCAUAUUCAGAGAACAAAUUUUAUCUCAAAGAAAUUAAGAAUUUUCUAUGAGGGUAAUAAACAUACGACAAACACUUAAUAUAGUAACUUUUGUAAUGGUAUAUAAUGGGUGAGCUCAAUCAAGGUACUUCAGUGAAAUAACUCCAUGACUAAAUAAUAUUGUAAUUAAUAGACGAAAAGUUAGAACUUAAUUACAAAUCAUUUGAAUCCUAUUUAUAUAUGUCAAAUCAGCCCCUCCGCUAUCUCAAUAUAACCUUGAUGGUUUGCAUUAAUCUAUAAUAUGAAAAUGUGAAAUGACGAACUAGAGAAAUAGAUCCCAUAUAUCACUAUCCGCAAUAAAUGUCUUUUUUCGCUAUGAAUAAGAGAGGACUUGAGAAUUAAAUUAAUUUUUUUAAAUUACUAUUUAAUUAUUUUAUAAUUAAAUAAUUGAAGUUCAAAGUGAAAAUUAAAUUAAUGAAUUUAUCAUAGUUUCAUGAGAACAAAUUCAUUAAAUUGAUUUACUUAUAUAUUCUAGUAUGGUAAAUUCGACAUAGUUUUAAUGCAAAUAAAUUUGGAUUGAAAAAAUAGUUUAAUUUAUUUUAUUAAUUAAUAGAGAUUAAGGGCUAGAUCAAACAUACACCAAUAUAUAUAUUAAUAUUUUGUCAAAAUAUGGUUAAAUUAUUUUUCCCAAAAUAAAUUUAUAUUUUUAUAAAGUUUGUCUUUCAUUUUUAGUUCUUGAGAGUUUCAUUAAAAUUUUCAUUGAUUUGUCAAUAAAGUACGCAUUCUAUAAAAUUAAUGUCGAGAUUAACUGAGAAGAUCAAGUGGUUGAAAGUUAAGAUUGACAAAAUUUGUCUAACUCAAAAACAUAUGUGAAAUUUGAGUAAUAGGUUUAUUGCUAUAAAACUCACAACCGAUUAAUUUUAAAGAAAAAAAUUAAAAUUUUGGCUGUGCUUACUUUUAUUGUUUUCAAAUUAAUUUUUCCAACACCUUAAUUGCUUCGUUGCAAUGCACAUAACCGAUCGAAUGAUGAUUGUGAUAUGGCUCUGGGGCCAACCCAAGUGGUUAGCUUUGUGCCUAAUAGUUUGGCCUAAUAAGGCACCCUCUUGUUUAUCUUUUUAAUUUUAUAAUGAAGUCUAUUUGAUGAAAUUGUAGAGGAGUUGGAAAUGUUGUUUUUGACAGAAACUGCAGAGAAAAUCCUGGUGUGUUGUGUCUUAUUGAAACUAAAGUUGAUUCUGGUACUUGGCUCUAGACUGGCCAAGAAGUUUAAAGUUGAAGCUUCCUUUGAAGUGGCAGCUAAUGACAUCAGGAUUGAUAUUGUUUUGGCAUCCUACUAUGAUCAAUUUACAGGUAUUGUCUGGAACAUACCAAAUUAUCCAUUGCCGAGUUUUGGAUGGAAGUACAGUUUUGAAGGUCUCUUUUGCUUAUGUACAACCGUUAGUUAUUAUAGAAGAUCAGUUCUGGAUAGAAUUACAGAAUUUUGCAACACAAAAUAUUCUCCAAUGAAUAUUAUGGGAGAAUUUAAUGACUUUGCUUCUUUUGAUGAACGUGAGGGCGGUAUUGGUAAUGGUGUUGAACGCAUGAUACAGUUCAAAGAGAGAUGGAGUAUGUGCAAUCUGAUGGAUCGGGUGCCUCUGAACCAGCAAGCUUUAACCAUAUUUCCUGAAUCAAUAGUAUUUAAUCUUCCUGAUUUAUGUUCUGAUAAUCAUGUUGGUUUAAAAAUUAAUUUUGUUGCACAGCAAAAAAUUAAAUUUUUUUUUAAAAUCAAGCAGUUGAUGUUAUUUAUGACAAUAAAUGAUAAUCAAAUUAAUAAACAUAACCUUUUUUACUAAUAUUCAACUUUAAUCUGCUUAGACAGUAGACUCUAAUUUCACAAUCCAACUACUGAGAAUAAAAUUUUUAUUAAUAUUUAGUAGUAUAUUAUUUUAUUUUAAAAGGCUAGAAAUCAGAAAGAUAAAUUCUCUCAAGAAAUAAGAUUUAUUUGAGGAAAUAAAUUACACUAGAUAUUAAGAAAAUAUCGACGCUAAAGUGGUGUACGCUCUUAAUUUAAUCAAUAAUCUCUUAUAGUGAGAAAAAUACAAGAAUCUCAAUUUUAAUAAAUAAAUAAAACAUAUAUUCCCCAAAGGGAUUACAUGGGGCAGCGACACUACCUUGAGGAAAUAGGGUAGAUGCCCCUUGCUACUCAAAUGAGAUUUUUUUUUUUUUUACAGAAUACUCAAAUGAGAUUGCAAUUCUGAGUUUUAAUUAUAUGUUUUAUUUAGUAUUUUAAUUAAUUUAUAUAAUUUUAUCAACUCAAUACUUAUUUUUCCAUUCCAAAAAAUAUUAAUUAAUUAAUUAAAAUAAAUUUAAUUAAUUCCCUAAUUAAAUUAUUUUUAAUCCAGUUUCACUUCUAAUUUAAUUAAAGUAAUUGAUAAUGAGCUUCAUUCACAAUUAUUUAUUAUUUAUUUAAAUUUGAUUUUUAUAUAAAUUUGACGUAAUUUAAUACUUAAUCAAUCAUUUUCUUUGUAGGUAUAAUUAUUUGUUCAAUAUGUAAGAAAGUGAGCGGAUAUCCAAAUUGCACGAAAAACUUGACAAGAGAACUCAAGUUGACACACAAGACUUAUAGACUUUAAAAUUAUUUUUUAUUAUUUCUAUUAAGACAUUUUUUUUAAGCUCGUCUCUUUUUAUGUUAGGGUUUUAUUAUUAUUAUUAUUAGGUUAGAAAGUUGAGGGGGUGGCGCUACAGCCAACCUUAGGUUUUAUUUAUAAUAUAUAUAUAUAUAUAUAUUACAUUAGAGGGGAGGGAAGGGGAGGGAGGCGCAUAUGCGCAAAACCAUAAAACCAUUGUUGCUUCUAUUUUUUUUUCUUUGAAUAAAAAUUCCUCCUUUUAUUUAUUUCUUUUAUUUUUCCGUAAUUUUAUGCAGUUUUAUCUAGUGUUAGUUCGAUUUUUGAUUCGGUGUUUGAACCGUGAGACUUGAAACCAUACUCAAAAUUAUUCAUUUUAAUAUUUCUUAUUUCUCCAGUUUUGGAUAUAGGCUUGAUUAUCUUACAAAUUCGUAAUAAUAUCAAGUCAAAAAAGAUUUGUUCGUUCAAUAUUGUGCAACGUACAGUUAGAAAAAUUAAUACAAUAAAAAAUUGUUGUAAUUGGUCUAUCGAAGAACAAACUGACAUGGCUAAUUGAGUGAGUGGUUAGAUCCGUCAAGGGAAGUAACAAUCAAGUUUAAAUGACCACAUGAUUGAGGUUGUGGAUUUGAGCUAAAUCAUGGACGCAUUCUUCAGGGUUAUUCUUUUUUUCUGGUAAGGGUUAUCUAUCGAGCGUUCCACAGUUAAUUUACACACAAAAGGAAUAGAAGUUUGAGGCGUCCUUGAUUAAUAUAACCGAUUUAUCGACUAGAGGAAAAAAUUCAUUGUCUGAGAUCAGUUUGAAGCCUAAGCCUAAAUUGAGCUUGAAGCUAGAGCGUUGUUUUAUCGGUUUAUUUAGUUUUAAUUUCAUUUUACUAUUUUUGCUUCAUUUUUAUCUUUAUUUAUUUAUUUUCCUAAAUUGAGCACGACUCAUAGGCACGAUAGCUGCCUACAACACACUCUAGUUAUAAGAAAAUGAAGUUUUAAAUAUCCAAUCCCUAUGGGAUCGAUCCUACUCCCUAUACUCAAAUUUAAUUUCAGUUUUAGGUGUAAGAAUUUUAUUUUUGGUGGAUUCGGCAUCCCUCAGUCAUGACGACUUUUCCAUACUAAAAUUCAUGAGUAAAUAAAUUUAAUUAACUUUUUCACUAAGAUUGCAACGACUAAUUAAUUUAAUUUCUAUAUCGAACUUUUGUUAUUUAAUUAUAAUCGAUUAAAUAAUAAUUUGAAGACGUUAAUUUAAUCUCUAAGUUAUCUCUUUUGUAUAGCAAGAAAGCAUAUUCAUUACAGAUAGUGAAUGUGAUUUAUUUUUUUGAUUCGUCGUUUUCAUUCAUUCGCUUAUUCAUUAUAUCAAUUCAAUUGCAAAUCGUUCAAAGUUGUAUCAAGCUAGCGAAAGUACCAAUUAAAUAUAUAUAAUUAGGGCACAAAAAUUAUAAUUAAGUUUUGACUCUAUAUUUAUUAGUUAUGACAUUAUUUAGUCAUUGAGUCAUUUUUUUAGAGUAAAGAUAUUCUUAAUCUCUUUAAGUUAACUCCCAUUAUUUAAUAUAAUUUUAUUUUGUGUCAUGAUAAUCCUUAUAUAUUAUUUCAUGUAAAAAACAAUUAUUAGCUCUAGAAAAUGGUGUGGAGGAGACUCACCCACUUAGCUGUUGAUUCGAGAUUGCAUGAAAUUUGUCAAUGAGAGUUGAAUGAUGGAAAUAAGAUGCUUACAUAGAGAGAGGAACCAAUGUGUUGACCAUUUGGCCAACUUGACGUAGGAGUUGGAAUUAAGGGUGAUUCACUUAUCUGCUGUAAGGCCCAAAUUAUGCCCGGGCCCAGACCACAAGAAUAGAAUAAAUAAAAUCCAAAUAACCAAAUUUCAAGUCCAUUUACAAUGUUAAACAGCCCAAAUUAAAACUCAAGACCCAAGUCACAAACCCAAUACAUACCCUAGACCCAAUAACUAAAACCCCACGGUCCAAAGACUGACCCAAUACCUGAAAUGAGCCCAAAUGGCCCAGAAAUUUUAGAAACCCUAGGGAUCCUUUCUUUCUCCUGAGCCGCAAUAGCAACCUCCCUACGCUUUCGCCUCCGUACUCCUCACGCCAAACGCCAGCACGCCUCCGUACCCCUCACGCCAAGCGCCAGCAUGACCCCCGUACACGAACGCGCACCCGUACCUAGAAGAAGGAAACAAAAACAGCAGCGAAUAGAAACAAAGACAUAUUGUAUACUUUCAUUUUUAUUUUUCUUUUCUUUCGGCUAUAAAAGCCCAACUUUUAGUCUUUGUAAAGGUUACGAACGUACACACACACUACGAAAAUUGAAUACAAAGAACGCAACAAAAAAUACGAACACACAUUUUUACGAAUACAGAGAUAAUAGCCAUCAAUCAAUAAAAAACAGAGAAGGUGAUUUUCCUUCUCCUUUCAAUCAUCUAUUCUUUUACUUGUUUCAAUCGAUUUCUUCGUUAUUUUAUACAAAAAGGGGAGCAAAAAGCAAGAGAAAGGAGAGAAACUCACCUGCAUUUCAAAGCCUUCGAAUCCCCGCUUGUUUCGCCACAAUCGAAAUUAAGUGGUGAUUUGGGGUUUGUAAGCAAGACCCUCAGUUCUUCUUGGUUCAAUGAAACCUCGAUUGACCACUCUAUGGGUCGAAAGAAGAGGCAGAGGAACAGUCAAUUGGGAGACCAACGGUUGGCCGAAUAUUAAAAGGAGGGAACUUUGGGUUUUUUUCUUCUUUCUUUUUCUUUGUGUGAGCGGCUAAUUGUUUCAUUAGGGUUAGUUUAGGCUAUUAAAAGGGGGGAUUAGGUGAUGCCGUUUUGGCCAAUGUCGAUGGCCUCAAAACGACACCAUUUGGCAGCCCAAUACCCGAUGACCCGACCCGCGCUAGGUUGAAACCCGCUCACUGGGUCUUUGAGGGGUAAUUAUGCUUCUGGUCCUCCCUAUUUGCGUAAUGACUCAAUUGGCUGCUAUUUGUUUUUUUUUCUCUUUUUAAUUCGGCCUUUAUAAUUUACGCGCAUUUCAUUUUAGUCCGUAAUGAAACGCAGCGUUUUGGGGCCUGGAAUAAUCCCCGUUUCAGUCCUUCUAUAUUUGUGUACAUUACGUGCCAGUCCUUUUGUAUUUUAACCGUUUAUUUUAUUUAAAUUUUUCUUUUUUCUUUUAAUUUAAUUUCAAUUUAGUUUCUUUUAGAUUCAUUUCAUGUUUUUUAUUCAUGUUUAUUUAUUUGUAUAAAUUGUAUCAUUAGUAUCAUUUAUUUUUUUAUUAUUUUUUAUUUAUAAUUUUGGUAAUCAUGUUUUCGCAUUCUGCAUACUAUUUUUUCUUUUAUUAUAUAAGUGUUUUUAUACAUACACAAUUACAUAUAUAUGCGCUUUGUAAUAAAGCUAAUUUUACUUCGUACAAACUAUUAAUCUCAUAUCAUUUUGUACUUAUAUUUCCUUUUAAAUUUGUUUUUAUAUUCUAUUACAUUAUCCCAUAUACAUAUAUCCAUCUAUUUAUUUUCUUUUAAAUUUGUUUGUUUAAACUCCUUUAUACAUAUAUAUAUAGGUUACUUUUAUUUUACGCAUGUUAUUAAUCUUACAUUAUUCUAUACAUAUAGUUUCUUUUAAAUACAUAUUCUUAUAUUUUAUUAUAUAAUCUUUCAUAACAUGGCUUUUAAAUUAUUAUGGUAUAUAUAUAUGUUUUUAUUAAUAUCUAUGCUUAAUCUAUUUAUAUAUGUUAUUAAAUUUAUGUAUUUAUACCCGUAGUUUUUCUUUGUGUAUAUAUAUAUAUAUAUAUGAGCACGUUCGUAAAACUAUUAUAUAGUUUAUUAAAAAAUUGAUUUAAGCAUGCAUGUAUUUCUAUGUUUCUACAAAUCAUUAUUUUUAGAAGUUAUUUAUAUAUACGUAUAAAUUGUAGAACCAUUAUGUUUUUAAAGACUAUAUCACAUUAUACAUUUUUAUUAUUAUCUGUAAUAUAUUUUACACAUAUUUUAAAAUUUUCACACUAUAAAUCCUCAUUUUUAAAACCAAUAUUAUUUAAUGUUUUGGUAUGAUAUCCGAUUAAAACAUUCAUUUUAUAAUAAGCAUCAAAUAUAUAUAUCCCUAGUUUUUUUUAGAUUUAAAGUGCCUCAAUUCAUUAAUUUGCAUGUCGUAUAAAUUAUUGGUUCAUUAGAUCGCCUCUGUUCCGGCAUCGUUUUAUACUACUUUGAAUUUUAAGUUCUAUUUUGUUUUGCAUAUAUUUUGUUGUUUUUCUAUAUCGUAACAUAUACAUUAUCAUUGCAUGGUAUUCGUUUUCUUGAUAUGUCAAUUAUUAUUCAUACGUGAUUGAAAUUAGGUCAUAAUUUUUAGAUUAAUUGUAUAUUAAUUGCAUUUAAUUGUUUAUUCUGCUAGUCGAUUAAUAUUCUUACUCAUCAAGCAUCGUAUCAUCAUAUGUGCCUUUACCCCAUGUCAUCGUAUCACUUGAUUUUUGAAAUGUGGUUCUAUAAAACCCAAACUUUAUGAUUAAUUUCGUCUUAUUUCAAAUCGAAUUAAUACGUCUUAAGCUAGCUUUAUAAUCAUUCAUUCAACAAUUCUUCAAAACAAAGACGAGAUUCGAUGUUCGGCAAUUCGCGGAAUCAUGCCCUAACGUGUUGGGUUGCAAUUUCGCACUUGCUCAAAAUAAUCGAAUAUCACUUCAAAAUUUCAUUCAUGUCUUUUAAAAUUCUUCAAAACGAAGACGAGAUUCGAUAUUUAGUAAUUCGCGGAAUCGUGCCUUAACGCGCUGGGUUGCAAUUUCGCGUUUGCUCAAAAUAAUCGAGUAUCCCUUCAAGAUUUCAUUCAUAUCUUCUAAAAAUUAUUUAAAACGAAGGCAAUAUUCGGCAUUUGACAAUUCGAGAAUCAUGCCCUAUCGUGCUGGGUUGUGAUUUCUCGUUUGCUCAAAAUGAUCGAACAUUCCUUUACAUUCUCACUCAUGUUUAUAAAAAAAUACUUAAAAACGAAGACGAUAUUCAAUAUUUGGCGAUUUGAGAAUCGAGCCCUAUCGUGCUGGGUUGCGCUUUUUCAUUUGUCCAAAAUAAUCGAAUAUCUCCACGGAAUUUCACACGUAUUUUAAGGUAAGGCAAUGGUUCGAUUUUUCGUUGGACCAAAUAGUUGGGCAUCCUUUUAUUAAUUUCAAAUUGUAGACUUUCGGACGUCGAAACAAGAAGAUUUUUGGCAACCCACUCGGGUUAUUCAAACGUUAUUAAAAAGAAUCACAUUUCAAAAACGUUUUUAAUUUUAGGCAUAAGGACAGUAUUUAAUCGAUUUGGUACCAAUUUUGGGUGUAGUGAGGGUGCUAACCCUUCCUCAUACGUAACCGACUCCCGAGCCCGUUUUCUAAAAUUUUCGUAGACCAUAAUCGGUGUUUUGGUAAACUGAAAAUGUUUUAUUAAAAUAACCAAAUCCUUAGGUGAUCCGAUCACAUCAAAACAAAAGAUCGGUGGUGACUCCAUCUUGCUAUUUUUCAAAAGUCGAUUCCCCAUUUUUCACCAAAUUUGAAAUUUCGAAGGAUGGUUUCGACAUCUGCACUGUUGGACAAAUUAAUGUCAUUGCUGCUUCAGGAUGCUACUAGCAAAAAAAUUGCUAAAUUAAACUUGUUUGCUUUGCUUUUCUUCAUUUUAUAUAAAAAUAUAUUUAAUAAAUAAAAUUCAGAGAUGUUUAUAAAAUUUUCUUGAAAUCUGAGGAAAUAAAUAGAGCUGUUUAAAACCAUAAAAGAGAAACUAUUUUACACUACACUCGACGGUGUCCUUAAUAUAUAAGAAAAACCAAACAAAGAUGGCCAACGUAAUUAGUAGGUGUAGUGGAAAUAACAAGAGUGAGGUGUACUUUGCAAAAGGGCAGAUGUUUGGGGGGCAAAAAGUAUCUUGAAUUUAUUAUGGAUAGCAUCUGGCUCUGCUCUCUACUAUUUACUGUCAUCAUCAUUUGUGUGAGCUGUGAGGGUUGGAAUAUCCCACUUUGGUUUUCUCACCCAACUGGGUGAAUCCAACCCACUAUCUGAACAUGAAUGUCUGCUUCCCUUGGGAAAGUCAAUGGCAGUCUCCCCCAUUUUCUUAUCACCAUUUACAAAGUCAAUGCAUUCCAUUCAUAUACUUUGACAGGAAACAACCCUAAGGCUGUUUAAUCUUCCUGUAUUCCAUAUAAUUAUAUGUAGCUCUAAUUAAAUUUAAAAUCAAACCUCAAAAGUUCAUCUUUUAGCUAGGUUAAGAGUGCAGCCAAAAGAAAAAGAAAGUAAAGAACCCAAUGCUAAAAUCCAUGAAUCACAUCACUCACUUUGUACUUGCUUUGAUCCAUUUUGCAAAGUCUUUGUAUGGUUUUAGAUCUGAUAGAAACACCAAAUAAAAAACACACCAAUGAAACUGAACAUAGAAGUGAUGGUCUAGGAUGAUGAAAACAAAUAACAUAAUUAAAAUUCUUCAAAUAAAUACAUGACACAUAUAUAGUUAUAUUUGUAUGUAUGUAUAUAUGUAUAUGUAUCAUGUCAUUUGAAGUCACUUCCUUGUCUGACUUUCUUAAUCUUGUUCCCUAGAUCUGCAAUAAGAGCUGGAGGGAACAAAGACUCGAUCUCUUUCGUCAAAUCAAGCAGGAUUCUCCUGCGAAGAGAUUUUCGUUUUGCUGGUGACGAUAUAAUGGGGAGGGAUUUUGGUUUCCUUGGUGCAGGUGGGCACUUGAGGAUGGCGGCGGCUGGGAUUUUAUGGUCCAAUGAAGUAGGAGUCUUGAACCCAUCGUUGGUCUUGAACCCAUCGUUGUCGUUUUCAUCUUGAUAAUCAUUAGCAGCAGCAACCACCUCAGAUUCAGAUGUACCCAUCGUCACCAACUUGCUCUUCUCUUCUUCUUCUUCCUGUUUAACAUUAGUUGCAGUUCCACAAUCUUCAUUGAAUUCUAGAGGAGGCCUAACCAAGAAACUGAGUUCCAUGGUACUUGAGACACCCAUGAAUGGAACUGGUUUUAAUUUUGAGUACAUGGAAGUCCAAAAUCAACCUAGGAUAUGAAGAAAUGGUGAAGGACAAAGAAUUUAAAGAUGAGAGAGAGGGAUCAACUUAUGAAAAUUGCAAGCAAAUGAAGGAAAAGACAGUUCAAGUACCAGCAGGAAAAAAAAGCCUAGAAAAACAAAGAGAAGAAGCUUGUUAUUUGAUAUAUAGUAAACGAAAAUGCCAAAGUUUUUUUUUUUUUUAAUUCAUCACAUCACCAUCUUCCUUGAUUGCUCUCUGAAUUUCUUUUUCUAUCUUGGAUUUUAGUUUGGAAUUUAGCUGCGAAAUGAGAAAGAGAAAGCAAAGAUGAGAGACAGAGAAAAGGGUUUGACAACCCACUUUGGCGUAGGAUCCAAUGCAACCAUAUAUAUAAACAAAAGAACCCACACACAAAUCUUUCUUGCUUUCACUCAAUUUUAUAACAAGUCUCUUUCUAUAGCUUAACCUCCUCCACCCCUCCUCUCUCUCUUACUCCUUCUAUUAUAUUAAAAUUUAAGAUUUAAUCUUUCUAUUUUAAUUUAUCGAAAUUUAAUUCCUUACUUUUAUAUGGUGAAUCCAAAGUAAUAGCACUGCUAAUUGUUACCAUAAAAAUGAUGUGUAUUUUUUAAUUGUUUAUUAAAUCACACAAUGAAUCAUAUACGAAUUACAAAAUAGAUAUUAUCAAAUUUAUCGUCAUUGUUCAUCCUUACCUUUUAUUCCGCUUUUCUAUAAAUGUUAAAACUUAAAUGCUAUUAUCACCUUUGUUACUAUUGGAUACGUUCAUAAUAAUCUGCCCCACUAUGUCUUAUUUAACAUUUAUAAGUUAUUUUUAAUAAUUUCAAUGUGAAUUUGACAUAUAAUUAUCUAUCAAUGUCUCGUUUUAAUAUUUUAGGUUUUUUUCAUAUAUUGUAUUUCCUUUUUAUCUUUUUAACAAUUAAGGGUAAAAUAAUAAUUUUAAAAUAUGUUGACAGGACAAACAAAUACUAUAAUUGUUUCAUACCUUUCUUCCAAACAAAAAAUUGCUCCAUCCCUCACUUCCAUUGUUCUAAAAAUGAUAAUCUAUAUUCGGAAUGGAUCAGAUUAAAAUCUAUCGGACAAUUCAAGUUUUGUCAACCAUGAUCAAUUAAUACUUAAAGAAAUUCCACAUUAUGUUGUACUAAAUUAGAAAGAUUAUAUCUCGAAUUGCACCACAAUAGAGGGACUAAAACCAGAAAUAUACUUUUUUAUUUUCUUGAAACGGCGAAGUCCCUUUCUUUUCACUCCUUACAAAAAGCCUCACCCAUUAACUAACUAUAUACAAAAAUCUCGCUUAAGCAAUCGCUUUUUCCUUGAUUUCUACGAACUUUGAUGUAUCAAAUCACGUGGUUUACUACAGAGGAUAUAACUAUCAUAACAUUCAUCUCUAUAUAUACUUUUUUCCAUGAUUUCUCAUUAUUGUUUGUUUGUUUUCUAAGAAAAGUAAAAAAAGAGGAAAAAACUAACAAUUACUGCAUGUUUUUAUGUUGUUGUAAGUGUUGUGUGGUUUUAAAGAUGGGGAGAAAAUGAGUUCAUGGGGUCGCUUGCAUUGGGAGGCAAGGGGACAUUGCAUGGUGUGUGGUUUAGCCGUGUAGGCCAUGAUCAAGCUUCCACUGCUUUUUGACAACUUUUUUACUGCUUUAUCAACACUUGCUGGGUCUGAGUGACAACAAAUUCGAUACCCCUUAGGAAAGGUAUCGGGUAUAAAUAUUAUGGAUGAAAUAUAUAUAAUUUUAUUUUUGUUUAAGAGUUUGACUCGACUCAAUUAUGAAUUUAAUUAAAAGAAAAAAAAAAGAGAAAAUUGUUGCUGCUUUAGGAUAUCUUCCAAGGAAGCUGCUGCCAGUAUCAAUGGUAUCUAAAUGAUUGUCGAGGAAACUUGAAAAUAUUGUUUCACAAGCAAUAUCAUUGCCUUUGAUUUUUCUUGGCUUUCUUGUUAUUUAUCAUCAAUCAUAAUUGACUCCAUCAUUAUAGAGUGUUUGACAAAAUGGGAAAGCCCAAAUCAUGAUGCUUACUCAAUUUUGUUUAUCCAAAAUUAUAUCAACUAAACAAUAAUACAUAAUUAAAAAAUUAAAAUUAAGUUUACGCAAUUUCAUUUUUAACUGUUAUAAUUUGAUUCAUUUUCCUUAAUUAAGUGAACAAAAAUUCUUUAUUGUACUCUUCUUGUGCCCCACUUAUAUGUGUCUUCUUUAUAUUUUUCCUAAUCGUUUAUUUUCAUGGAAUAUUUUAAUUAAUUUUUUUAAAAAUUACAUUCUAGCAUUUUUUUUCUUCUCUUUUCUGCACCUUCCACAACCAAAACUCCUUCAUCGAAAUUGGAUGGUUAUGGCCUUCACCACGAUGAAGUGGUCAAGGAAAUCAUUAGAGCUGUUGAGACUAUUGUUUUCUUUUGUUAACCAUGGAAUCUCUCUUCAUCUUCUUAAAUCCCUUAAAGAUAUAUUGCAGAAAAAGGGAUCUCUUAUACACUCAUCAUAUUGAUUUUUCAAACUAAGUUCUUUUCUAUGACAGUGAAAAUUCUUUUCCCCAAAUUUUACUAAUUUGGUUGAUUGAUUGUUCAAAGAUAAAAGGAAUAUUCUAUUUUCAUCUUUUUUAGCCUAUUAAUUUCUCUUGGAUUAGAAGAAUAAUUCUUUGAUAUUUCAAACUCUUUCUUUUUUUAUUUAUUUAUAAAAUUAAAAGAAAUUAUUUGUUACUAUUAGCAAAAACGUCGUUGUUAAGAGUAGAAACAACACAAAGAAAUUGAUGCCUAAGUUGGUGAUCACUUUCCCAGGCACUAAAUGAGAAAAUAAAAAAAAAUACAUAGAACAAACGGAGAUGAUUACGUAGUUUGAUUAUCCUACGUCUGCGAAGUUUAACUCAGUGAAAAGUAUGUACUUUCUUCAACAAUUACAAUGUGAACCUACUCAAUCACACACAUCAUAAUUGUUUCCCUCACCCUUGCAUUUUGAAUAUACAAAUCUUUCACCACUAUGAUCACCCCCUGUAACCACAGCAAGUAAAACCACGUCAACAGGUUUUACUUUAAGAGUAACACUUUUACUCAAGUAUUCUCUCCAGAACAGAUUAAGUGCCUGAUUAUCCGUAUAUUUUCUUAUGCAAGUCUCUCAAAUAUAUAGACUUGAUUUCGAGACUUGCUUACAAUCUAAGAUCUAAUACAAUCCUAAUAAAAUAGUAAUUCUGUUAAUAGAAAAUAAAAUAUAUGUGGACUUUUGGUAGCUCAAAAUCGUGAUUCAAUCUAAAGUCCAUAAUGAAAGGGAUUACUUUGAGAAAUUUCAAUUCAAAUCAAUUACCAAUAUUCGUACUCCAUAGCAGCAUGAUCUCCCAUGAAAAGCUAAAUGCUCACCAAGAAAUCAACAUAGCCCAAACAUAAGGUUCAAUAAAUUGUCAACAGCUAAAUAUGGAAACUGCCUCCCCACAUAUUUGGUGGGAAGGGAAGUGGGCACUCCCUCUGGCACCAAAUUGUCAGCUUCAUUUUUUUUAACAUUCUCCCCCUUUGGUAAUUUUUUUAACAAAACUCAUAAGGCAAGAAGCAAGAAUCAUCAAUCAACAUAAUCUCCCCCUUUAACAUAUACAAAUUAACUUAACCUAAGUUAUAAAAUAAUCAAACAAUCAAUCAUCAAUGCUAAAAUAAAUUUGCAUUAACAACUAACCAUAAAUAAGUAUAACUUAGUAAGUUGCAAAAGCAAUGCAUCGAUGAAACUAAACACUAUAUCAUAGAAAAAAUGAAAUCCAAGUUCAUCUCUAACAACAUAAAGAGUAGCAACAUAAAUACCUUAUAGUUAUCCAAAAGCUGUAAACAUAAAGAAGUUCAGAAAGAAAAUAAAAUAAAACUCUCCACCACCAAGCAAGGACUAACACCUUCUUCCUUCUUUCCUCCCCUUAUUUCAUCAUUUCUCUCCCCUUUUUGUUCUAUAUAGUUUCCAAACUAGGAAACAUCUUCAGACCCUCGAAUAGUUCUAGUUAAGGCCCUAUGUUUAUCAAUAAGCUUAUUAACAACCUUUGUUUUAGCCCUGAGCUUAUCUGUAACACCCCUACCCAUCUCUAUAGCUGGAAUCGGAUUAUAGAAUGCUACGGUAAUUAACAAAACAUGAUUUACUUCAAAAUUCAAAAAAUUAGUCAUCACAUCUCAAUCAUUCGAACGAACAUGUUUUUCAUACAAAUUCGAGCUUAAAUUGAGCUUACAAAAGCUCUUAAACUAACCCGGAAUCAAAUAAGGUCUUAAUUGAAAAUAUAACAAAAAGUAAGUAAAUUUUAGAAAACAAGGGUCACACGAUCAUGUAUCCAGACCGUGUGAUAGACUGUGACUUUGUGUGCCUGAGUCACAAGAUCAUGUGGCCAAGCUGUGUAACUAAUUGAAAUCAUGUGGAAGGGCGUCACAUGGCCAUAUCGCCAGGCCGUGUGGACCUAGAUGCAAAAUUUUCAACUUAAAGUCACACGGUCGUGUUUUUGGACCGUGUAACAAAUUGAGACUGUGUGGUAAAAAAAUUAGCUUCCUUUAAUGGUCAUACAAUUGUGUCACCAACCCGUAUGGAGACACAUUGCAGUGUGCUAGACCAUGUACAGCAUAAAAUGACUUUUCAUGCAAAUUACCUAAUUCAAGCAAUUACAAACACAUAUCAAUGCUUAUAAUCAAAGAUAUACCUGUUCAAAUUAUGUUAAAACACACACUAAAACAUGGCAUAAUUUUCUAACCAAUAUGCCGCAAGGCACUAUUACAACUAAUAAUCAAUACUAAAGUUCAUCUUAUUUCAUACCAACAUUGAAUGGCUAACGUAUACCUUAAAUACAAUCAUAUGCCAAUUUUCAUACACUUAUUAUGGACUCAAUCUCACCAUUUCAAAUACAUACCAAUAUAACCACCUAUAAGUUCUGACACCAAAAACCAUUUCAUAUACUAUGCCUAGAAUCUCCUAAAUCAACAUCACACUAUAAUGCCAUAUGCUCCAACCAAAAGACCACCUAACCAAGCAUACAAUAAUAUAUUCUGACUUACUAAAUAUCUAUAAUAUUCCAUCACAUACCAAUUCAAUAACCACAUACAAGGCUUCUAUUUUAAACUAUGAUCAAACAUAUCAAUAUACUAACAAGUUCACAUACUUCGAGCAAUCACAAAACAUAUUUUACAUUUACAAAACAGUUAUAUACAAUUCAACCUUAUUACAUGCCGUAUAACCGAAAUAAAAUGAUUUCAAAAUCUACCAAAAGGUGGCUAGAUAGUGUGAUCCUCGAGCUGAUCUGAUCGUCGAGUUUUGCAAAAUGAUAACUACAGGAAAACAUAAAAUGAAACAGAGUAAGCUUCAAUUAAGCUUAGUAAGUUCAUAGGUUGGAAACAAUAUAACAACCUUAACUUCCACAAUUAAAUAACAAAACAAUUAACUAACAUUUUACCUUGUUACCACAAUUCAUACCAAUAGGUGAGUUUAUCACAUUCAAUUCAUAUAACCUUCCAUUCUAGACAAGUUAAUCCAAAACCAUGCCAAGUCAUCAUAUCAAUAUCAUAAACAAAUUUUUAGAUUAUUCACUUAUCCUUUACUACAUUAAACUCGUUUACCAUUCAUUCAAUCUAUUAACAACAAUAAUUCAACCUGAUGAACCAUUAUGAACAAAUACGGAUACUCAGUUAUCCACCCAAAACAUGUUUGAAUGCUCAAACGAGCUUAACCAUCCAAGAACAUGCUUGGGCACUGAGUGCCGAGCCCGUAGGCUACACAUCCUCCCCCAGAAACAUGCCUGAAUCACUGUAAAUAUAACUCGGUAAUCUCUAAUAAAUGCUGGAUUCCAGUACAUUCAGUGAACAUAUAUUCAUAUCAUCUGUCAUCAACUCAUAUCAUAUAAAACCUGUAAAGCAUGCAAAUAACCCCAUUGGCAUGCCAAUUGAAUCCUCUCUUAUGUUCAUAUGGGCUCAAUACAUGUAACAAUCUGUCACAUUUCAAUUAAGUCAUUUUUCUGACCUUUGCAUCAAUUACAACAUUUAAGUUUACAUCCAAAUAUUCCAAUUAUAUAAUUUAACAUAAAUAUUGGGAAAAAUAAAUAGAACUAUAUCGUAUGAGCUUACCAGGAAAUAAUAGCAAUAGAAAAAGUAUCAGGGGCUAAUCUUCUAUUUUUCAUUUUCCUCGAUUAUCUAUUGGUUGAUCCAUUUCUUGAUCUAUACGACAAUUCAUUUCAAAUUAUUAGUUCUAAAUACCUUAUAACAUUUUUAUUUAAUGCAUAUGACCUCCCAUUGUCAUUUUUCACAAUUUCCUUAAAGUUUUUCAUUUUAUUCUAUUUAGUCCCUAAAACCAUAACAAACAUAUUUUUCACAAUUAAGCUCCCAAACUUUAAAAAUGAAUUCAUUAUCAUUUCUUUACAACUCUCAAGCAUCUAAAUUUACAAGAAUUUCAUUCCAAUUUCAGCAUAUUAUCAUUUCAGUCCCUAAACUCGUAACCAAUUAAAUUCACUUUACAAAAUAGUCAUAUUUCAUAACAAAGCUUUAAACUUAACCAUUAACAUCUAAAAAGCUUUAAAAACAAAAGUGGUAACUUUUCACAACUUUGACAAUAUUACAAAAUAGUCUCUUGGCUAGUUAGAUUAAGCUAUAACAAUCUUAAAAACAUAAAAAAUGGACUUUAGAAAUACCCACAUGCAAAGGUCGAACCUCAAGCUUGAAAAACAAUGGCUUCCUUUGGUUUUAGGUUGAAGAGACAGUGAAGAGAACCAUGAAAAAGAUGAUGGAUUUUGUUUUUAUGUUUUAACCCUUUUCAUAAUUACUAUUUUAACCUUAGUUUACAUAUAAAUUAAUAAAAAUAAAUAUAAAUCAUCCAUAUAAACAAUUAUGGUACGAUUUCCAUUUAAAACCAUCCAAUUAUGUUUUUAAACCUAAUUAGCCCACAUAAACUAAUACCAAUUAACUUUUAUGGUUAUUACGAUUUAGUCCUUGUACUUUAAUUAACUAUUCAAACAUCAAAUUAUCGAACCAACUUUAAUACAACACUCUAAUGACCUCAUAAGUAAUAAUAUUUAUGAACUUACUUAUCAAAAUUGUAGUACCAAAACCACUGUUUCCAACGCCAUUAAAAACAGGUUACAUUAUCACAAUGCUUUUGGAGGAAAUCAACAAAAGCUUCUAAGUCUUCAACAAUCCUAGCUUGGAUGCCUUUUGAAAUGGGAGUAGUGCCUGCGGGAGUGGGCAUAUCUUGAUUUUCUUCUUUUUCCCUUACAAAUUAAACCCUUAAAGCUUGAGCUUUGCCUGGCUCAUUGAACACAUGUUUUCCUUCUAACCACUUAUGAGAAAAAUUCCAUUUAGCACAGUUUUCUCAUAAGUUUCCUUUGGCAUGACAAUUUCAAAUUCUUGGGAGAACAAAAUUCUGAAGAUGAGGGGAAAAUAUGGCAGUAAGAACUUCUCAUAGAAAGCACCAACAAACUUAGUUAUUUCAUCAAAAAUUAUUUGACUUAAGUUAAACUCAACCAUCUUUACCACUUCGUUUAGAAGAACAACCACUUUUUUUUUGUAAUGGAAUCUCUUUAGUUAUUGAGAAGCCAAUUUCUAGUGGCAAUUGCAAAUAGAGUAGCAUACAUAGGUUCAAGUGAAGAGGCUCAAAUAGUACCUUGUUUUGGCCAAGUGGGGUGCAGAUGAUUUGUUACACCCCAAAAAUCGGGUUAGAAGAAAUUGGAUUAGUGAAACCAAGAGUGACCACGUUUUGAAUUUUUAGCUAAGAUUGUGAAAAGUAUGUCAAAUAAAUUAAUUUGGUUUCGUGGAUAGGUGUUGUGUUUUUGCGUGAGAGGUUAUGGGCUUGAAUCUUUCCUUUGAAUUUUUGUUGUUUUUGCCCUAACCUCUAUUUCUAAUCCUUUGGCAUUAAUAAUAUUUCCAUUCAACUAAUAUUAAAAAUGAGUUUAUUGGUUCUGUGGUAAGGUGCUUUUUAACUUACCAUUUGGUCUUAUGUUCAAAUCUUGUGUUGUGCAAGUUUAGAAAUAUUUUUAUUCCCUUUCUGGAAAUCUAAUGGGGAUUGGUUAGGUAAGAUUCUAUUCUAUUUUAUUUUUAUUUAUUUAUUUUAAAAAAUAAGAUAUCAAUUUUUCAAAAAUUUCUCUAAAAUUUACGCUCUUUUCCCCACUCUCUUCUCUCUUACUAUUGUCGUCCCUUUGUUUUUCCAAAAUUUUCUAUUUGCAAUUUUCUUCAUUUUUGCUUCUGUGAGUUUCUUCUGUUUUAUUAUGUUAUUAAUCAUUAUACUAUCAUUCAGUCUACCAUUGUAUUUUAGUGUUUCAUCAUUGGAGGUUGUAUCUAUUUUGGUGGGUUUUGAAGUUUUCGCUGCAACAUUAAUUUUGGUGUAAGUAUAAGUUUAUUCGUUUUGGUUAGGGGGUGCGAAUCCUUUUUAACAUCGUUUUGGUAAAGGUUCUAUUGGUUUAAUUUCUUUAUUUUUGAGUCCAUGUUUAGGCGAAUCUCGGGAAGAGAAAAAUCAUCCUCCAAUGUUGAGGGAGGCUUAAAAUCAUUUUCUUCUAUUGGAGUUUUAGGGGCAAAUCAUUUUCUUGUUUAGGCGAAUCGUUUUCUUUUGGGGGGCUAAAUGUAGGUGUUUUUUUUAUUGGAAUUUUGAUUAAGUUUCAGGUUUCGUAACUAAAAUUAGUCGUUUUAAUGAUGAUUUUAGGUUCUGAAAAUCUCAUAGUUAGAUUUGCAUCAAAAAAUGACCAUGAGUUUAUUAGAAAAUUCGAAAAACAGUGAACGACGAAAGCCAAAAUUUGAAACUAUCGACACCACACGACUGUAUGUCAAGUUGUGUGGUAGGUUGUCUGUGACACACAACCAUGUGAUAGGUCAUGUGCUAGACCAUAUGAGCCAUACGGUCUGGGCCAAUUGAGUCGUGUGGGCCAUACAGGCGUGUUUGAGUUCGUGUGGGCCCAAAUUUUGAAUUUUUUCCCUAGGGCCAUAUUCAUCGUACGAGUCGAAUGUAGGCCUUCUAUAGGGCCCAUAUUGCUUAAAUAAGACUUGAGAAUGAGGUAUCUGUUAAUAUACUUUUGUAUAUGAUGUGUUUAAGGUGUGUGAUUUAUACGUGUAUGAUCUGUAUUCUGUUAAUUCUAAUGGUAUGUUUCUAUGUUACUAUGUUGGAUGUGAGCAUGUGAUGUCAGAUUAUGUUAAUUUGAAUAUCUUUAAAUCUGUUAUAUUACCAUGCAUGUGACUUCAUGGAAAAACUGAUGUGUUUACAAUGAGAUUUGAUAAAUUUGUUUUGCGAAGUGCAGAUUCUCAUAUCUUCUGUUUUCUACUAUUGUAUGUCAGCAUGUCUUACAUGUUAAUCAUUUUAGUUUUGUAUAUGCUUGUCAUGUUACGUUGCAUGGGGUUUGGGAUGAUGUUGAAUGGAAGAAGUUUCUAGCAGUUUAAUGAUCUGCACAUUCUAGUGAUUUAACCAUAUUUUUGUCUGGCAACUUAUCUGCAAUUAUAGUGGCUCACCCACUCAUAUCUGUUCUAUCAACUUUGUUGCAAUAUAGUGACUUUACCACAUAUAUUUUUGAUCUAGUAGUUUUAACUGCAAUCUCUGGUGGUAAUGUCCACAAUUUUCUAUUGGCGUGAUUUGGUUGGACGAGUUCUAGGGAACUCUAUUCUAGUGCAUAACGGAGUUGAGUAGAAAGUUUUCUGAAAAAUCUGCAUUAUGAUUUCUGAAAAAUAUUGCAUUGGCAUAAUCAUGCAUUCUCAGUUAUAUUCAAUUGCACGUGAUGAAAUUCUUUGUGAUACUCUGAUUUGUAUAUUGUGAUAUGUGUGUUUUAUGAUUGAGUUUCGUUAUACACUAAGCUCUAAAGUUUACCCCUUUGUUUUAUCUCUGACCUUUCAGGUUAACUUUGAAUUUAGGAUCGGACGACAUGCGAGAGCUUGGAUUGAUUCUCGGUGAAUAAAAUAAAAUAGUUUGCUAUUUUAUUUUUUUAAUUAUUUUGGACUGUAAAUUUGUUUAGACUUCAUUUUUUGUUUUUGUUCUAUUUGUUUGGUUUUAAGUAUUUUAACAUGAAACUGCAAAACCUCAUGGGUUAACAAAUUUAAAAUUCGGUUUACAAAAUUAAAAAUCUAAAAGUUUUUUUUUGCUGCAAAAUUAAGUAACCCCUAAAAAGUUUUUUUUUGUAAUUAAACAAAUGGUUCUAACGAGUGUUUGUAUUUAAACUGGAAAUGAUUUGCCAAAAUACUUAUUUUCAAAACAUGAUUUUGAAUUCAAAUUUUAGGAUUGAGAUAAGUGAUUCCGAAUUUAGGUUUUUCUAAACAUUUGUGAAAGUUUUUCCAAAUUUUAUGUUUCCAAAAUGCAGUCUGAGUUUGAUUGAAACGAAAGUUUUUAAACAAGCUAAUGUAAUUCCUCAAAAUCUGGUCAUAACAUCUAAGUCAGGUUUGGGGUGUUAUAUGAUUAAGUGACUAUGACAUCUAUCGAUUCAUUAAGCUUGAGAUUUUUUGUGAAGGGACAAUACAGCAUGUUUAGAAUUUGUUCAUCUCCAAAGUUGAAUCAUCUACAACAUACAAACGCCUUGUGGUAAUAUUUGUUGGACUCAUCAUUAAUGUCACUGUUGAGGUUUGCAUAAAAUUUAUACACAACCCUUUUAACAAAAGGUUGCACAUAACAGACCGAACCAAAAACGCCAACAUUAUUUAGAACUUCAUCGAUUCCAUGUUCUACAAAAGAAUCAUCAUCGAUGUUUUGGUCAAGAAUACACCCUUUCAGAAUAAGUUUAUAGUAUCUUCUUGGGCAAUCAGGAUCCAAAAACACUUUCUUUCUCUGCACAACUAAUCUUUCUUCUUGUAUUCUAGCUGCUUCAGUAACUUCAGAUAACAGUUUGGGAAUACCUACUGUCAUCAUCUUUUCAUUAUACUUGGCAGCCGGGUAGGGAACAUUUGGCUACUUGGUUCUGGGUUGCAACACUGCACAAAGAGGCACAUUUCCUGAGGAGGAAGAGGAUUUGGAAUUAUCAAAGGAUUCAGACUCGAAUGAGCUUUCCAUCACAAUCUUUCUUUUCUUUCUUGGUUUAUCAACCACGAGGGUCUUGCACUUUCUUCAACAAUUACAUAGUUCAGUUACCCUACAUUUGUGAAGCCUAGCUCAGUGAAAAUUAUGUACUUUCUUCAACAAUUACAUUGUGAACCUACUCAAUUACAUACACCAUGAUCAUUUCCCUAACCCUUGCACUUUGAAGAUGAAAACGUCUCACGACUAUGAUCACCCCCCAAUGACCACAACAAGUAAAAUCACAGCAAUAGGUUUUACUUUAAGAACAACACUUUUAUACUAGUUUUCUCUACAGAACAAAUUAAGUUCCUAAUUAUCAGUACAUUUUCCUAUGCAUCUAUCAAAUACAUAGACUUGAUUUAGAGACUUGCUUACAAUCGAAGAUCCAAUACAAUCCCAAUAAAAUAAUAAUUCUAUUAAUAGAAUAUACGAUAUAAUAACAUAUAAGAUAUAUAUUGGCUCUCGGCAGCUCAGAAUCACGAUAAAAUCUAAAGCGCAUAUUCCAAGAGAUUACUUUGAAGAAUUUCGAUCCAAAUCAAUUACCAAUAUUCGUACUCCAUAGUAGCAUGAUCUUCUAUAACAUGCUAGAUGCUCACCAACAAAUCAAUAUAGCCUAAAUAUAAGGUUCAAUAAAUUACCAACACCUAAAGAUGGAAAUUGCCAUCACGAAGAGAAGUGGGUACUUCCUCUUACACCAAAUUGUUAAUUUCAUAUUUUUUACAUAGACAAUAAUGGUGGACUAAAGAAAAAAAAAAGAAAAGAAAUAACUUAUGAGAAAGAAGAUGAAUAGAAAAUUUGACAAUUUUUUUUAGAGAGAAUAUACACUUAAAUAUUUUAACGGGUCGUGGAUGUCAACCAGUUACUAUAUAAAUAAAAAGAAAUGUGUCAAAAUACCAUAAGUGGGCACAAAAAAGGGUGCAAUAAAGGGACAGAGAGUUUUUGUUCCAAUUAAGUAAAAAAAAAAUUCUUUUAAUAACAAAAAUGCUUAUGGUCACCCACUUAUAAUUAACUUAAUUUACAUUAAUGCAGUUAUACAACAAUGGGAUAUAACCUGUUAAAAGUAAUUACAUCAAUGAAUUAUUGGAGUGAAUCUCAAAUUUCAAAAGGGGCAAAAACAAGAUUAAGAAUGUGCAAUGAUUCCCAGAAAACAAAACCCCCAGAUCCCAUCAUGCUAUAAUAUAUAAUAUAAAAUAAUUCAAUUGAAGCCUUUUGUUUCCAAAAGAUAUCCACCAGAUAUAUAAUAUAUAUUUGGAUUCUAGAAAUAUGGCUGCCUGCCUGCCUUGGUUGCAUGUUCCCACCCACAUGGGACCCUCCCAUUGCAGGCCAUUGGUUAAACUUUUGCUUAGCCUUAGCCUUAGGAUUCCUACAUGCGCUUGCUAUGGAGGAGACUGCGCCUGCGCCUCGGUCACCAACAUGCUUGCAUAUGCUUUCAUUCCCUGCCAUUUUGCUUUCUAAUUACAUUUCAAUCUAUUUAAUCAUGUUAACCUAGUCUUUCAUCUUAAAUAGUACAACCAUGUAGGUUUUCCUGUAAUUAAGGUUUAUAAUUUCUUUUUGAAAACAAAAUGUAUAUCAGAACGUAGUAUUCUACUAAUUGUUUUGUUAUUUUGGAAACUUUUUGAUAAUGUAAAUCGAAAAAUUAUUUCAUACCUUUUAAGUAAAGUCUCGAAUUGAAACCUUAUGAAUGAAAAAGACAAUGUUGGAACAGUUUACCCCUCUUCCUUUAAAGGACUUUGACCUGACAUGAUUAUGGAUUUUUUUGAAGCCUAUAAAAUUUAAAUAUUUUCAUGUCUUUUUUUUAAUAUUCAUAUUUUUGUUACACUUAAAAUGUGAUACAUGUGGGAUUUUAGCCCAAAAUUUUGGAAUUUUUUUAGUAAACCUUUCAAAAAUUUUAAAAAUUUAAUUAUACUCUUCUAAUUCUUUUUUUAAAAAAAUCUCAUUACAUCUGUAGAAUUCUUUUAAAUGUUUCAAUUAGACACUCUAAAAUUUAAUUUCAAGAUUCACCACUGGACUAAAUCUUAUUAAUUCUAUACAAAUUAAUGAAGAGAAUAGUUAGGCACUCAACUUUAGUAAAUUUUCAUUUUAAUCACAAACAAUAAAAAUUCUUAAAUAUAGCACCAUUGUCACAGUUUUUUUUUGUCACUUGCCAUUAUUUUAGCUAACAGUGGUAUCAUUGUGCACUUGUUUAGGUCACUCAUUUAGUUAAAUUUCUCGUUUUAGUUACUCAUUUUAUUUUUUAAAAUUAAUUUUAUUUUUCCCAAAAAGGGGAAAACCUAAAUUUUUACGGGGAACUGAGUUAUUUGACUAUGGAGAUAAAGUGAAGGCUUAGGUGUUUCCCUCGCUUUUUUUUAUUAAAAAUACCAAAUGUUUUUUUCUUUUUAAUUUUCUUUAGUUUUUAAAAUUAAUUUUAUUUUUUUCGAAGGAAAACUCAAGUUAUUAGAAAAAAUUGAGUUAUUCAACUAUGAAGAUGAAACUCAAGUUUUUCCAUGUAACUCAAUUGCAUGUAAAAAUCUAGAUUUUUUCAUAAAAAAACCAGACAAUUCCCUUUAAAACCCCAAGUUUUUGCUUAUAAAUUUUUUUUAUUUUUAAUAAAAAAAGUAAAAUUAAUUAUAAAAAAGACAAAAUAAAUUAAAUAAAAAAUGAAGGGCUAAAAUUUAAAAAAAACUAAAAUAAGUGCAUAAUAUUACAAUCGUUAGCUAAAUCAACGGUAAGUGGUUAAAAUAAGAAAAUUAUCUAAUGACAGUGUUAUGUUUGAGUACUUGUGUUUCUUAAUGAUCAAAAUGAAAACUUAACAAAAUUGAGUGACUAAUUAAGAAGUUUACCCUAAUAAAAAAUAAUAGCCAUAAAUAAAAAUGUUGAUGUGAAAGUGUUGUGGGGCGAGGUGGGGACCCAAUUGGAUUGCUUGGAUUUCACCGCGUCGCGAAAAUAUAGACGGCUUUACACAUUCUUUUUCCCUUUCCACUUUGUUUUUAGUGCAUUAUAUUCUCUUUUUUAAUCCGUUAUUUUUUGAUAAAUUAUAAGAGGAGAACGUGAUUAAUACGAUUUGAAUUCAAACCAUAUUAAAGACACUGAACUCUUUAGCUAUUAAGUCACACCUAAGGUUUAAAUUUGAAUUUAACCUUUAUACUAACAUUUAUUUAGUUAAUUUGAGUUGAAUUUAUUAUUGAUAUGAAUUUAAAUAAUAUUUUAAAUGUUUAUUUUAGUUAAUUAUGAUUGGUUUAAAAUAAUUUAGUUAUAAUUUUAUGUUAACAGUAAGUUUAGAUAAAAAAAUUAUAUAUUUAUUUAGAGAUUCAGUUGUAUAAGAUUUGUAAAAUUAAAUUUUUAUUUAAUUUUUAAGACUUUAUUUUUUAAAAAAAAAUUAGCAUAUCGGAGUUUAUAAAUAUUUGACUUGAAAAAAUAUGUUUAUUUGAGUUUAAUAAACUUUGGCCAUAGGCUUUUUUUUCAAGGUUAGAGAGAUUCACUUUGUUUAUCGACGUUUACAGGUACAAGUUAUUUAGGGUUUAUAUUUAAGGAUGUGCUAGGAAAUCGUUUCAUUUAUUAUUGUUGUUACUCACAAGUUGAUUAAAUGUGUGGGAUAAAUUAUUUUCUUAUCUUUAUAUUAAAAACGUGUUGUGUGUUCUAUUAUCUAUUUGUUUAGUGCUUGUAAUAAUAAAUUAUGAUUGAAAUUAUCGAUAUAAUUUUAACUUAAAAAUAACUAAAUUAGGUCACAUGAAUCAACACAAUUUAUAUAAAAAUAUAUUUAUAAAUUUUAUAUAAAAAUCAAAUAAGGGUAAAAUUGAAGCUUUAAGGAUAUUAGGGUUUUACGUUUAGCCUCACUGAUUUUGGAUUUGCUUUGAAUUUAAAUUGUUUUUUUUAUUAUAAAUUUUAUAUAAAAUAUAAAAAGAUAAAAAUACUCUCGUGAUAAGAUUUGUACGAUGUUAAGUCAUUUUUAAUUGAGUUAGUGUCUAAUUUUUUGUAAAAAAACAUUUAUAAAAAAUUAUAUUAGAAUCGAAUGAGAUCUUGGUUGAAAUGGUUAUCGAUAUCAAGAUUUGAACACAAAAUGACCUAAACCUGACGAGGAAGACAAACCAAAGCUAGAUCUUUACUAUACCAUAAUGACUUUAAUAUAAUGUCUUUACUAUCUUCGUUGCUCUUUCUUUUGGCUCCACCAGAUAUGAAGUUUGUUUUUGUUUAUAUAAUGUAAUCUCCAUGUAGCAGAAUCGUAAAAGAAGAUAUAGAACUUUUAUUUUUAUGUGAAAUGUAUUAAGUUGUUGUUGUUGUUGUUGUUAUUAUUAUUAUUAUUAUUAUUAUUAUUAUUAUUAUUAUUAUUAUUAUUAUUAUGUAAUCACCAUUGAUUCCUUUGCACUCCAAUCAAAGUCGGUGAAAUCCUACAAUAUAAAAUAUCUCCAGUAAUUUGUGAUCCCAUGCCGUACUGCUCAUCUUCUUCCUCCCCUUACAAACAAAAAACGCCAAACACACAAUUAUCACUAAGAUUCAAAAAAUCUAAUAUCUUAUAUAAAAUGGAAAAGAAUGAAAAUGAACAUUAAGGACAAAAAGGAAAGAAGGUACGUAGCAUAGGUGAAGAAAGGUGAAGAAGGGAGCAGCAAUUGUCUGCUCAACGGGGUCCUUAGAGAUACUUGCCUUUUCAAGUAAAUAUUUCAUGCAAUUUCAAAAUUGUAUCAUAGUCCUCUGUGGAAAUUAUUUUUGGUGUGGAAAUUAUUAUUAUGUAAUCUCCGUUGAUUCAUUUACAUUGCAAUCACAGUCAGUUACAAUCCGAUAUAUGGUUAGUCAAGUGGUUAGUUUUUGUUACCAAGUGGUUAGUGUUUGUUAUCACUCACUAGUGUAUUUAAGUAUCAUUUCUGUACAGGUUCAUCAAAGCUAAUGAUACUAAGAAUAUUCAGCAAAUACUAUUCUCUGUAUUUCGUUCAUUAUCGUUUCUUCAGUAUACUUCUAACAAGGACGAAAAGGAAAGAAGGGAGCAGCACAGGGUCUUUAGAGAUACUUGCAGGUGAAGAAGGAGCAGCACAGGGUCCUUAGAGAUACUUGCAGGUGAAGAAUGGAGCAGCACGUGGUCCUUUUCAAAUAAAUAUUUCAUGCGAUUUCAAGUAAAGACUUUUAAAUCAAAUUGAUGGAAUUAAUAAUUUAAAAGAUAUUAAUAAAUGAGAAAGUAAAAAAAUUGAUUUGAUAAUGAUACGUUAUUUUAUUAUUAUUUUAAAUUUAAGAAUACAAAAGAACGUAAAAGAGAAAGAAUAAUAAAAAAACAAGUAAGGAUAUAAAUGAAAAAGAAAAAAUAUUAGUGGUCAAUGUGUUGAUAAAGACUUUCAUUGUAAUACUCAUACAAUGCUGGUUGUGUAAAUUAAGCAUCAGUUUGACACAAUGUUCACCGUAAUCAUGUUCUAAACUUUUUUUCAACUCCAUAAGUAAUUUUUUUAUUAUUCAUUUAUUAUAAAAUAUGAUAAACAUUUAUAUAUAUAAAUUAAGUUUUUUUCUAAUUGAGACAAAAAAUUGGGUUAUAUAUAUUAUGUUCAUGAGCUUGGUUGAUUUGUUGCAUGAUGGAUUGUGAUGAUGAGUGUGAAUUUUGAUCAAAACCCGUGUCCUUUGUUUGAGUAUGAUUGCACAUGCUUUUGUUUACUCUCAUUGCAUGGAAAGGAGGAGGAAAAUCAGUUCCAUAAUCUAAUUUCAGUUUUACAAAUUUCAAUAUCUAGGGUUGUGUAACGCCACUAAUAAUAGGUUCAAUUUGAAAUGAAAAUGCCAUUGUUUUCUAUGCUUGCAUCCCUUGAUGUGAAGAGUAACAGGGAUUUCAAGAAAGAGUCUUGAAGUUUAGGAUGAUUCUAGUGAUUGUCAGAUGGACUAUUUUCCUAAACUAUAGCAAAUCGUGAGAUGACUUCCAGGCAAAUGUCGGACCUGAUAUUACUGAGGAUUAGAUAGAAUAUUAUUUCCAUAUGUUAUAGUCGCAUGUACCAUUAAUUGCACCGAAAAUGUGUCUGCGUUGUUCCUUGCUUGGAAAUUUUUACCGGCGUACUGUUCAUCUAAUUUGGGUAACAUCUAGGCAUCCACGCAACUAUCACUUAGACUUACAAACCAAAAAACACCAAACACACAGCCAAUUAUCACUAGAAUUCAAAAACUAGAAUUAAUUUUUUGUACGGUGGUUUUCGGAAGGGGGACGGUAAGUAAGGCAGUGGCGUGACCCUGCCCCAAAAUGGAAAGUGUUAUAUUUAGGUCCUGAAUUUUUUUUAAAAAUUUUAAAUUAGUAAAGGUAAAAUUAUACUUUGACUAUUCUUAAAAAUGAUAAAAAAUUGAUUUAAUCAUUUAUAAAUGAUAAAGAUAUAGGCUAUUAAAAUGAUGAAAUUGUAUUUUUAUUAUUGUAAAAAUUAUAAUUUAAUUUUGGACCUCCCUAAAAGAAUUUUCUAGCUUCGACCAUGUGUAGCUGUCGUUACUUCAUGAUCAUCAUUAUCGAGUUUUUUAUAUUUUUCUCUAUAUUGAAUUUCAAAUCUGUUAAUUAUUGUUUUCUCAUUGUGUAAUGUAACAUUAGAUCAUCACAUUUGUAAUUCAAGUAGGCUUAAUCUUUGAACAAGAUUUUCAUGUAUUGUUAUCAUUCAAGCCAAAUACUUGAAUGCAAUGAAACUUUAGUUCAUGUCAAUGUUUGAGUAUUGAUGAGUAACUGAUGAUAUUUAUGCAUGCAUCUAUUCCUUCAGUUAAAUGAUGAUGAUCAUCAUCAUAGUAAUCAUCAAUCUAUGCUCAUUGUGAGCAAAAUUAAGGUACAAGUGUAGCCAUCUUAGAGAGUUAGCAAAUGUAAACUCUAAAGUCGUUUCAAUAUCAGAAUUUUUAACAGUUUUCACCAUGAAUUCAGCUUCCCACGAAAACCUCCAAGAAGUUCUCUUGAUCUUUCUAAACUAUGUGUUUUUAUUUUACAGAAUACUUACCCACCACCAUUUCCUCGAAAUGUUAACCCACCACCUAAAUGUUUAACUCCUGAAAGUAAUAAAAAUGCGUUAGUCGUCGUUGCAAAGAUGAUAACCUCGGGUUUGUUUCGUAGUCCUGCUGCUUCAUAUAAUGUGAUUAAAAUAUUGUGUACAUCAAGAAAUUUUCUUCUGGCCAUGAGGUAUCUAACAUGGAUGGAAUUUGAAAAUGAUAUGGAGACCUAAUUUAUGGUCAUGGUAUCUCUUUCGGAGGGGAGAAUGUUGAACACAGCAAUGGCUCUGGGCGCUGACCUCAUAAAAAAAGUGCUCCACCGUAAAACUAUUUACUAUAAUGGCGAGGAAGACAAACCUAAGCCAAAUCUUUACUAUACUAUAAUGACUCUAAUAUAAUGUCUUUACUAUCUUCGUUGCUCUCUCAUUUGGCUCCAACAAGUAUAAAGUUUGUUUUUGUUUAUGUAAUGUAAUCUCAAUGUAGCAGAAUCAUAAAAGAAGAUAUAGAACUUUUAUUAUUAUGUGAAAUGUAUUAAGUUAUUAUUAUUAUGUAAUCUCCGUUGAUUCCUUUGCACUGCAAUCAAAGUCGGUGGAAUCCUACAAUAUAAAACAUCUCCAACAAUUUGUGAUCCCAUGCCGUACUGUUUAUCUUCUUCCUCCCCUUACAAACAAAAAAGGCCAAACACACAAUUAUCACUAGGAUUCAAAAACUCUAAUAUCUUAUAUAAAAUGGAAAAGAAUGAAAAUGAGCAUUAAGGACAAAAAGGAAAGAAGGUAUGUAGCAUAGGUGAAGAAAGGUGAAGAAGGAAGCAGCAAUUGUCUGCUCAACGGGGUCCUUAGAGAUACUUGCCUUUUCAAGUAAAUAUUUCAUGCGAUUUCAAAAUUGUAUCAUAGUCCUCUGUGGAAAUUAUUUUUGGUGUGGAAAUUAUUAUUAUUAUGUAAUCUCCGUUGAUUCCUUUGCACUGUAAUCACAGUCAGUUACAAUCCGGUAUAUGGUUAGUCAAGUGGUUAGUAUUUGUUACCAAGUGGUUAGUGUUUGUUAUCACUCACUAGUGUAUUUAAGUAUCAUUUCUGUACAGGUUCACCAAAGCUAAUGAUAAUAAGAAUAUUCAGCAAAUACUAUUCUCUGUAUUUCGUUCAUUAUCGUUUCUUCAGUAUACUUCUAACAAGGACGAAAAGGAAAGAAGGGAGCAGCACAAGGUCCUUAGAGAUACUUACAAGUGAAGAAUGGAGCAGCACGGGGUCCUUUUCAAAUAAAUAUUUCAUGCGAUUUCAAGUAAAGACUUUUAAAUCAAAUUGAUGGAAUUAAUAAUUUAAAAUAUAUUAAUAAAUGAGAAAGUAAAAAAAUUGAUUUGAUAAUGAUACGUUAUUUUAUUAUUAUUUUAAAUUUAAGAAUACAAAAGAACGUAAAAGAGAAAAAAUGAUAAAAAAACAAGUAAGGAUAUAAAUGAAAAAGAAAAAAUAUUAGUGGUCAAUGUGUUGAUAAAGACUUUCAUUAUAAUACUCAUGCAAUGCUGGUUGUGUAAAUUAAGCAUCAGUUUGACACAAUCUUCACCGUAAUCAUGUUCUAAACUUUUUUUCAACUUUAUAAGUAAUUUUUUUAUUAUUCAUUUAUUAUAAAAUAUGAUAAACAUUUAUAUGUAUAUAUAUUAAGUUUUUUUCUAAUUGAGAUAAAAAAAUUAGGUUAUUUGGAAUCAAAUCCACUGAUAAAAAAUUGGGUUAUAUAUAUAUUAUGUUCAUGAGCUUGGUUGAUUUGUUGCAUGAUAGAUUGUGAUGAUGAGUGUGAAUUUUGAUCAAAACCCAUGUCCGUUGUUUGAGUAUGAUUGCACAGGCUUUCGUUUACUCUCAUUGCAUGGAAAGGAGGAGGAAAAUUAGUUCCAUAAUCUAAUUUCAGUUUUACAAAUAUCAAUAUCUAGGGUUGUGUAACGCCACUAAUAAUAGGUUAAAUUUGAAAUGAAAAUGUCAUUGUUUUCUAUGCUUGCAUCCCUUGAUGUGAAGAGUAACAAGGAUUUCAGGAAAGAGUCUUGAAGCUUAGAAUGAUUCUAAUAUUGCCAGAUGGACUAUUUUCCUAAACUAUAGCAAAUCGUGAGAUGACUUCCAAGCAAAUGAGUCAGACCUAAUAUUACUGAGGAUUAGAUAGAAUAUUAUUUCCAUAUGUUAUAGUCGCCUGUAUCAUUAAUUGCACCAAAAAUGUGUCUGCGUUGUUCCUUGCAUGGAAAUUUUUACUAGCGUACUGUUAAUCUAAUUUGGGUAACAUCUAGGCUUCCAUGCAGCUAUCACUUAGACUUACAAACCAAAAAACACCAAACACACAGCCAAUUAUCACUAGAAUUCAAAAACUAGAAUUAAUUUUUUGUACGGUGGCUUUCGGAGGGGGGGACAGAAAGUAAGGCAAUGGCGUGGCCCUGCCCCAAAAUGGAAAAUAUUGUAUUUAGGUCCUGAAAUUUUUUUAAAAUUUUAAAUUAGUAAAGGUAAAAUUACACUUUGACUCUUCUUAAAAAUGAUAAAAAUUUGAUUUAAUCAUUUAUAAAUGAUAAAGAUAUAGGCUAUUAAAAUGAUGAAAUUGUAUUUUUACUAUUGUAAAAAUUAUAAUUUAAUUUCGGCCCUCCCUAAAAGAAUUUUCUAGCUUCGACCAUGCGUAGCUGUUGUUGCUUCAUGAUCAUCAUUAUCGAGUUUUUUCUACUUUUCUCUACAUUGAAUUGCAAAUCUGUUAAUUAUUGUUUGCUCAUCGUGUAAUGUAACAUUGGAUCAUCAUAAUUGUAAUUCAAGUAGGCUUAAUCUUUGAACAAGAUUUUCAUGUAUUCUUAUCAUUCAAGACAAAUGCUUGAAUGCAAUGAAACUUUAGUUCAUGUCAAUGUUUGAGUAUUGAUGAGUAACUGAUGAUAUGUACACAUGCAUCUAUUCCUUCAAUUAAAUGAUGAUGAUCAUCAUCAUAGUAAUCAUCAAUCUAUGCUCAUUGUGAGCAAAAUUAAGGUAAAAGUGGAGCCAUCUUAGAGAGUUUGCAAAUGUAAUCUCUAAAGUCGUUUCAAUAUCAAAAUUUUUAACAGUCUUUCACUAUGAAUUUCAGCUUCCCACAAAAACCUCCAAGAAGUUCUCUUGAUCUUUCUAAACUAUGCGCUUUUAUUUUACAGAAUACUUACCCACCACACUUUCCUCAAAAUGUUAACCCUCCACCUAAACGUUUAACUUCUGAAAGUAAUAAAAAUACGUUAGUCGUAGUUGGAAAGAUGAUAACCCCGGGUUUGUUUCGUAGUCCUACUGCUUCAUAUAAGGUGAUUAAAGCAUUGUGUACAUCAGGAAAUUUUCUUCUGGCCGUGAGGCAUCUAACCCGGAUGGAAUUUGAAAAUGAUCUGGAGACCUAAUUUAUGGUCAUGGUAUCUCUUUUAGAGGGGAGAAUGUUGAACACAGUAAUGGCUCUGGGCGUCGACCUUAUAAAGAAAGGGCUCCACCAUAAAACUAUUUUCUAUAAUGGCAAGGAAGACAAACUUAAACCUGACAAGGAAGACAAACCUAAGCCAAAUCUUUACUAUACCAUAAUGACUCUAAUAUAGUGUCUUUACUAUCUUCGUUGCUCUCUCGUUUGGCCCCACUAGGUAUAAAGUUUGGUUUUGUUUAUGUAAUGUAAUCUCCAUGUAGCAGAAUUCUAAAAGAAGAUAUAGAACUUUUAUUAUUAUGUGAAAUGUAUUAUUAUUAUUCUUAUCAUUAUCAUUAUCAUUAUUAUUAUUAUUAUUAUGUAAUCUCCGUUGAUUCCUUUGCACUGCAAUCAAAGUCGGUGGAAUCCUACAAUAUAAAACAUUUCCAGCAAUUUGUGAUCCCAUGCCAUACUGUUCAUCUUCUUUCUCCCCUUACAAACAAAAACGCCAAACACACAAUUAUCACUAGGAUUCAAAAACUCUAAUAUCUUAUAUAAAAUGGAAAAGAAUAAAAAUGAGCAUUAAGGACAAAAAGGAAAGAAGGUACGUAGCAUAGGUGAAGAAAAGUGAAGAAGGGAGCGGCAAUUGUCUGCUCAACAGGGUCCUUAGAGAUACUUGCCUUUUCAAGUAAAUAUUUCAUGCGAUUUCAAAAUUGUAUCAUAGUCCUCUGUGGAAAUUAUUUUUAGUGUGAAAAUUAUUAUAUUAUGUAAUCUCCGUUGAUUCAUUUGCACUACAAUCACAGUCAGUUACAAUCUGGUAUAUGGUUAUUCAAGUGGUUAGUAUUUGUUAUCAAGUGGUUAGUGUUUAUUAUCACUCACUAAUGUAUACAAGUAUCAUUUCUGUAUAGGUCUACCAAAGCUAAUGAUACUAAGGAUAUUCAGCAAAUACUAUUCUUUGUAUUUCGUUCAUUAUCGUUUCUUCAGUAUACUUCUAACAAGGACGAAAAGGAAAGAAGGGAGCAGCAUAGGGUCCUUAGAUAUACUUACAAGUGAAGAAGGGAGCAGCCCAAGGUCCUUAGAGAAACUUGCAGGUGAAGAAUGGAGCAGUAUGUGGUCCUUUUCAAAUAAAUAUUUUAUGUGAUUUCAAGUAAAGACUUUUAAAUCAAAUUGAUGGAAUUAAUAAUUUAAAAGAUAUUAAUAAAUGGGAAAGUAAAAAAUUUGAUUUGAUAAUGAUACAUUAUUUUUUUAUUAUUUUAAAUUUAAGAAUACAAAAGAACGUAAAAGAGAAAGCAUAAUAAAAAAAAGUAAUGGUAUAAAUGAAAAAGAAAAAACAUUAGUGGUCAAUGUGUUGAUAAGACUUUCAUUGUAAUACUCAUGCAAUGCUGGUUGUGUAAAUUAAGCAUCUAUUUAACAAAAUGUUCACCGUAAUCAUGUUCUAAAAUUUUUUUUAACUCUAUAAGUAAUUUUUUUAUUAUUCAUUUAUUAUAAAAUAUGAUAAACAUUUAUAUGUAUAUAUAUUAAGUUUUUUUCUACUUGAGAUAAAAAAAAUUGGGUUAUUUGGAAUCAAAUCCACUGAUAAGAAAUUGGGUUAUAUAUAUAUCAUGUUCAUGAGCUUGGUUGAUUUGUUGCAUGAUGGAUUUUGAUGAUGAGUGUGAAUUUUGAUCAAAACCCAUGUCCUUUGUUUGAGUAUGAUUGCACAGGCUUUUGUUUACUUUGAUUGCAUUGAAAGGAGGAGGAAAAUCAGUUCCAUAAUCUAAUUUCAGUUUUACAAAUUUCAAUAUCUAGGGUUGUGUAACACCACUAGUAAUAGGUUCAAUUUGAAAUGAGAAUGCCUUUGUUUUCUAUGCUUGGAUCCCUUGAUGUGAAGAGUAACAAGGAUUUUAGGAAAGAGCCUUGAAGUUUAGAAUGAUUCUAAUGAUUGUCAGAUGGACUAUUUUUCUAAACUAUAGCAAAUCGUGAGAUGACUUGCAAGCAAAUGAGUCGGACCUAAUAUUACUGAGGAUUAGAUAGAAUAUUAUUUCCAUAUAAUCCUCCCUAAAAACAUGCACAAAAACAAUAACAUUGAGACUCGUACAAAUAUUUCUUAGCAGUUUAAAGCAAUCCCAAUAUUUUCAUGGUCUUUAUUCAAUACCCGUGCACCGCGAAACAACCAUCUUAAAAUUUACUCCACAAUGAUUUUUUUUUUACAUUUUUCUAUUUUGAUUCAAUAAUCAUAUGAAAAGCCAAUAUAAUUGUUCUCAUGGAGCAGUCUAGAGAGAGGGACUGUGGAAACAGUUUUCGUUUACAACAUUUCGAACACUAUGCAUUGGAAAGGAUUGUGGGCUUUAUUUGGAUACCAUGGUGAUGUUGUUGAUGCCUUUAUUCCAUAUAAAAGGUGCAGAAAUGAUAAAAGGUUUAGGUUUGUGAGAUUCUCUAAUGGAAGGGACGCGCUAUGGGCGAUAAUGAGGUUAAAUGGUUUCUUUUUAUUGGGGAAGAGAAUCGGGGUGAAAAUGGCUAUAGUUAUAAUAGUAAAAGAAAGUUUUGGAGGAUUGGUUCGGAUCGAAAGGAUAAGGAACUGAGUGUUGAAACAGACUGAGAAGAAAAAUGUGAGGAAAGGAAUGAUAAUUGCGCUAGAGGAGGUAUGAAAACCUAGACCAGAAAAGUCAAAAGUCAUGUUGAAGAUAAACGAUUAUAGAAUCUACAGAAAUGCUUGGUGUGCGAAUCGAUUUUGGUAUGUGAUUCAAAAAGCAUCAACGAUCGUUUAGCAAAAAUUGGUCUUAGGGAAAUAACAGUAAUAAGGAUUCAAGGAAGACAUUUCUUGGCUGAUAUUCCGGAUGAAGAAUUGAUGGAAUUGUUAAGGCAAAUUAAGUGGUCAUAUUUGAAAGACUUUUUCAUUAACAUUGUGCCAUGGUCGGAGAAAUUGAAGUUAGAAGAAAGGGUAUCGUGGAUUGAAGUUUCUGGAGUGCCAUUGCGUUGCUGGAAUUAUGAAACAUGUAAAAGACUUACAGGGGUAUAAGGGAAGUUGGUGUCAGUAGGGGAAAAUCUAACUAAAGUUCACAAUUUUGAAAAACUUGAGCUACUGAUUUCUAUUUCAGAAAUGAACAUGACUGAUGAAGUUGUUAGUUUGGAAGUUGGCGAUGUUAUUUUUUCGAUCAGAGUAAGGGAAAUGGGACUAUCGAAGCUGAAAGAAGAUAACGAUAUCAGUAAGGCCAGCCGGAAGAAAAAAGAAGAAGUUAGCACCUCAGAAGCUAGUUCGAUGGCGAGCACAAGGCCAAAAAUUCCAUCGGAGGGAAUAGAAAACGUCAAGAUUGGAGCAUUAAUGGCAGUUAAUCUAGAAAAUGGGAAGAAGAGUUAUGAAUGUCAGAAAAUGAUGGAGGAGGAAAACGAAGAGGUAGAGUUAGAGCAUAUUUUCAAAGAAAUUAAUUUGAGAAAGGCAGCUGUAACGGAUAAUGUUUUGGAAAGGGCAUUGAAUGACAUAAGGGACAUGGGAUUGAAUGUUAUUGAGGACGCUUUAGAAGUUUUAAAUGUUGGGGGCAUUAAAAAUGGAUCACUUGUGGGCUGCACAAUUGCUGAAAAUUUUAUCACUGAAGAUUUAAUUAGCCUAGAGGAAGGUAACAACAGAAGUCAGGAAAAUGAAAAAAAUAGAGAUGAAGUGAUGGAAUCAAAUUUGGAUUUAGAAGAAGAAUUGAACCAAAUGAUUAGUCGCAAAAAAAAAAGAGGAUUGAACAAAAAGAUUCGGUCUAUGUAUGAAAUCUAAAGCAGUCUUUUAAUGUCUAAAGAGAGGAAGAAAAGGGACAGACCAAGUUGAAGGAUAAAGGAAGGGAGUCUUGUAAGGAAGAAGAGAGGAUUGUUAAUUUUUCCCUUUCGGAUUCGGAUAUAACUAACAGAAUGAGGGUGAUUCUUAGGGAAGCUAAUAACACUUGGGCACUUGGAAAGAAAUUGGGAUUUGGUGUACAUGGAAAUGAAGAAGAAGUGAUUGAAGAAUUAAUGAGAGCAGAGAUUCAGUAGUUAUGUUUCAAAUUUUGUACGAGAGAAGAGAUAAGGUCACAGUGGUUUAUAAUCGAGUGGUUGGAAUUUUCGUUUUUAGUUUUUGGUGCUGAUAAGGGAAGGUGAUUAUGGUGAUGUUUUGGUUUUUUGGAGAAAUCAGGUGCUUUAAGAAUGUUAUCCUUUAAGAAUGUCAAUGGUGUGAAAAGAAUUAUUGUAAGUUGUAUUGGAUGUUUAAAUAGCUUUAUGGAAUGGCACAGAUUUUUUGUGAUGGGUGUUUGGGAUUGAAUUAUCUACAACGGUUCGGAUUUUUUGGGAGUGAUUAGAUGACUGGUUUCUUUAAGAUUUUUGGUUGACUUCAAUCGGUUAAGGAUGUGCAUGUAUGGCUAUAAGGAAAAAGGUUUUUGUGAUGUUGGUAGGAGUCUUUUAAGUUUGUUGGUUGUCUUUGUUAGCUGGAUUUUCUGGGGAUUGUUGUAUGAAUAGGUAUAUAUUUUCUGUCUAUCUUUUUAGCUGGUUUAUUGCUCAUGGAUGUAUUGUUCAUUAUGUUUUGGUUUUGCUUUUAAGGUAUUAGUUAGAGUUAGUAAAGAUGCCUAGUUGGAGAAUUGUUGGGUGGAUGGAAGAGGUUUGGGUUUUGAUUGGGUUUAUUCCUGGUUGGGUUGGGUUCAUUGAUUUGUUGCUGGGAUUAUUUUGAUUGUGUGUGAGUUGUGUAAUGGGGUUUUUGGCUGUGGUUCAUCUUGAAGGUGGCCUUUUUUCCUGGUUGUUUGCUGGGUUUAUUUUCUGGUUAUCGUGCAGAGGAGAUCAUGGGGUUGGUUUGGGUUCAUUGAUUUGCUGUUGGGAUUAUUUUGAUUGUGUGUGAGUUGUGUAAUGGGGUUUUUGGUUGCGGGUCAUCUUGAGGGUGGCCUUUUUUCCUGGUUGUUUGCUGGGUUUAUUUUCUGGUUAUCGUGCAGAGGAGAUCAUGGGAAGUGUAGUCUUUUUGGUAAUUUAUGCAGUUGCUGUGAGGGUUUUGGAGUUGUUUUGGAAGGAGUAUGUUUUUAUUACAAUGGUAUUCAAUCCAAUAAAUGUAUUGGAUUGGUUGUAAUUCUCGAUCGUGGUUGUUUUGGGAAUUGUUCGUGUUUUUGGGAGACUGUUUUUGUUGUGGCUAAGGUACGAAUUGAAAUCACUUGUUGAGGUUUGCUUGGUGCGAUGGUUGUUUCGUUUUUUGCUGGUCUCCCAUUGUUUAUCUUGUGUUGAGCAUUUUGGUUUCAGUGUUGGGGGAUUAUUGACGUGCUUUUUUUUAAGUUUUGGCAUAGUUUCGUUUUUGUUGUUCUAUUGUCAAUCUAGUCGGGUUGGGUGUUCCCAAUGCCAUAUUUUGUAAUCUAUUGACUGAGCAAUAUAUAUAUAUAGUGAAUAUUUGGCUGGUAAUGCAUUUUUUUAAUUCCCACAAGCAAAGUUAAAUUUGCCACAUGUCUCAUUUCUUAUAUAUAUAAUUCUUUUACUAUACCUUUAUAUACUUUUCAUCAACCCAACCCUGCUUGUGGAAUUUUUAAAUUCCACUACCAAUGUCUCAAAUAUAUUCCCUAAUAUAUAUUAGGUUAGUAUUUGGUACAUUAGUAGUGUACUUUUUUAUCUCACAAGCAGUCUUAAAAAAUUGACAUGUGUCACAUUUUUUAAAUAUUUAUUUUUUAAUAUUUUAUUAUACCUAGAUAAGAUACUUAUUAAUCACCUAACCCUACUUAUGAAAUAUCUAAAAACUAUGUUGACAAUGUACCUAAUAUUAUUCAAUGUAUAUUAUGGUUUGAUUAAACAUGAUAAAAUAUAAUGCAAUACAAACACGAUAUAGAUAUAUCAAAAUAUACAAAAUAAUAAGUAUUUAAAAUAUCAAAACUUAUAAAAUUUAUAAUACCUUAAAUAUGAUUAAGAUACAAAAAUAUAAUUAUUUGCUCAUUCUCCAAAAAAAAAAAUUCCUGUACUGUUUUUAAUUCCAUUAAUGGUGGAUAGAAUAAUUUCAUUAAUAGUUGCAAUCAAAAUAAAACAUUACAAAUAAUAAAUUAAAUAAUUAACUAAAUAACUGAUUAAUUAUAACUAAAAUAAAAGUAGAGAAAAUCCUACACAUCAACAUGAAAUGAGACUCAAAUUUGGUUCUUCCCAAAAUCUCAACUUUUCAAUUGAGUAGAGGAAUUAUUAUUAAAUAUGUUGGGAAGUAGGUUAGUCUUGACGGGUUGUUACAGGGACUAAAUCAGAAAAAAAAAAUUAGGAGUCGAAAUUAUAUUAUAAUUUUUAUGAUAGUAAAAAAAUGUAAUUUUAUAAUUUUAAUAAUUUAUAUUUUUAUAAUUUUGAAAAGAUUAAAUCAAUUUUUUAUAUUUUUAAGAGAUCAAAAUAUAAUUUUACUUUUACUAAUUAAAAAUUUUUAAAUUUUAAAUGAUCUAAAUAGAAAAUUUUCCCUUUCACAAAGGGAGAGAGGCUGAUGGCACAUACAUAAUUGCAGCAUCUUAUGCACAAAAGUCAUGCUUAAUGAUUUUGCUUCCCAUCUUGUAUCAUAAUGUCCCCAUCUCUAACAAUCAUCCAUCCCCACUCACCAUUUUUCAUCUAUCUUUCCUUUGCUUUCCCUUUUUCUUUCCUUUUUUCCUGCCAUUCAUUCAUGUUCUUUCUCUCUCUCUCUCUCCAACAUCAAUCGGAUCGGCUUUGGUAGGGUUUUGUUUCAUGACAUAAUAAUAUAAAGCACAAGUCAUGAAAAAAGGGAAAUUAUAUUUUAUAUAUGUGUGUACUAUAACCAAUUUGUUUGCAUAUUUAUAUUAGGUUAAAAUAUUUUAGUUGUUUUUUUUUAAUAUUUACUGAAAAUAUUUUAUAUAUAUAUGUACUAUAGACAAAUUUGAUUCGUGAAAAAAUGAUUUACAAAAAAUAUUUUUUGCAUUUGCUUCUUAUGUUUAAUAGAAAAAUAGUUUGUUCAAUGAAAAAUAAUUUAUUGUCAACGAAAAACAAGUUUGAAUUAAAAAAUAUUUAAUUAUAAUUUUUUGGAUUUUUUAUAUUUUUGAUAUUUUUAUUUAUAUAUAUAUUUAAGUUUAUGUGUAACGACUCGGAAGUUAGUAGUGUAAACCCUAUUUUUUGACAUCACUAACUUUCAAGUCGUUACAUUAUGUAUUUAUUUAUAAUAUAAAGAUAAGUGACCCUAAACUUACCUUGGACCAAAAAGAUUAACAAAAACAAAGUUGAGGUACCGAUAUGGGAUAAAAAAAAAUUAGGUAACAAUGCGGAAAAAUAGGUAUAAUUUGGGAGCCUAAACCGUGAAUAAAGCCAAUUAUAAAUAUUUAGUAACAAAUAUCUCCAAUAUAAAAUAUGAAUAUCUUAUAAUAUAAAUAUCAGUAUCUGCUUAAACCUUUGCUUAGCUUCAUAUAUUCCUUUUAGCUCUAAUGUGUCACUAUCAUCUUUCAUCCCUUGAUAAUAUAAGAUAAUAUAGUUAUUAUAAAAUAAUUCGAUUGUCAAAAGGCAAUACUUUGAUAAUAUUUUGUAACAAAUAGUAUUUAUGCUAUAAUUGUUUCAUUGAAAAUAGCUUUCAAAAAUUGAUUUAAGAAAAAUUUUCAAACAACAGUAUAGUUUACAUAAGAAUCAUUCAAACACUAAAAAAUAUUUUAAAAAAAAUUAUUUUUCAAAAAUUAUUUUUAAUAAAACAUACAUAAUCUUAGGUUAUUUUAACAUCUACUAGUUCCUAGUUCCAUAUUUAUUGUAUGUGUUUAUUUUUUAAAACCCUUUAAUUAGUAUAUUUUUAUUUCAUAUGGUUAAUAUAAAGUGAUUUUUUUGGUAUAUUUAACCAUUUUAAUAAUUAAAAUAUUAUAUUAAUAAAAAAUUUCAAACCAUAAUUAAUGUGUGAAUGAAAAUCAAACAUUUUUGUAUUUUUUAAGCUACUAUUUUAAUGAAAAUGCUUAAGGGUAUGUUUACAAAAUAACUUGAGUGUAAUUACUUGUAAUUGUAUAUGUGUGGCAUGUUUGAAUAACCAUUGUGAUUAAUUGGUCCCAUUGAAUUAAGUGCAAUUGGAGCACCCCAGUUACACUUUCUAAUUCUUAUAAGGGGUUGAAAAUGGAGGAAUUACACAAAUAAUUAGCCAUGAUGCCUAUACACACAAAUUUCAAGUUGAAUAUUGACAUGCUAAUGUGUCGUUGAGAGCACUAAAAAUAUCAUAUUCCCUAUAAAAUAAUAAAAAUAACAGUAAAGGGGAAGUAAGGUCGAAUCCUCAGGGACCGGAUUGUACGAAUGCUAGUUUCUUGAAAUCCUGGACAAUUUCUUGGCCAAGAAAACCUGUGUUCCUGAAAAAUAAAAAAAAUAAAAUUAAGAAUAUGAAAAAAUAAAAACAGAAUUUAAAGUGAAUUGAAAUUGCAAAAUUAAAUAGAUUGCAGAAAUUAAAAUGGAAAAAAUAAACAAAGUUUGAAAAUAGAGAAAGUUUCUUAUGUAGCGAGAUUCCAGCCUCCGAUUGUCUCGUUCCGCCUUGGGUUCAAUCCUUGACUUUUAAGUAACCCUUCUCGAGAAGGAUAAGCCAGUUAUAGUGGAAGAGGACGCCUACGACCACCAGCUCCAAGGAUUUAGACUUAAAACUAGGCAGAGCCUGACUUUAGCCAAUAAUCGCUUUUAUGGGACUAUCUUCUGCUAGAUUACCUCUUCCCAACGGCGAAUUCCACACCGUUUUGUCUCUUGGCUUCGCCAACCUCUGACGUAGAAAGCCAACGAACCGACUGUGCAACCUUCCCAAAACGUACAAAGCGGUCGUUCGUUACACAAGUUGAAAAGAUCACCUAUUAAGGGACAUGGACGAAAGCGCCAGUCCCGUAAUGCGGAGAAGCAAUGAAUACCUUGUUGAGAAGGCUAAGCGCGGAUUCUAAGCCUCAUGAACCUUUUUGGGGAAUUUUGACAACCUUCGGCUAGAUUGGUUUAGUGACUCAUGAUUUUUGGGAAAGAAAUAAAUAUAAUAGAAGUGAGAUUUUUAUUGAAGAAAAUAUGGAGAGAACAAAAAGACAGAGUUUUUGGGAGAAUGAGUGAUUACAGAAAAAGAGAUGUCCAUAUGUGCCACUCCAUCCCCUAUUUAUAGUACUAGAAAACCUAGCAUAUUCCUAAUGAAAUUUUAAAAGAUAAAUACAAAUAAAUAAAGAUAAAUGAAAAUAAAUCCUAGAAUUAAAUCUAAAUAAAAAUCAUUAAUAAUUAUCCUAAUAUAAUUGAAAUUAAAAUAGAGUCUUGUGCUAUAAAAUCUCUUCUUUUGUAUUUUAGUUCUUGGGUUUCCAUAUUUGUAUUUUCGGCAUCACUUCUCUCUUUCUUUGCAUGUUGGCCCAUUAUAUCUUCAAAUUCGCACUUUUUGCCUUUAAAUUUCCUCUUGCCUCCAAUUUAGUCCCUAAAAGAUAAAAGACCACAAAAUUAUCCAAAUUAGUAGGAUCAUACUCAAAAUAAGCAUGCAAUUAGCAUAUAAGCUAUGUCGUUCUAGAGUAUUAUCAAAUUCCCCCUACUUAGCCCAUGCUUGCCCUCAAGUAUGGUUCGUGUCUACUGUGAAAAUUAAAUCCUGCCAUGAAAGAAAUAUUACUCCAAAGUUUUAUAAAAAUUAGUCAAAAUGCAUAUGAAAAAUAAAGAGAACCCUUAGCUUGCUUUAAGUAAACUUUGAAAAAAGUAUUCCAAUUAACACACACAAAAAUUAAGAUCGACUUGGAUUAUUUAAUGAAAAUUAGGUAAUUUACCAAACCUAUCAAGACACCUUAUUUAUUUCUCUUUUAGUCCCCCAAUUUUAUUAAUACCUCAUUCUUUUUUUUUUCUUUUUUCUUUUUUUUUUUAAUUCUAUUUAUUUAUUUUUACUUGGGAAUAUAUUGAACCUUUUGACGCGAAGAGAGAUGACAGCCAAGUACCCCACCCCGAUUACUCAGCCCAACACAUUCCUAAUUUUUAUUUUUCUUAAGAACAUAUCAAACUUUUUGACGCGAAGAGAGAUGACAGCCAAGCACCUCACCCCGGUUACUCAGCCCAACACAUUCUUAAAAAUUAAUUCCGGUUAGCGGAGUUUUACCUAACACGUCACACAACCUUUUGACGCGAAAUAGGAUGACAAACCAAGCACCCUACCCCGGUUACUCAGCUAGUCACUUAUUAAAUUGCACUCAUAACCACGGAAACAUUAUUAUUAAACGAAAUUUUAAUUUUGGAGGACUUAGGAGCAAUAAUCAAGUGUCAAAAAUAAGUUUCAGCAACCACCUUAAUAGUCAUGAACAUAUUUUAAGCAUGCAAUUGUAUUAAGUGUCCUCAUUUUAUUUAUACUUAAUCAAAUUUACUAAAGCAAAAUAGGGCUAACUCUAUUAAUCAAAGUUAUUCAGCCUAAAAGAAAUAAAAUAAUGGAGAUACAAUCAAACAGGAAAAAUCAUAACUAACUCAGUAGACAAAAAUCAUGCAUGUAGGUCAAACAGUGGGCAAUUCGUGGUCAAAUUCUUGGGCAUGAAAAGAGGCAGAUUAUUCUUUAAAAAAAAUUAUAUGGGCAGCAACAACCAAGACAGCAGCAACCAAAUCAACAUCUAAAAUGACAGAAAUAAUGAGGAAUGUCUCCCUCUACUUAAAACACAUAGUCCUCGAUGUGGAAUAAAUAAAAUAGGACAAAAAGGUGUAGAGGAACUCCCCGUGUAAUUAAUGUCGUUCGCGUAUGAUUGCAAUGAGAUCCACUAGUUGCUGUUUGGCUGCAGGGUUGUCUCUCCCUAUCUUCGUUUCCGUUACCUAGAAGAAGAGAAUUUUAUUAAUAUCUGAAAAUAAUAAAUAAUAAAAUAAUAAGAUAAAAUAAAAUAAAAAUAAAAAUUGGGUUGUCUCCUAAUAAGCGCUUGUUUAACGUCGUUAGCUCGACGCCGUGAAUGGUUCUAUGGUGGCUCUAACUGAAUUUUUUCGACCGUGUGGGCUUGAAAAUUUUCGUAAAAUGGCUUCAACUGUUGGCCAUUGACUACGAACCGCGUCCUUGUUUCUUUACUCUCUAUUUUAACUGCACCAUGUGUGAAUACUUGGGUCACAAUAAAAGGUCAUUGCCACCAAGAUCGAAGCUUACCUGGGAAUAGCUUUAAUACGGAGUUAUAAAGCAAAACUUUUUGCCCUACCGAGAAAUGCUUCUGAGCUAUUUUCCUAUCAUGAAACAGUUUUGUUUUGUCUUUAUAAAUGCGAGCAUUCUCAUAGGAAUCAUUACGAAUUUCCUCCAACUCUUGAAUGUCCAAUUUUAUUGCCUUCCCUGCGGGCUCUAACUCCAUGUUACAUUGUCGAAUAGCCCAAUAAGCUUUGUGCUUCAGUUCUACUGGUAGAUGACACAUUUUGCCAAAAAUAAGUUGAUACAGGGUCAUGCCAAUUGAGCCCUUAUACGCCGUCCGAUAGGCCCAAAGCACGUCAUUGAGCCGAAGACUCUAAUCAUUUCGGUUGGGCCGAACUAUUUUUUCCAAAAUGGACUUGAUCUCCCUGUUCGAAAUCUCUGCUAGGCCGCUUGUUUGGGGAUGGUAGGCUGUUGCUAUAUGAUGAUGAACUCCAUAUUUUGAUAAUAGUGCCUUUAUGACCUUGUUGCAAAAGUGGGUACCACGAUCACUGAUCAAAGCUCGAGGUGUGCCAAACCUAGAAAAAAAUAGUUCAUUUUAGAAACUCCACAACAGUUUUAGCAUUGUCAUUGCGAGUAGGCUUUGCGUCUAUCCACUUAGAAACAUAGUCUACUGCAAGAAGUAUAUAUACGUUUCCAUACGAAGAAAUAAAAGAGGCCCAUGAAAUCGAUGCCCCAUACAUCAAAAAUCUCACAUACAUGAAUUAGGGAUAGGGGCAUUUGAUUUCGUUUAGUGAUGUUACCUGUAUGUUGGCAUUUAUCGCAAGACUUACAGAAGUUAUAUGCGUCGCAAAAAAUUGUGGGACAAUAUAGCCCACACUCUAAUACCUUGUGAGUUGUCCAUUUAGGGACGAAGUGACCUUCACAAGCUUCUGUAUGACAAAAAGUAAGGAUAGAGGUUACCUCGGUUGCUGGAACACAUCAUCUUAUUAGCUUAUCUAAACAGUGUUUCCACAAGUAUGGGUUGUCCCAAAUGUAAUACCGAGCUUCCCAUCUAAGCUUGUCCUUCACGGAACGUGUUAGCCCAGUGGGUAACGAUCUUAUGGUUAAGAGAUUAACUAUAUCAGCAUUCCAUAGAUAGUGAGCCUCGGUCGAAAAUAAGCUUUCAUCAAGAAACUCAUCCUUUAUAGGAACAUCAUCAGAUGGAGUUUUUAUCCUACUCAAGUGGUCAGCCACCAGGUUUUUACAUCCCUUUUAUCACGAAUUUCGAUGUUAAAUUCUUAGAGCAGCAGAAUCCAUUUAAUGAGCCUUGGUUUCACCCCCUUCUUUGCGAUCAAGUACAUAAGAGCUGCAUGGUUAAAAAAAAUAAUCACUUUAGAUUCCAAUAAAUAAGAUCGAAAUUUAUCUAAAGCGAAUACAACAGCUAAGAGUUCUUUUUCUGUAGUGGUGUAGUUGCUUUGUGCAGCAUUUAGGGUUUCUGAGGCAUAGCAAAUGACAUGAGGAUCUUUGUCUAUCUUUUGCCCUAACACGGCCCCCACACUGACUUCGCUUGUGUCGCACAUAAUUUCAAAAGGGUAGUUCCAAUCUGGUGCUUGCACUAUAGGAGCGGUCACCAACUUCUGCUUAAGUGUAUCAAAAGCCUCCUUACAUUUUGGGCCGAACUCAAAUUUCCUAUCUUUCUGCAAUAACUUGUAUAAUGGUUCAACCACUUUUGAGAAGUUUUUUAUGAAAUGUCUGUAAAAUCCUGCAUAGCCAAGAAAAGAACGAAUUUCCCUUACAGUGGAGGGAUAUGGCAAAGAAUUAAUAAUGUCAAUUUUGGCCUUAUCGACCUCAAUUCCCUUGGCAUAAACUAUAUAACCUAGAAUCAGACCCUUGUCUACCAUAAAAUGAAACUUUUAAUAGUUCAAGACAAGAUUAAAUUUUAUGCACCUAUUCAAAAUUAUCAUGAGGUUUUUAAGGCAUUCAUCAAAACAAUUUCCACACACAGUAAAAUCAUCCAUAAAAGCUUCAAUAAUUUUCUCCAUAUAUUCAGAAAAUAUACUCAUCAUGCAUCUCUGGAAUGUGGCUGGUGCGUUACAAAGUUCAAAUGGCAUCCUUCUGUACGCAAAAGUGCCAAAUGGGCAUGUAAAAGUGGUCUUUUCCUGAUCUUUUGGUGCGACUGGAAUUUGGAAGAAACCUGAGUACCCAUCAAGACAACAAAAGUGAGUUUUACCUGAUAAACGUUCAAGCAUUUGAUCUAUAAAAGGAAGAGGGAAAUGAUCUUUUCUAGUGUAAGAGUUUAACUUCCUGUAAUCAAUACAGACACGCCACCCAUUUUAUACUCGAGUUGGUACCAAGUCACCUUCGGCAUUUUUGUUUACUGCCACACCCAUUUUCUUGUGCACGAAUUGAACCGGACUUACCAUCUGCUGUCAGAAAUAGGGUAGAUUAUGUCAGCAUCCAGCAGCUUGAUUAUCUCUUUUUUUACCACUUCCAUCAUAUUCAGGUUUAAUUGCCUUUGGGCCUCUCACCUCGAUUUUGCAUUUUCCUCCAAGUAGAUUCUGUGUGUGCAUGUCAAGGGGCUUAUUCCUUUCAAAUCGGUAAUGGUCCAACAAGUCGCGUCCUUAUGACUUUUCAGUACCUGGAUCAAACUUUCUUCCUUGAGAUUAGAGAGUUUGUUGGAAACUAUGAUUGGUAGGGUAUUACCUUUCUCCAAAAACGCAUACUUAAGAUGUUCGGGAAACAAUUUCAAUUCCAAUUCUAGAGCCUACAUAACAGAAGGUAAAAUUUUAGUAUUUGAUGGAGACAAUAACUCAUUAACAGAUUCAUAGUCAUCAGAUAUAAAUUCAAAUUUAUCUUCAUAAAUCGACUCAAAAGUCUCAUUUGCUAAUGAGUCAAUUAUGUCGACACAAUUUACACUCAAAAUUUCGCUUGGAUGACUAAUGGGGUCAUAAACAUUAAAAUUCACGAUCUCCUCAUCAAAUUCCAUCGUAAGAGUUCCGCUUCGAACGCCGAUCUUAGUGCUAGCGAUACUAAGGAAAGGUCGGCCCAACAGGAGGUCCGAAGAUCCAGUAGUGUUAUCAUUCUCCAUCUUUAUCAUAUAAAAAUAUGCAGGGAAAAUAAGUUCGUUAACUUUUACCAGUACGUCCUCAAGGACUCCUUCAAGGAGCACAACAAACCUGUCUUCCAACUGAAUUAUAACACCUGUUUUCUUCAAAAAAACCCGCGUUAAGUUAUUCAUAAAUAGAGUAAGGCAUAACAUUUAUGUAUGCCCCUAAAUCACACAUGGCCUUCUUGAUCCUCAAAUGGCCAAUGGCCUAUUUUGCAUAGUAUAGCGAACAUACCCCUAUCUUUGCAUUUUGCCAGCAUUUUCCGCUGUAGCACUGCAGAUACACUCUCACCAACACUUACAUUUUCGUUACCUGUUAGUUUUUUUUUGUUGGUGCAAAGCUCCUUGAGGAACUUAACAUACCGCAGAAUCUGUCUGAUGGCAUCCAGCAGUGGUAAAUUGAUAUCGACAUUUCUGAAUGUUUCGAGGAUCUCUUUAUCUUCCUUACUUUUUCGACACAGAUUUAAUUGUCUUGGGAAUGGAGUUUGGAUUUUCGGCAGUGAGGGUUUCACUCAAACCUGUUCAUAGUUUUCGGGCUUUUCUUGGGCGAUUUCUUGGCCAAGAUUUCUGCCAGGAAUUGGUUCCAGUACCUUUCCACUUUGCAGCGUUACUGCAUUUUCGUUUUGCCUCGGGUUUGGUUCUGUUUGUGAUGGCAACUUCCCUUGAGAGUUUAAUCUCUCAAUUGAUAUGGUUAACUCCCUUAUGGAUGCCUCAGUUUUCUGUUGGAAAUCCUUUGUCUCUCUUUGGAAAUUAAGAGUUUGCUGUUGAAAAUAAGGACAUUAGCUGCUAAUUAAUUGACAUGGUUUAUAGCGAAUUACCUGAAUCUCGAGCCUGUUAUGGGAACCGAUUUUGGUUUGACUGGUUAAAUCGUGGGUUGGCCCCAUAACUUAAGUUAGGGUGAUCCCUCCAUCCUGGGUUGUAGGUAUUAGUGUAAGGGUCGUAUCGCCUUUGUGGUGGCCUAGGAAAAUUUCCCACAGCAUCUAAAUGAGCCAUAUUAUCAUCAUUCAAACUGGGAUAUGCAUCAGUUGUAUGUUCAGUGGUAGCACAUAUUCCAUAUAACUGGGCUGUCUUUGAUUUUUCUGCAACAAGAGAAUUCAAAAUAUUAGCAAUUCUAUCAACCUUAUUUUCUAAGGUCGAAUUACUUAGCUGGUGAACCCUUCUAGGGGGUUUAGUAUUGGCUCGAAAUUGCUGAGAAUUUGCAGCCAUUGUGUAGAUUAAAUCUCUUGCUUGUUGUGGAGUCAUGUUGACCAACGCUCCUCCACUCGCGGCAUCUACCAUAUUCAUCUCCAUGGGUUUCAAGCCUUCAUAAAAGUACUGGAGCAAAGACUGUUCCGUUAUAUCAUGUUGUGCACAACUUGCACACAACUUCUUAAAUCACUCCUAAUAGUCGUACAAAGACUCUGCGUCUUUUUGCCUUAUUCUCACAAUUUCUCUUCUUAACUCGACUGCACACGACGCUGGGAAAAACCAGUUGAGAAACAAACGAGACAAUUCAGCCCAAGUCGUUACAGAUCCAGGAGGUAAAUAAAAUAACUAUUCUGCUAAGGAAAAAAGGAAAGCACGUAGUUUAAUUUGAUCCUCAGUUACCCCCUGAGGUUUCAUACUAAGGCAAACCAUAUGAAAUUCUUUCAAAUGCUUGUGGGGAUUUUCGUUCUGUAACCCCCGAAAAGUUGGCAGCAGCUAGAUCAAGCCUGACUUUAAUUCAAAAUCAGUAUCCAUAGUAGGAUACGCGAUGCAUAGUGGCGGUUGUUUCGUCGGUGCUUCGGCCAGUUGUCGAAUUGUCUGAGCUAUAGGUUGAGGUGCUAAAUUAGGGUUUACGUUAACUCUAGCGUUAAGCACUUCUUCUGGGGAAUCGACUUCUACUUUUUCGCAUUUAAAAGUUUGAGUAGGGUUUUCAUUAACCCUAGACUCUAUUUCGUCAUCGAUUCUAAUUUCUGGCGGUGGAUUACUUUGAGUCCCAACCACUGCUGACUGCUUUUUCCUUAGCUUUGUUUCCUUACGAUUAGCUCUCGUAGUCUUUUCAAUUUCUAAAUCAAACGCAAGAGUUCCUGGAGCAGAUCUGGUCAUAAGAAACAAAAAACAAGAUUAGUAUGUUAUCGGUCCCCGGCAACAGCACCAAAAUUUGAUGUGUCGUUGAGAGCACCAAAAACAUCUUAUUCCCUGUCAAAUAGUAAAAAUAACAGUAAAGGAGAAGUAGGGUCGAAUCCUCAGGGACUGGAUUGUACGAAUGCUAGUUUCUUGAAAUCGUAGACAAUUUCUUGGCCAAGAAAACAUGCGUUCCUAAAAAAUAAAAAAAUUAGAAUUAAGAAUCUGAAAAAAAUAAAAUCAGAAUUUAAAGUGAAUUGAAAUUGCGAAAUUAAAUAGAUUGCAGAAAUUAAAAUGGAAAAAAUAAACAAAGUUUGAAAAUAGAGAAAGUUUCUUAUGUGGAGAGGUUCUAGCCUCCGGUUGUCUCGUUCCACCUUGGGUUCAAUCCUUGACUUUUAAGUAACCCUUCUCGAGCAGGAUAAGCCAGUUAUAGUGGAAGAGGAUGCCUACGACCACCAGCUCUAACAAUUUGGACUUCAAAUUUGGCGGAGCUUGACUUUAGCCAAUAAUCGCUUUUGUGGGACUAUCUUCUACUAGAUCACCUCUUCCUGAUACGAGUAACUCAGCCCAAUUCAAAGGCCAUAAUAGAGAUGAGUUUAGUUUUCCUCAAGGCCCAAUUACGUGAUCCAAAUCCAAACAAAUAAAGUCAAAACUCAACUUAGUGGUUCAAGACUUUAUCACGAAAAAAAUUCAAGAAGAAGAGUUGAAGUUUCAAGACAAUAAAUUAAGGAGUAAUGAUGAAUUAGAAGAGACUAAUUAUGUUUGUGGGCCUAAACUCUCAAUCUAUGACGACAAGCCCAUGUGGAAAAUGCUAACAAGCUUAAGCAUUUCACUUCUAGAACCCCAAUUGAUCUUACAAGCUUAGACAUUUCAUAUUGGGUUUAAGUUUUAGGCUUAAUUUUUAUUAUAUAUAAGCACAAUAUUUUGUUUAUUAUCUCUUAUUAUUUUAUUAUUAUUUUAUUCCGAAUUUUUGAUAAUUAUUAAGUAUUUUAAGUUAUUUAGGAAUUUUAUGUUAACAAGAAAGUUUAGUUUAAAACUACUUCUUGUUUAGAUUAAAUUAGAGUUCUAGUAUACUUAGGAGUUUUAUUUAGAUUUAUUUAUCUAGCCUAUAUAUAGGCCUUUGCAUUGUACACAGGGAGACAAUUGAUUAUUAUUCUAUUUCUCUUUUGAGUUAAUAAAUUCUCUUUGAGUUUUUUCUUUUCAAGAAUUUCUCUUGAGUUUCUUUUAGAAGAGUUUUAACAAUCUUUUUAGAUUGUGGGGAUCAUCUUCAAACUUUUUCUUGCCAAGGUUUUUAUCUUGGAGGGGAAAUUAGAGCCGCUUGAAGGGGGUUGUGGAUUCUUCGUGUUUCCAAGGCUUCUUAGGACUUCUACACGCCACGUUCUAUCUUUCCAUUUAUCUUCUUUAUUCACUUCCUGAAUCCUUGAUUUAUUAUUUGUUUUAAUUAUUUUAUCUAACUUGGAUUUAAUUUCGUUUCAGGUUGUGUCAAGAAAAAUCCAAGUUUCUUUCCGAACGUCUAGAGCCCUAAGUCAAAUCCGCGACUUUGACAAACUUUACGAUCCGCUUUCGCGUUCAUCCUUCUCAACCUUUAUCAUUUGGUAUCAGAUUUGGGCGUUUUAGGUGUUCUUUUUUAAAUUGAUUUCUCAAAAACAGCUUCAAAACAAAUUUUACCCCUACAGUUUUCAAAAAAAAUAUUUCUCAGUGGGUAAACGAUUUUCAAAUGAUCUAAAAUUUUGCAUACUAUUUCUUGGCACUAUUUUAAAGUAUAAAAAAUAUUUCCCACAAAAAAAAAGUGAUAAAAAAACUACAAAAAAUAAAAUACGAAAAAAAUAAAAAAAAAUUCUGUGGGUUGAAUUUUGUGCCGAAACUUUCCAGAUCAAAUCUACAUUAUUUGAGGAGGCUUCAGUUUAAAUUUUGUGAUUUUUGGAAAUCGGGAACACCUUGAACGAAGUUUGUCAAGUUGCUUCGCAGUUUUUCGGGUUUUCGGGUUUCAACAAUUUUCAUUGACUCUUAGCUUUAAGUAUUCAUUUGUUUUCCUUUUUAUUUGUUCCUUACGCAUUCUAACACUUUCUUGUUUCUUGUGUUAGUAGGUUAAAGCACGUUGCAUAUUCCUUCAUCCGUGCAACAAAAUUCUUUGAUGUCUAAGCAAAUUUUGGACUCAUAGUGCUAUUAGGUUUGCUUUGAUAGUUUGAUUCUAAAACAUCUUGAUUGAUUGAUAUAGACACUUUUAAAAGACUCACAAGAUUAAUUCUUACCUCAUUGAGAAUUUUUUUUUUUGAGUGCAUAUAGGUGAGGUUUGCUUAAUUUUUUCUUUUGAAGUGUUGUGCUUUUCCAGGCUUUCACUAUGACUCGUGACACUCGUGCCCGUAAAAACCAUGAUGAGAUACCAUCUGAUGACAAAGAACAAGAUGUUACAUUGGAGAAUAUUGUAGGGAUGGUAAAAUUGCAACAUCAACAAUUGAACGAGGUACGUGAUACAUUUGAGGCCAAUUUGACUACGUGUCGAACAGAACUACAAGAGAACAUUAAUAAGCUUUCCAAUCAUAUUCAAUUGCUUACUCAAGCUGUUGCUCGUUUGGAGACUUCUUCGAAUCGACGAUCUCGUGCUCGCUAAACCAAAGUUCAACAUUCCACCAUUCCAAGGAAAGUAUGAUCCAGAUGCAUAUUGCGAUUGGGAGGAUCAAAUGGAUGAUCAUGAUCUUCAACGGAGUAAUAUAUUCCAUUCGAGGUGUUUGAUUAAAGGUACACUUUGCUCAUUUAUCAUUGAUAGUGGAAGUUGUGCUAACGUUGUGAGCAGCUACCUUGUGGAUUCUCUUGCUUUGCCAUGUAGCAAACACCCUACACCAUACCAUCUUCAAUGGCUUAACGAAGGUUCGGAGGUCCGUGUGGUAAAACAGUGCUUGAUCACUUUUAAACUUGGGACUUACAUUGAUGAUGUUUGGUGUGAUGUCGUUCCCAUGCAUGCCGCCCACUUGUUACUUGGUAGACCAUGGCAGUACGAUCGUGAUGUUAUUCAUCAUGGUAAAUUAAAUCGAUAUUCUUUUAUUUUCAGUGGGAAAACGUACACUUUCACCCCUUUGAAUCCGAAAGAUAUUCACAAUGAUCAAAUCGACAUGAUGAAGUUUUGUAAGGAGGUUAUGGGAAGUAAGACACAAAAUUCAAAAAAGGCUGAGAGAAAAGAUGUCUCUAGUGAAAAAAGCCAAAUUAAUAAUGACCCAAUGGUGAGUGCAUCCUCUUGUGAGAAAAAAAGAGUGGUUCAUAAUUUUUAUGCGAGUGGAAAAUAUGUGCGACGAGCCUUACUCACUAAACAACCUUGCAUCAUUAUUCGAUUUAGGCAAAACUGUUUAUCUUUGACUAACCUUUAUAACUCUUUGCCUAGUGUUUUUAUGUCUUUUUUGCAAGAAUAUGAAGAUAUUUUUGAAGCAGCACCUAAAGGAUUGCCACCUUUGAGGGGUAUUGAGCAUCAAAUUGACUUAAUACCUGGGUCAACAAUUCUAAAUCGACCAGCUUAUAGAAGCAAUCCCGAUGAGACGAAGAAGUUACAAAAGCAAGUAGAUGAACUUUUGGCGAAGGGUCACAUUCGUGAAAGUUUAAGUCCUUGUACAGUGCCGGUAAUUCUGGUGCCAAAGAAAGAUGGUACGUAUAGAAUGUGCGUCGAUUGUCGACCAAUUAACCAAAUUACUAUUAAGUAUAGACAUCCUAUUCCAAGGCUUGAUGAUAUGUUUGAUGAACUUUAUGGUGCUUGUAUCUUUACAAAAAUUGAUUUAAAAAGUGGCUACCAUCAAAUUCGAAUGAAAGAGGGGGAUGAAUGGAAAACAGCAUCUAAAACUAAGUUUGGUUUAUAUGAAUGGUUAGUCAUGCCUUUCGGUUUGACUAAUGCACCUAGUACUUUCAUGCGCUUGAUGAACCAUGUUUUGAGACCUUAUUUGGGUAAAUUUGUGGUAGUAUAUUUUGAUGAUAUUCUGAUUUACUCAACUUUUUUAGAUGACCAUGUUUUUCAUGUUAAAUCAGUUUUGGAUAUUCUGCGAACUGAAAAAUUAUUUGCCAACCUUGAUAAAUGUACUUUUUGUUGUGAUAAACUAAUCUUUUUAGGUUUUAUAGUAAGUGCUCAAGGUAUUCAUGUCGAUGAGGACAAAGUAAAGGCAAUUAGAGAAUGGCCCACUCCUAAAUCAAUUACCGAGGUGAGAUCUUUCCAUGGUUUAGCAAGUUUUUAUAGACGUUUUGUAAAGGAUUUCUCCACUAUUGCUGCUCCAUUAACUGAGAUUAUUAAAAAAUCUGUGGGUUUUAAAUGGGAAGAAGUUCAGGAAAAGGCUUUUCAAACUUUAAAGGAUAAGUUAUGUUCUGCUCCGGUUCUUAAAUUACCUGAUUUUUCUAAUACUUUUGAACUUGAAUGUGAUGCUUCAGGUAUUAGAAUUGGUGCCGUGUUGAUGCAAGAAAAAAGGCCAAUUGCAUAUUUUAGUGAAAAACUGACAGGGGCACAAUUAAACUACUCAACUUAUGAUAAGGAGUUGUUGGCAUUAGUCCGAGCUCUACAAGUUUGGCAACAUUACUUGUUGCCAAAUGAGUUCGUUAUCCAUACAGAUCAUGAAUCCCUAAAAUGGUUAAAGGGACAAUGUAAGUUCAGUAAGAGACACGCUCGAUGGGUGGAAUUCAUAGAGACAUUUCCAUAUACAAUUAAGUAUAAAACAGGUAGAGAAAAUGUAGUUGCUGAUGCCUUAUCUCGUAGAUAUUCUUUGAUAACUACAUUAAAUGCUAAAGUCUUAGGGUUUGAACAUAUAAAAGAUUUAUACUUAAAUGAUAUUGAUUUUACAAAUGUUUUUUCUAAUUGUGGGAAUGGUGCCUUUAACAAGUUUUAUCUUGUAGAUGGGUUUCUUUUUCGCCUAAACAGGUUAUGUGUUCCACAAUGUUCAAUGAGAGAGUUAUUAAUUCAUGAAGCACAUAGUGGAGGCCUCAUGGGACACUUCGGUGUCGCUAAAACACUAGAUAUUCUACAUGAACAUUUUUAUUGGCCGCACAUGAAAAAGGACGUUGAAAAGGUCUGUUCUAAUUGUAUUACUUGUAAAUAAGCAAAAUCUAAGGUAAUGCCUCAUGGACUUUAUACUCCUUUACCGAUCCCUUCUUCGCCGUGGGUAGACUUAUCUAUGGAUUUCAUUCUUGGUUUACCACGAACAAAAAAGGGUUGAGAUAAUAUCUUUGUUGUUGUUGAUAGGUUUUCAAAUAUGGCUCACUUUAUUCCUUGUCACAAAACGGACGAUGCUACACAUGUGGCUGACUUGUUCUUUCGAGAGGUGGUGCGCCUACAUGGGAUACCUCACACCAUUGUAUCGGACAGAGACGUAAAGUUCCUAAGCCACUUUUGGAAAGUAUUGUGGGGUAAGCUUGGUACUAAAUUAUUAUAUUCUACUACAUGUCACCCCCAAACAGAUGGACAAACUGAGGUAGUCAAUCGAGUCUUAGGUGCUUUACUACGAACUGUUGUGGGUAAGAACCUUAAAACUUGGGAAGAAUAUUUGCCAUUUGUUGAGUUUGCAUAUAACCGAUCUAUUCACUCUACAACUGCAUAUUCCCCAUUUGAACUUGUUUAUGGUUUUAAUCCACUAACUGUACUUGAUCUUGCACCAUUGCCUAUAGAAAACAUUUCUAGUUUAGACGGUGAGAAGAAAGCUGAAUUGGUGAAAUCCAUGCAUGCGAAAGCAAGACAACGAAUCGCCAAAACAAAUGAAACAACUGCCAACAAAGCUAACAAGGGGCGCAAGCAAAUUAUCUUUAAGCCCGGUGACUGGGUUUGGGUCCACAUGAGAAAAGCGCGAUUUCCAACUAAACGCAAAACAAAAUUGGACCCACGUGGCGAUGGACCUUUUCAAGUACUCAAGCGCAUUAAUGACAAUGCAUAUCAAAUCGACCUUCCCGGUGAGUAUAAUGUUAGUGCCACUUUUAAUGUCGCUGACCUUUCUCCUUUUGAUAUUGCAGAUUCGAGGGCGAAUCCUUUUGUGGAAGAGGGGAAUGAUACGAGUAACUCAGCCCAAUUCAAAGGCCAUAAUAGAGAUGAGUUUAGUUUUCCUCAAGGCCCAAUUACGUGAUCCAAAUCUAAACAAAUAAAGUCAAAACUCAACUUAGUGGUUCAAAACUUUAUCACGAAAAAAAUUCAAGAAGAAGAGUUGAAGUUUCAAGACAAUAAAUUCUGGAGUAAUGAUGAAUUAGAAGAGACUAAUUAUGUUUGUGGGCCUAAACUCUCAAUCUAUGACGACAAGCCCAUGUGGAAAAUGCUAACAAGCUUAAGCAUUUCACUUCUAGAACCCCAAUUGAUCUUACAAGCUUAGACAUUUCAUAUUGGGUUUAAGUUUUAGGCUUAAUUUUUAUUAUAUAUAAGCACAAUAUUUUGUUUAUUAUCUCUUAUUAUUUUAUUAUUAUUUUAUUCCGAAUUUUUGAUAAUUAUUAAGUAUUUUAAGUUAUUUAGGAAUUUUAUGUUAACAAGAAAGUUUAGUUUAAAACUGCUUCUUGUUUAGAUUAAAUUAGAGUUUUAGUAUACUUAGGAGUUUUAUUUAGAUUUAUUUAUCUAGCCUAUAUAUAGGCCUUUGCAUUGUACACAGGGAGACAAUUGAUUAUUAUUCUAUUUCUCUUUUGAGUUAAUAAAUUCUCUUUGAGUUUUUUCUUUUCAAGAAUUUCUCUUGAGUUUCUUUUAGAAGAGUUUUAACAAUCUUUUUAGAUUGUGGGGAUCAUCUUCAAACUUUUUCUUGCCAAGGUUUUUAUCUUGGAGGGGAAAUUAGAGCCGCUUGAAGGGGGUUGUGGAUUCUUCGUGUUUCCAAGGCUUCUUAGGACUUCUACACGCCACGUUCUAUCUUUCCAUUUAUCUUCUUUAUUCACUUCCUGAAUCCUUGAUUUAUUAUUUGUUUUAAUUAUUUUAUCUAACUUGGAUUUAAUUUCGUUUCAGGUUGUGUCAAGAAAAAUCCAAGUUUCUUUCCGAACGUCUAGAGCCCUAAGUCAAAACCGCGACUUUGACAAACUUUACGAUCCGCUUUCGCGUUCAUCCUUCUCAACCUUUAUCACUUCCCAACGGCGAAUAACACGCCGUUUUGUCUCUUGGCUUCGCCAACCUCUGACGCAGAAAGCCAAUGAAUCGACUGUGCAACCUUCCCAAAAGUACAAAGCGGUCGUUCCUUACACAAGUUGAAAAGAUCACCUAUUAAAGGACAUAGACGGAAGCGUCAGCGGAGAAGCGAUGAAUACCUUGUUAAGAAGGCUAAGCACGGAUUCUAAGCCUUAUGAACCUUUUUGGAGUAUAUUGACAACCUUAGGCUAGAUUGGUUUAGUGGCUCAUGAUUUUCGGGAAAGAAAUAAAUAUAAUAUAAGUGAGAUUUUUAUUGAAGAAAAUAUGGAGAGAAAAAAAGACAGAGUUUUUGGAAGAGAGAGUGAUUACAGAAAAAGAGAUGUCCAAUAUGUGCCACUCCAUCCCCUAUUUAUAGUACUAGAAAACCUAGUCUAUUCCUAAUGAAAUUCUAAUAGAUAAAUACAAAUAAAUAAAGAUAUUAAAGAUAAAUAAAGAUAAAUGAAAAUUAAUCCUAGAAUUAAAUUUAAAUAAAAAUCCUUAAUAAUUAUCCUAAUAUAAUUGAAAUUAAAAUAGAGUCUUGUGCUAUAAAAUCUCUUCUUUUACAUUUUAGUCCUUGGGUUUUCCAUGUUUGCAUUUUUGGCACCACUUCUCUCUUUCUUUGCAUGUUGGCCUAUUAUAUCUUCAAAUUCGCACUUUUUGCCUUUAAAUUUCCUAUUGCCUCCAAUUUAGUCCCUAAAAGAUAAAAGACCACAAAAUAAUCCAAAUUAGUAGGAUCAUACUCAAAAUAAGCAUGCAAUUAGCACAUAAAAUAUAAUGAACCGAAAGUUACAGUAUCGAAAAUUGAGUCUUGAGUACUAUUUUCGUGAAAUUAAUUCAUGAAUAUUUAUUAGAAAUAUUUAUGAAUUAUAGUUGAGUGGUUGAUUAAUGUUUGAUUAAGUUAAGUAGCUUGAAUUUAGAAUAAGGACUAAAUUGCAUAAGGUAUAAAAGUUUAAUUAUAGAUUAAAGAUUAGUAAAGGGACUAAUCUAGCAAUUAGACCCUAAGUGACAUGUGUGUGUUAAUAUUGUAUAACAUGUGUAAUAGUUGGUAAAAAUAUUAAAUGUGUUAAAGUAGUUUUUCUUAUAGAUUAAGUUAUUUUAUUAGAAUAAUAUUAUAUUAUUAAUACUAUUAUAUUGAAUAUAGAUUUAUGAAUAAAGGAAAUGAAAAAAAAAAGAAAAAGAAAGAUAGAAAGAGUUACAGAGAGUAAAUGUGAGAAAGAAAGAAAGAAAAAGAAAAGGGAAAAUUUGAGGAUUAAGGCCUAAAGCUUGAUUGGUAAGUUGUUUUAGCUCAUUUUCUUGCGAUUUUUAUGUUUAUGGAUGCCUAAUUCAAAGUUCUACAUGCAUGAGGUUAAAAUGAAAAAAAAAUAGAGAAUUUUUAGAUAUUGAUUUAGUUGAAUAAAUUGAGGUUUUAUGGGUUAAAUUAAUAGAAAUAGAAGUUAGAAGUGAUUUGUUAAAGGAAUUUUUAAGUUAGGUUUAACUAGGGACUAAGUUGUAUAGAGCUCAAAAUUUAUGUUUUAUGAUGAUUUUUUAUGAGCUUGAAAUUGUUAAUGAGUUGAUUAAAUGAAAAUAUGAUGAUUUAGUUAAAAAAAAAGAUUAGUAAUGGGAAAAGGACGAAAUUGGAAUUUUUGUAAAAGUUUGAUAGAAAGUGAAAAUGUGUUUUAUGAAUUAGUAUAUUGAUUAUUUUUAAUUGUAUGAUUGUCCGUAGCUAACGUAGCACCGGAUACAUCAUCCAAGAAGGGAAAAGAGAAAUUGAACGAAGAUAUUGAUUAAAUUUGAUAAAUAGUGGUUUGUAUUUCUAUAAACCGAGCUUAAUCGUUAUUGCUAUAUUUGAUAUUUAUAUUGUAUGAAAAUAUGAAUGAGGUAAGUAUUCUUACCAUAUUGAAAUGAAUGUGAUUUUGAAUACCCUAUUAACAGUGUCGGGCUAGUCAGAUAUAGUUGACAUGUCAUAGGAAUUGGAAGUAUUGGGAUAUUCCGACAUUGAGUCGAUGAGACACUAUGUGUUGACUACUGUUAAAGUUCUGGAUUUGUUCCGAUGAAGCACUAUAUGCUUAUCCCGGAGUGUGGGUUGGAUCCAUGUAUCCGUCAGUGUCCGAGUUAUGUUAAUAAGGGUAAAUAAAGUAAAGAUUAUUAAAGUACUGGUUGAUUGAAUGUUAUUGAAAUGAUGAUUGAUAUUGAAUAAUAGCAAUAAUGUGUUUGAAUUACCAUGUUUUAAAGUUGAUUAAGCUAUUGUUUAUAGAAAUACCACCGAGAGUAUUCUCAGCGUACGGUUUGUUUCCGUGCACAGGCUAGGUACGAAAGUAUAAGGACUCAGUAUACAAGCUGAUCCCCGAACUCAAAUUGGUGAAGUUUCUAUCUUUUUGGAAAAUGGCAUUGUACCUAGGAUGCCUUUUGGUCAUUUUGAAAGUACCUAAGUUGUUAAGUGAUAUUUUGGUAUGUUUUGUAAAUGUUACCAAAACCUUAAGUAUGGUAUGUCUUUGAUAUGUUAGUGAAGAGAAAUAAGAGGAAGUGAUGGUAAAUAUUGUAGAGAGAAGAAAUGAAGAUGUUAUAAACUUAGUUAUCAACAUUUUAUACUAAAACAGAUUUGUAUAGUAGCAGUAGUCCAACUUUGAAAAUACACCAAAAAUAGUAGAAAGUUGAUUAGAUGAUGAAUAAAAUAUGUAAUUGAAGCUUAAUGAAUCUAUUUUUAUGUGGGAGAAACAAAAUAGGUAAAAGAGUUGUAUUUUAUGAGAUAUUUACAUUUUAGUGAAACAGGGUUAGAGAAAUUUCUGGAUUUCCUAUUUUGACUUUAGAAAUUCACCAUAAAUUGUGUAUAAAUAAUUAGGACUCACAUUUUAUAUGUAUGGAUUUCUUAUUGAGUCUAUUUUUAAUUGAAACAAACAGAAUAGUCAUUGGAUUUCUGUACAGGAAUAAAUUUGAUUUGUAGUGCACAGGGGUCAGAGUAGCCGAACCCUAAAAUAGGGGAGACUUUUACUAAUAAACUAUACUAAUUCCUGACCAAAAAUUCUAGAAAAAAAUUAGUACGUAGAUGUAUGAGUCUAGUUUCAGGGAAAAUUUACGGAAUUGGAUUUCAAGUUUUGUAACUAGAGAUAUGAUUUUUUUAGCGACUGUGACGCAGAUGGAUAGUUUACUAUACGAGAAUUGUUUGAACUUGUUUAAAUGCUAAAAUAAGUUUAGUAAUGUCUCAUGCUUGACUCCGACGACGGUCUCAGGUAAGGGGGCGUUUCAUAAAAUAUGUCGUUCUAAAGUAUUAUCACAUACAAAAUUGGAACAAAUCAAAGAAAUUUUAUUUAUAAUUUUGAGUUAUAAUCUUUGGAUAAUUAUUUGAUUUUUCUCUACUUGAUCAUGGAAAGAUGAGAUUGCUUCAAGGGUCAUAGAGAAUUGAUCUUGAAAAUAGAUCUAGAAAGAUGCUUGUGUGAGAAUUUGAUUUUAUUUAGCUUCAAUAGUCAUGAUAUUGAAAAAUUGUUUAGAAAAACAUGCCAGAGUUGGUGUUACAAAAUUUUAAAUUCUUUUCAAAAACAAACUUUUGUCAAUAUAUCUAAAGUAAGAUAACUUAUAUCAAAUAAAGUACUUAUGUUUCGAGGUUCGAGGAGAUGUCCAAAUACUAGGGGCUUUAGUAUAUGCCUAGAUUUUUUUGAUCAAUUCGAACUAUAAUCCAAAAUAUUCAAGUUUUAUAUUGAACAAUCUUCUCUGUCAUUUUCGAACUCUGGGAUACUUAGAGAGUGAGAUUUAACUCAAAUAAUCGAACACGUGAUGAAAAUUGAAACUUCCUAGAGAGGUGAAUGUCUACUACCCUAUUUGUGAAUACCUAACACCGAAAUAAAUUUCUAGACUUGAAUUAUAAUCGCUAGAUCAUUGCAAUUAUAGUUUCACAAAUCUAGAAUCAAAACUCAAGAAAAAAAAAUAUAAUUUAUCUAAAUUCAAGAAAAGCAACUCAAAUGAAUUUUCACUGAAUUUCAAUUGAGGUAUGGAAAUUGGUCUCCAGUUGGUGGUAUGUGACUCUCAUGGUAAUUGGGUGAAAGGGUUUAGAAGAGUUCUUGGAAGAGGCUCUGCUUUGAACUCUGAAUUUUAGGCAAUACUCCAUGGGUUAGAAUUAGCUUGGCAGAGGGAGCAUACUAAAAUUUUUAUUGAAAGUGAUUGUCGGAUGGCUAUAGAAAUGUUAAAGGAGAAUUUGUUGGACACUCCCUCAAUGACGGUUGUUCGAAAGAUUAAAAUGGUGUGUAGAUAUUUUCAAGUAGUCAAAUUCCAGUAUGUCCCAAGGGAAGGUAAUAUGGCGGCUGAUUGACUAGACCAAACUUGUCCAUCUAAUGAGACUAAGCAUAAUAUCAUUGAUUUUCCUAUGUCUCUUAUUAGGAAAUUGCUCUUAGAAGAUAGAAUAGGGAAUUUUCGAUCAUGUUAGAAUAAGUUGAUUUAAGGCUUAUUUACCUUCUCUUUUCUAUAUUAAAAAAAAAAACUUACGAUAUUUAUAAACAACCAUAUACAAGAGUUAUAUUCUUAUUCAAAAAAUUAAUUAAUUAUUUGAAAGAAUUCAAGUCCAAUUAGGACUUCUAAUACCUUAUGGCUGACGGCUUUCAAGGGAAAUACACUCCUACUGCUGCGACAGAAGCUAGCUUAAAUGGAUAGUUGGGUUGAUCCAAGUUCGAUUCAAUUAUUCGAGCUUACAUUUUUUUUAUUUAAAUGAAAAAAAUAAUAAUUUCAUAUAUUUAUCUAAUUCAAUAAUUAAAUAUUCUUCAAAAGUUUAAUUAUUUAAAAUAAUUAAUUUAAUUUAAUAAUUUACAUAAUUCAGUUUUAAAUUUAUUAAAAUCAUCAAAACUUUAUCCUAUUAGAAUUUAUGUCCAAAUUUAUUUAAUUAUCGGAAUAAAAUAAAACUACGAUGACUACUCAAUUUAAAUUUCAUUUUGAGCUCAAUUAUUGACUCUAUUUAUCUAAUUAAAUAAUAAUUCAAAGAAAUUAAAUUAAUCGUAAGUCAUUUUCAUCUAAUCAGUUCUUAGUAUGCAAUUUGUUUAAAGUUAUAUUGAGCCAGCAGAGGAACUGAUUGAACAUAUAUAGUUAAUGUUUAAAUAGUUUGUAAAUAAAUUAUGAAUCUUCGUCUAUUAAUUGCAAAAUUAUUUAUUCGUAGAGUUAAUCCACUAAUAGUACCACGAAUUUCUUAAUAUUUUGAAUUGUUAAAUUGUGUAAAGUAAAUUGAUUUGGUUUAGUGGUUAAAUAUUUUGAAUGUGUGCUUGGGGUCUUGUGUUCGAUUUUUUUCCCUAUAUCUAGCUAGUCACACGUAGCUUAUCUAUAAUUUUUGUUUAAUUGCUGAUAAGAAUGAGUAUACUGGUUUAGUGGUAAAACUUUAGCUUAACCAUGGGUUCUAAGUUUGAAUCAUGUUGUGUGCAAAAUUAAAAUUAUUUUUGCUCCUAUUUGUUGUGUCAGCCACAUGGUUAAUAAUUGGGUUUAAUUCAAACUAUGGGAAAAUCUAAUAGGAUAGUAACUAACUAAAAAGGUCAGUGUGAUUUGGGUAGUUUAUUUUUGUUUUAAAAAAAGAGAGAUUUUCUCCUAAAAUUUUGCUAAGUGUCGUUCCCCUAUUCCCCCUCACUUCUCACAUUCUGUUUUUUUCUUAUUUUUCUUUCCAUUGCUCUUAUUUUCUUUUCCUUUCUUUCCUACUUUUGCUACAAAAUUUUCCUCUAUUGUUUUCCCUGUUCUUCUCUUCUACCUCUGUUAUUUUGUCUUGUUUUGCUUCUUUUUGUAUUUCCACAUUAUCAAUCCUCUGCUCUUUUUGCUACUCACUCUUGUUCUCUUAUCGUUCUUGCUUCUUUUCUGCUGCUGACUUGAUCAGUACCAACAUUCUAUUUUGGUUUCGUUUUUAACGGUUUGUGAUAAGGGAAUUUAGAUUAAUCAUCAUAUAUUUAUAUUUGUGAUUUAAGUAUUGUUCGCUUGUUCUUGAGGGUGUUGUAUUCGAUUUGGUUGAGUAGUAAGUAUUUGAGCAAUUUCAUGUGUGUUAUUGCUAGGUGGGGAUUGUGUGGUGCAUACCCUUCGACGAGUUGAGUGUUGAUGAUCUUCCCUUCAAGGAUAAGUGUUCAUAUGCCAAAAUUAGGGGUUGGUGGGUGUUUGGUGGUAAUGCUCAAAUGCCUACUGUUCUUUUGGGUCAAAUACUCUAUUUGUGUAAGAGUCGAAUAAGUGUGUCGGCUAGGGGAAUUUUGUGUUAAUUGGUUAAUUGUGGGUGUCGUAUGUGCAGACUUUGGUGUGUUGUUAUUCUGCCGACAUCUCAAAAGUAAUUAGGUGUGUGACUUUAGCCUGAAAACUUUUUAAAAAAUGUGCAAAAAUCAAAUCUGCCAGAUGACGCUGUAGCGACGUAAAAAUUUUGCUUUGGUCUUUAAUUGAGGCGAUUUAUUGAAAAUUUGAAAACCGACUUUUGAUUUUAAAAAAAAGGAGUCGCCACCAAUCCUUUUUCCUAGGUGUGAUCAGACACCUAAUAAAUCCUUUUUUUUUAAAAGAAAAUUUAUUUUUUAAACAAAAAGAAGGUUGAGUUUAGGUCUACAUCAAAAGCCAGAAAAAAGUUGGGUUCAAGAGUCGGUUACGCGCGAGAAAGGUAUUAGCACCCUCGCGACGCCAAAAAUUGGUAUCUUAUUAAACACGCAUUGUCUCAAUUCUCAAAAAUACGAGUUCAAUUUAAAUUUUAAUAGUGAUCCGAUCAAAACACGAGAAUUUUUAUAAUUUCGAUUUCCUUUGAGAAUGAUGUUCCGUUUUUAACACAAGCCGAUUGAUAUUCACCCAACAUAGCGAUGAAAUUGACGACUUAAGGUUAAAUCGGUGCGUUGCCUUAUUUAUUAAAAUAAAAAAUGAACAAAAAUAAAAAGAAAACUAAUAUCGAUGUUGAAAUAAGAUGUGAUCUAAUAGGCUAAAUUCGGAACAGGCAAAUAAUAAUAAAAAGUUAAGAAUAUACGAAGCAAAUAAUAUAUAAAACAUUAACAAUGUAUAUGUGAUAAUAAUAGUCAUAAAACAAUAGUAGUGCAUAUGGUAUUAAACAUGAUAAUAAUAAUAAUAAUAAUAAUGCAAAUAUGAAAUGGUAGUGAACAUAUGUAAAUAAAACAUAUAAUACUAGAUUAAAAAAAUAGAUACAAUAUUUAUUGAAAACAGUAAUAAUAUAUAAAAAAACUAAUAAUGACGAUAUAUAAAUAUAAACAUAUAUGAGUUAAAAUAUAUACGUAAUAAUAGGAAUAAAAGGUAUAUACAUAGUAUUAUAAAUAUGUACAUAAUUUAGUUAUUAAAAAAUAUAUACAUGAUAUAUAUAAAAUAUAAUAUUAAAAAGGUAUAUAUACGUAAUAUAUAUAAAAAAUGUAUACAUAAUAUAGUAUUAAAAUAUUUACAUAAUAUAUACAUAUUAGAAAUAAUAAUAAUGUUAAAAACAACUAUUAAUAAUACUACAUAAAUAUAUACAUAUAUUUAUUAAAGAUAUAUACAUAUAUAAUAAAACAUAUACUAAUAUUAAUAACAAAUAUAAUAGGGGCAAAAAUAGAUAUAAUAAUAUGUAUAUAACGUGGUAUUAAAAAUAUGGAUAUAAUAUAGUAUUUAAAUAUGUAUACAUAAUAUAUAUAUAUUAGGAAUAAUAAUAAUAUUAAAAAAACAACUAUAAAUAUAUACAUAAAAUAUAUAUAUAAGUAUUAAUUGAAACUAAAAAUAAUAAUUCUAAUAAUAGUAAAGAUAUACUAAUAAUAAUAAUAAUAAUAACGAUAAUAAUAAAUAUAAUAAUAAAUCAUAUUAAAAAUAAAAAAUAGUGAAAAUAAUAUAAAAACCAAAUUAAAUCUGAAAAAAGGACUAAAUUCGAAACAAAAAUGAAGUUUUGGGGCCAAUUUAAAAAGAAAUAAAGGAAAAGGGAUUAAAUUGCAUGCGCGAAUAAUAAUACAGGGACCAGUGAUGCAAUAAAUCCAUUCGGCCUAAAACGCACAGCAACAGAGGGACCGAAUUACAAAGCACAAUAAAUUUCAGGUCCAAAUUUAAAACAACUAAAAAUUUGAUUGCAUAAUAGAAAAGAAGCGAAGGGGCUAAAUGCGCAAAUAGCCCCUCCAAUGAAAACACGUGGAUCCUGAAGUUGGAGCUGGUCGGGUCGCGGGUCGGCCAUGGGUUAAAGCUCAAAAAGACGCCGUUUUGGGGCUUAAGGACCUAGGCCAAAACGACGUCGUUUUCGCCCUCUAUUUAAGCAAAUUUCUCCCCAAAGAAAAUCAUUUCAACACCUUUUUUAAAAAAAAAAAACUUCUCCCUCUCCCCUUUUCUCUGAAGGGCUGAAGAUCCGGCAAGGGAUCGGACCAAUAGCCGUCGUAACCUGCCGCCGCCAUCGCUGCCGCACCGGCCACCGUACACAGUGGCCGAAAAUCGCCAAAAGGUAUUUUUUGUUUUUUUUAUUUUUAUUUUUUGUGUUUUUAAUAUAUAUAUGUGUUUAUGAAUAACUUAGGAAAGAAAAAGAAAAAUUAAAUAAAAAAGAAAAAGAAGCAACCUUUUCCCCUUGUAGAUAUUACUUUUUUCCGAAUCUGUUUUGGGGAUUUUUGGUUUGAUCUUUGAAUCUUUUCUUAUUCUUUGUAUUUAAUACUUACUAUGUUCUUGUAUUUCAAAAAAAAAAUGAAACCCCCAUACAAUGAUUUUUGCUUGGCUUAUAUAGCCUUUUUGAAGAUUAGUUUAUUAUUGUUGUCACUUCUGUCUUUGUUUCUUGCAGGUGGAUGAAUGGUGCUGACAUGGUCGGCGGAGUAGGUGGUGGUGGAAGUGGUAGGGGCGGCACACCUAGGGGGCUAGGGUUUCUGAUUUGUUUUGUGUGAUUUGGGCUAUUAGGGUUAGUUUGGGCUUGGGUUAAGAUAAGUUAAAAUGGGUUUAAGUUUUUAGUUGGGUUUAGCUAUUUGGGUCUGGGUCUUAUUGGGCUUUGAUGUAAUGGGGUCAAAAUUGGCCUACAACAGUUGCCUCUCUUUGCUCAUUGUCGUGUAACGGGAAUAGAGUAAAGACUUUAAAGAGGGCCAAUUUUGCCCGUUCUCGCCGAGUCUUGACUUCUUUGGUGCUCCUCUUCUUCCUGUAGCUUCGUCCCAGUCCACUGCGUCUUAUAGCUUUGAUCUAUCUCACCGCAACUUCAGAGAUAUGACUCGUAGCUUCACUUUGCUCGCUUCUUUAGAGGUCUGAGGUUCAUAGCUUCGAUCUACUUCACUACAACUUCAGAGUUCCGCUACAACUUCAUGGAGGUAAGAUCUGAUAUCAUCGAUCAACUCCACUGCAACUUCAGGGUGAUAAGACUUGUAACUUCGCCGUGCUCCACUGCAACUUCAGGGGGGCAAAAUCUGCAUCUUCGAUCAACUCCAAUCUUUAUCCUCGGCGUGUGACCCGAGGCUCAACUCACCUCUAGUAAUAUGAGUUGACUUUUGAAAAACAAAAAUUAAAACAGAAUUUUGAAAAUACCUCCGCAUGGAGCCCGGGGUUCAACUCACCUCUCAUAAUAUGAGUUGAUUGUUGAAACAUGAAUUGAAAAACAGGAAUUGAAAUACUUCACCGUGUGACCCGAGGCUCAACUCACCUCUUACAAUAUGAGUUGAUUUUUUGAAAAACAGAAAUUAAAAAUACCUCAGUGUGAAUUGAGGCUCAACUCACCCCUCGCAAUAUGAGUUGAUUUUUUUGAAAAAUAGAAAUUAAAAAUACCUAAGCGUGAACUGAGGCUCAACUCACCUCUAGCAAUAUGAGUUGAUUUUUUUGAAAAACAGAAAUUAAAAAUACCCCAGCGUGUCCUGAGGCUCAACUCACCUCUCACAAUAUGAGUUGAUUUUUUUGAAAAACAAAAAUUAAAAAUACCUCAGCGUGUCCUGAGGCUCAACUCACCUCUCGUAAUAUGAGUUGAUUUUUUUUAAAAAACAAAAAUUAAAAAUACCUCGGCGUAUCCUGAGGCUCAAGUCACCUCUCGUAAUACGAGUUGAUUAUUGGAAUAACUGAAAUAAAAAAUAUCAGAAUACCCAAACAUGUCAUCUGGUGGAACUCGAGUGUCUUUUUCCUUGAUUCAGUAAAGCUAUCAUCGAAACCUCUUGCUCUGCUGGAGUACCUGUAUAUGUCAUGCGUGAUGUUAUCAUGAUAUGCACAUGUUUGUCUUAAAUGCCUUUAUGCCUACAUGAUUAUGCUAUGCGCCUUGGGCUUGUCUGUCACAUAUCCCUUUUCGUUACGAUUCUUGUGAUGAUCUACGUUCAUUGCUUCGAUUCUUGACUUUCUCUUCAGGCUUUGUACCCGUCCUCAAGCUUCACGAACAAUCUGCGUUUCUCAGAUAUCACCCUUUUGCCCCUGGUUGAACUUUGUCAUUGCUUUGAGGCUCUUGUACUUAUCAGAUUCUUAUCCGGGUAAUGCUUAACAUUUUUUUUGUUCAGAGUAUGUCAUUUUACUAUUUAUUAUUUAAAUAAACCACACAAUGAGAUGCAUGAAAAUGGUCAGGUAGGUACGAAAGGGAUACCUCCAUUUAUUUAUUUCAAAGGUGACAAAUAAAGAAAAUUAACCAAGAAUAGUAAAAAGUAUAAUAAAAGAAAAGGGAUCACAUCCAGCGGAUACAAAUGCUUAGAUUUUCAACGCAUGAACUCUUUCACUUUCUUAAUCAAGAAUCAUUUCAAGCAUGGCUUCUUACAUAGAAGAUCUCGCGUUUUCAGAAAUGCUUCAAAUACUGUAGUCUUGCUAUUUGACCCACCGUUCAAAACGCCUUGCCUUUUUUUAAGCCCCGUGUUUGCUUCAUUAGAACGCCCUUUCAAGUUUUCAUCCUAAUCUUUUGUGUUAAUCAAGACGCCCUGCCCUUUUCGGGUUUUCAUCUUAAUUCCUUUUUGUUUAUCAAGACGCCCUUUUUGGGUUUUCAUCUUGAUCUCUUUUUUUUUAGACAUAAUAUUUCUUUACAGCAUCUGAGUUCACUGGGUUAGGUAACUCUUUCCUAUCCAUCUCAGUGAGAAUCAAAACCCCGCCUGAGAAAGCCUUCUUUACGACAUAUGGUUCUUCCCAAUCUGGUGCCCAUUUUCCUUGGAAGUCUUUUUGUAUUGGGAGAAUCUUUCUUAGUACGAGUUCUCAUUCGUGGAAUUCUCUUGGCCGUACUUUCUUGUCAUGGGCCGCGAUCAUUCUCCUCUAGUACAUCUGUCCAUGACAGAUUGCCUUCAAACGUUUUUCUUCGAUAAGGUUUAACUGGUCAUAUCGAGCUCGAACCCACUCUGCUUCCUCUAGUUUCGACUCUAUUAAAACUCGUAAAGAGGGGAUCACAACUUCGAUGGGUAGCACAACUUCUAUUCCAUAGACCAGAGAGAAAGAAGUUGCUGCCGUAGAUGUCCGCACAGAUGUGCGAUAUGCAUACAAAGCGAAUGGUAGCUUCUCAUGCCAAUAUUUAUAUGUCUCGGUCAUUAUCUCAAUAAUCUUCUUAAUAUUCUUGUUUGCUGCUUCAACAGCUCUGUUCAUUUUCGGGCGAUAGGGUGAUGAGCUAUGAUGCUUUAUUUAAAAUUGCUCACACUUCCUUCAUCAUCUUGUUGUUCAGAUUCAUGGCGUUAUCUAAAAUGAUUCUUUCAGGCAAACCAUAUCGACAAACGAUUUCCAUUUUCAAAAACCUGCAAACUGCAGUCUUCGUCACAUUGGCAAACGAAGCGGCUUCUAUCCAUUUUGUGAAGUAAUCAAUAACCACAAAAAUAAAUCGGUGUCCAUUAGAAGCUUUUGGGGAAAUUGGCCCUAUAACAUCCAUGCCCCACAUAGAAAAAGGCGAUAGAGAAGUCAUGACAUGAAGGGGCGAAGGGGCUACAUGAAUCUUAUUGCCAUAAAUUUGACAUUUGUGGCAUUUUCUUGCAUAACUAAUGCAGUCACUUUCCAUCGUCAGCCAGUAAUAACCGAGUCUCAUAAUCUUCCUGGUCAUAGUGAAACCAUUGGCAUGCGUCCCAAAAAUUCCUUCAUGGACAUCUUCAAGUAUUUUUCUAGCUUCAAUAUUAUCCACGCAUCUCAAAAGCACUUGAUCUUUUCUUCUUUUGUACAGGAUGUCCCCAUCAAGAACAAAUCCUACUGCCAUCCUUCUGAUUGUUCUUUUGUCAUUCUCAUUUGCUUGUUCGGGAUACCUUUGAUUCUUGACAUAUUCUAAGAUAUCAUGGAACCAUGGCCAUCCAUCUGGCUCUUUCUCAAUGCUGAAACAAUGUGCAGGGACUUCAUAUAUACUCAUUUGAAGAGGCAUUAUUUCUGUUUCUCUGUUCGCUUUGAACAUUGAGGCCAAAGUGGCCAAGGCAUCAGCCAAUUGGUUUUCUUAUCAUGGGAAGUAAUUAAAAGUUAUUUCUUUGAAUUGUUUAAUCAGUCCUGCCACUAGAUUGAUGUAUUUAACUAAUUUUGAAUCUCUCACUUCCCAAUCUCUGCAAAUUUGGUAUAUCACCAACGCUGAGUCCCCAUAUACCUCUAAGAUUUCGAUGUUUCGUUCAAUAGCUGCACGAAGUCCCAUGAUACAGGCCUCAUAUUCCGCUAUGUUGUUGGUGCAGUAGAAAUUCAGCCUAGCAGUGAACGGAUACUGGUUCCCUUGUGAUACUAAGACUGCUCCGAUCCUAUGCCCCAACGUAUUCGAUGCACCAUCAAAGCUCAUCUUCCAUGACUUCUCUUUGGAUGACUCACAUUCUUUUCCCGUAAUGCACAUCAAGUCUUUCAUCUGGAAAAUCAAAUCUCAAUGGCUCGUAUUCCUCUAUUGUUCGAGUUACUAAGAAAUCAGCUAUUGCACUCCCUUUUAUCGACUUUUGGCUCAAAUAGACGAUGUCGUAUUUUGAUAGUAGGAUCUGCCAUCGUGUCAUUCUUCCUGAGAGUGCAGGUGAUUCCAUCAUGUACUUUAUUGGGUCCAGCUUUGAAAUUAACCACGUCAUAUGAUACAACAUAUAUUGCCUGAGCCUCUGAACUACCCAAACUAAAGCGCAACAGAAUUUUUCAAUGGAUGAGUACUUUGCCUCAUAUUCUGUGAUCUUUUUGCUGAGAUAGUAAAUUGCCCUUUCUCUUUUCCCUGACUCAUCAUGUUGCCCUAGUACACAACCCAUUAAAUUUUCGAACACAGUCAGAUACAAUAUUAGCGGUCUUCCUAUGGUUGGUGGUACUAGCACCGGGGGACUAGACAAAUACUGUUUUAUCUUGUCAAAAGCCACUUGGCACUCUUCGUUCCAUUCUCCCGGAUUAUGUUUUCGAAUGAGUCAAAAAAUUGGGUCACACUGGUUGGUAAGUUGAGUGAUGAACUAAGCGAUGUAAUUCAACCUCCCUAAAAAUCCUCUGACUUCUUUUUGCGUGCACGAAGGUGGCAGUUCUUGUAUGGCUUUUAUCUUAUUUGGAUCAACUUUGAUGCCUCUUUCGCCGACGAUGAAGCCUAGCAAUUUUCCCGAGGUAGGCCCAAACAUACACUUGGCUGGAUUAAGCUUUAGCUGAAACUUUCACAGUCUUUCGAACAACUUCCUGAGGUUCCCAACAUGCUCUCUUUCCCCCUUGGAUUUGGCGAUCAUAUCAUCGACGUAGACUUCUAUUUUUUUGUGCAUCAUGUCAUGAAACAACAUCACCAUGGCCCUCUGAUAUGUUGCCCCAGCGUUCUUUAAUCUGAACGGCAUCACCUUAUAACAAAAUGCUCCCCACAUCGUUACGAAAGUAGUUUCUCCAUAUCCUCAGGAGCCAUCUUUAUCUGAUUAUAACCCGAGAAUCCAUCCAUGAACGAAAAUAAUGAAUGUUUGGCUGUAUUAUCCACCAAUGUAUCAAUGUGUGGCAAAGGAAAAUUAUUUUUAGGACUUGCUCGAUUCAGAUCGCAGUAAUCCACACACAUUCGUACCUUUCCGUCUUUAUUCGGUACUGGGACUAUAUUAGUCACCCAUUGUGGGUAUUUGGAGACUUGUAGAAAGCCAGCAUCGAAUUGUUUAUUGACUUCUUCUUUU